UUCAUGCAUGUUUGAACAAUGUUUGUCCUCUGUUUUGGACAAAACAAAUAAAGGGCAUUUAAAUAAUCAUAUAUGGAGUUGGAGUUUGAAUCAUGUAUUCAAACCAACUUCAUUUAAAUCAUAGCUAGGUGCAUUAGCCCAAAACACAUUCAUAUUGCCAUGUCAUAGCAUGCAUCAUAUUGUGCAUUGCAUUGAUCGUGUUUCUUCUGUGUUUGCCGGUGUUGUUCCCCCUCGAUAGACGUUGUACCGAUGAUGUGAUCGUUGACACUGAUGAAGACUCAAUGUUAUCUUCAGAAGUGCCAGGCAAGCAAAACCCCCUUGUUCAUUCCGAUACAAUCCUACUCUCUCGCUCCUGCUCUCUUUUACUGCAUUAGGACAACAAUGAUUCAACUGUUACUUGCUGCGGUAGCUGAACCCCUUUAUCCUCUGCAUGACCUGUCAUUGCCACAGUAAAUAGAUGAAACCCACUAGCAUGAGUAGGAGUUGUUUGAGCAUGUUGUGCCUACUCAUUUAUGCUUGUUUGUCAUGCCUGCUACUGCUUAGAGUUGAGUCAGGUCUGAUUCAUCGGGGAUGAAUCAGAGGUGUGUGAACAUGUCCUACUAUGUGUGAGCUAAGUGUGCGAAUACGAUUUGGUAAAGGUAGCGGUGAGAGGCCAUGUAGGAGUACAUGGUGGGUUGUCUCAUUGAAGCCGUCCUCAGGAACUGAGUUCUGUGUUUGUGAUCCAUGAUUCAGCUACUACCACGCAUUGGGCCCGAAACCAAUGGACCCUCUUGGCUUCUUGAUCACCCUUGUCCUCUGUCCAGGAGUUGAAAGUAGUUUCUGGUGUUUGUAGUAUGCUGGAGGCCGUGGGUAGCGCUGACCGGAGGGGUGGGCUGUGAUGCGGUAGGCACGUGGCCGGGUAUACCGGGCGCCCGUUUGGUGUCACGGAACCCUGCACACAUCGUUUGGGGCUGUGAGCGAAACUCCGGCCGGAUCUCCUCAUGGAGGGAACCCGAAUAGGCGAUAAACCUGGACUAGAGACUCGAGUGUUUAGGUAGGCCGUGGCCGACACCCAUGUUGGGCUUCCGCUUGAAGGUUGCCGAGUACAUGUCGUGUAAACGGCGGUAAGUGGUGAGAGCGUGUGUGAAGAAGUACACCCCUGCAGGGUUAACAUCAUCUAUUCGAAUAGCCGUGUCCGCGGAAAAGGACUUCUGGGUUGCUUAUAUCAGUUCAUAGACAAGUGAAAGUGGAUACUUUAAAAUGCGCAAGAUAAGCGUGAGUGCUAUGGAUGGCGUUCUCGUAGGGAGACGGGAGCGGAUCCAUAGUGGUGUAUUGAUAUGGUGAAUAUGUGGACUCGUGUGCGCCACCUCAAAAGAGUUACUUGCAGUCGUAGUUCAGGAUAGCCACCGAGUCAAAGCUGGCUUGCUGCAGUUAAACCCCACCAUCCCCUUUGUUGAUAAUGAUGCAUAUGUAGUUAGUUCUGAUGUAAGUCUUGCUGGGUACAUUUGUACUCACGUUUGCCUAUUUUAUGUUUUGCAGAGAGACUUCAAUCUCACUAGUAGUUCCACGUGGGCUUCGACGUUUAGCUUGUUACCUCAGCUACGAUCUUGUGCCCUCGGCAGGAUCUGGUAGAUAGUCAGGCUUCUCAGCCUUUUUCAUUUCUAGAUGUUUGUACUCAGACAUGUUAAGCUUCCGCAUGUGCUUUGACUUGUAUGCUCUGAUUGUUGGGUCAUGAGACCCAUGUUUGUAAUAUCUCGCUCCUCGGAGCCUAAUGAAUAAAUACUUGAGUUAUAGAGUCAUGUUGUGAUGCCAUGUUGUAUUUGCACAUAUCGAGCAUAUUGUGUGUAUGUUAUUGAAAUGCUUGGUAUGUGUGGGAUCUGACUAUCUAGUUGUUUAUCUUUAGUAGCCUCUCUUACCGGAAAAUGUCUCCUAGUGUUUCCACCGAGCCAUGGUAGCUUGCUACUGCUCCGGAACACUUAGGCUGGCCGGCAUGUGUCCUUCUUCGUUCCUGUGUCUGUCCCUUCGGGGAAAUGUCACGCGAUGAAUACCGGAGUCCUGUUAGCCCGCUACAGCCCGGUUCACCGGAGUCCUGCUAGCCUAGUGCUACAGCCUGGAUUCACCCGCUGAUUACCGACACGUUCGAUGCUGGGUCAUGGAUGCCUGUCCCUGUAAGUUUGUGCCACUUUGGGUUUACGACUAGCCAUGUCAGCCCGGGCUCCUUAUCAUAUGGAUGCUAGCGACACUAUCAUAUACGUGUGCCAAAAGGCGCAAACGGUCCCGGGCAAAGGUAAGGCGACACCCGUGGGAAUACCGUGCGUGAGGCCGCAAAGUGAUAUGAGGUGUUACAUGCUAGAUCGAUGUGGCAUUGAGUCGGGGUCCUGACAGCAACUCUCUCUUUCACUUUAUUCAGAAAUAAUAUACACAAAUAAAGGAUAGCGUGCUUCUUUGUAGUUCCCAUCAUUUGCAGUUUCGGCUCCUACGAAAGAAUUUUAAUCACUAUCCUAUUUUUGUGUCUGCCGUGACACAAUGAGUCCUAUACUGAUGCAUUCCGGGGCCUUUCCUUUCUAAGUUCUUGCCAUGUUAAUUGCAGAGUUAUUGAUUUCCAUCAAUGGGGUUGUAGUAGUUGAAGAAUUGCAUUUUACUGGGUGAUGUAAUGUGUAUACAAAGCAAACAGGACACAUACUAUUACGUCAUGACCAACUCCAUCAUCAAAUGCUAUACACUGGAGUUUUAGGGCUUUAACAGUAGCAUGCUGAAUGACCAAAAUGAUUUGCCAAAGUCUUUAAGUAAAGGUGGAGUUUGGCAUAGUGAGAACAACUGUGCCUUUUCACUUUAUAUCAAAAAUCAUAUACACAUAAAUACAGGAAAGUAUGCUUCUGCGUACUUCCCAGUUUAUACUGCUUUAAAGAAUUUGGUGUUGCAUAUACAGUAGCUAGCAGAUAAUAUAUUUUAACUAAAAACUAAAACUACAGUUGUCUGCUCUCUGAUUAUCUCGUUUUAUGAUUAUACCAAAAGGAUAUGCACAGAUGAAGGCAGCUGAACCAGAAACUAAUAAAAAAUACAACACAAUGCAAAAUAUAACACCACAAUGGUACACUGAUAUCUCAAAAGGCCCUAAGGGUAAACGAUAUUUUGAGUUUCUGAAAGGGUGAAAUGUUGAGAUGCAAUAAAUGUAUUCAACUUUAUCAUAGAAGGUAUAGCAAUAUAUAAGAAAUGGGCAGUAGCAGAUUCACAAAACAGCAAUCAUAAAGAUACACCUUUUUAAAAGAGAUAGAAGUAUACCUGCCAUGUGGUCGUGGUGAACCUCAAAGAUAAAGAAUUGCUAACCAAUUAGCCUUGCAAGCUCAUGAUCUGCAAUCUCUUCGUCCUCCCGCAUAACAUGACCAUGUGAUCCAUGUAAAAAACAAAGGAGCAGAUGAAGAUCAUGUUUAUAUUUUUAUAUCCAACAUACAAACAAACACCCCUCUUACUUGGAACCUAGCUAUACCACUAAUUCCAAAAAAGCCAGCCUUUCAUGCACAAAGGAACAAGACCACCAGCAUUCCAUGACAAAGAAACAAAGGGCAUAGAGGUACACUCCACAAAACAACAAAAGAGAAUAAUACUCCUGCCUUUACCAGAAUCAAGACAAGAAAGAAGGCCAUCAUUGGCCAGUCCAUGCACCAGUCAUAUCGCCAUACAACCGUGCAUCUAACCCUAGAAACGAAGAGGAGUGGAAAGGAGGAGGGGAAAAGGGGUUGACCUGCAGAACCAAAUCACACCCCUGUAGCUGUCGUUGUUGGUGAUGGUCGCUGCUGCCGUCUGAGGCUAGGGGUCACUGCUGGACGCGUGCAUGCACCUGUGUACCAAAAGCAGCAGCAACAUGAGGGGAGGGGAAGGGCCAAAAACAGCAGCAGCAUGAGGGGAGGGGAGGGGCCAAGAGCACCUUGACCAGCAAUAGCAAUGGUAGGGUUAGGGUUGGAGCAGGGGGGAAGGGCGGCGUCUCGAGCAGGCCAUGGCGUGAGCACACUCAGAGGCCGAGGUCGGACGACGGCGCCGGCGGAUCUGCGAGCCCUUGGCCGCCGCCGAACCUACUCGCUCUCCCUCUUCUCUUCCCUUCCUUUCUGAUGACGGGAGGGGGAGGUUGUAGGCGGCGUGGCGUGAGGAAGACAAGGAGAGAGGUCCACCUCGGCGUGGUCUGAGGGGCGUCGGCGAUGUGGGCGUGGCGGCGAGGUCUGAGGGAGGGAGAGGGAGAGGAGAGGGCAGGGCGAGCNNNNNNNNNNNNNNNNNNNNNNNNNNNNNNNNNNNNNNNNNNNNNNNNNNNNNNNNNNNNNNNNNNNNNNNNNNNNNNNNNNNNNNNNNNNNNNNNNNNNNNNNNNNNNNNNNNNNNNNNNNNNNNNNNNNNNNNNNNNNNNNNNNNNNNNNNNNNNNNNNNNNNNNNNNNNNNNNNNNNNNNNNNNNNNNNNNNNNNNNNNNNNNNNNNNNNNNNNNNNNNNNNNNNNNNNNNNNNNNNNNNNNNNNNNNNNNNNNNNNNNNNNNNNNNNNNNNNNNNNNNNNNNNNNNNNNNNNNNNNNNNNNNNNNNNNNNNNNNNNNNNNNNNNNNNNNNNNNNNNNNNNNNNNNNNNNNNNNNNNNNNNNNNNNNNNNGGGAGAGGGAGAGGAGAGGGCGGGGCGAUGCGGGCAGGGCGGCGGCGAUGUGGGCGGGGCGGCAAGGACUGAGGGAGGGAGAGGGAAAGGAGAGGGCGGGGCGAUGCGGGCGGGGCGGCGAGGAGGAGGGAGGGGGCACGAGUGUGGGCUGGGGAGCGGCUAGGUCAUCUCCACGCGGGCCGUCUCCUUUUAUACAUCCCUAGGCGAAAUUACGAAAAUGCCCUUGGUAGCCACCCAAUUUUACAGGCGGUGGCACGAAACGGGGGUAACUAUUCAUUCCAACAGUAACUUAUUUUUAUCCGACGGACGAGGUCAUUCCAGGGCUCGAUCCGAUGGCUCAGAUCGCAUCAAGCAACAAGAUCCAACGGCCAGGAACGCGAAGCGGCUAAGGAGGCUGGAGGAUGACCGGCAUUCUUGUUUCUCGAUUAAAAGAAAUUGUUUUUUCAUGUAGUGCUCGUUUAAGAGUCCCUUCCUCCCACGCUCCUAGUAAUCUAUAGACGCCUCACAAUUCAAAAGACGUGCGCAGCAAAAAAAGUAGCGGCCAUAGUUUGUGUUGAUUCUGUUGAGAUCUCCAUGCUAAUUCUGUCUGUCAAGUUAGCGCCCGCUGCCACCUAAUAGUUCGUUGCAUGCGGAAAAAAAGAGGGCUCGGUCCAAAAUCCUGGGCUCGGUCAGGAAUCAAAAGAAACGGCCAGGAAAAUCACCCUAGUGCCUGCUUUAAGCGUCUGCAUUGUAGAUGCCCUCACGCGCGUCCUACUUUCCCACAACGGUCACGAGACGCGAUGCAACGUCAUGAUCCUUGUACUACUACCACCACAACCACGCUGCUGAUCAAAAGAGAUGUCUUCCUUCUUUUUUUUGAAAGCAAAAGUGCUUGAUUACGUAACAAGAUCUGGGCAUAUCGCCCAAGAUACAUGCGCCCACCUGGGCAGGUACAUCAUACCACCAUUCGAGAUGGUGAUCACACUCACACUCACGGCCAAUGUUAGCAAACACAUGAGCUACAGAAUUGGCACUACACAUACACACAUAGAUGGAAGCACUAGAGAACCACAACUUUAGCUGAUAUUUCAUGUCCUCAAUCAAUGCUACAUACGCUGAGGAGUCAACCUUGCAUAGAUCAAGCGCCUCUGCCAAGAGCUGGGAGUCGGUCUCAAGCUGCACCCUCACGAGUCCAAGAUCAGAUGCCAUGCUGAUUGCCUGUGACAUGGCUAUUGCUUCCGCUGCAAAGGCAUCGCCAAUGUGAUUUGCCUUGCCAGCUCGAGCACAGAUUAGUUUGCCAUCUGCCGAUCUGACAGCGACGCCCCAGCCCACAUGAACCUGUCCUGGAAUGAAGGAGCCAUCCACAUUGAUUUUGUACGUCGACACCUCCGGGGGGGCGCCAUUUGUCCGGUGGCUGUUUAACUUGGGUCGGAGUAAAGACUUGCAGAUAUUCAAUAACACUGCUCCGUGUUCUUCUUGCCACUUCCUCCGCCUCCAAAGGUAGCUCUCCCUCUUGCAGUUUAUUCCGGUUAGAACACCAGAACCACCAAAAAGUAAGAACAUGUAGGUGCUUUUUAACAUCUAGACCCCAUAGAAAGUCUAGCAUCACAUGCACGGACGUAAUCUCCUCCAACUGCAUUCGCUCUUUCUCCAUAGCCAGAUCCCUCCACACUCCCUUCACUGUCUUACAUUUUAUGAAUAGGUGAGCUCCAUCCUCAUCAGCCAACCCACAGAAGAGGCAUUUGGUAUCCUGGAUAUGAAUUCCUCUGCCUGCGACGUUCGUCCGAAGAGCAAGAGAUUCGUGCUUCACUCUCCACGUAAACAUCUGAAUAUUUUUGGGACAAGGUAGACGCCAGAUACGCUUCCAGGAAUCAUCAGCAGUUCGGUCUAGGCACCCCAGGCUGUUGUCACUCCCUCCUACUCAUCCAUCGCUGGUUGACUGUUCGAGUUGCAUGUGGAGUUUGUAGGCACUCUUAACUGAGUGGAUCCCCUUGCUAUCAUACUGCCAGGUCACAAAGUCGGGGACUCCAUCCGGAAGAGGAAUCUGGAGAAUGUACUUCACAUCAUCGGGACAGAAGGUGUCACGCACCAGUUGUUCAUCCCAGGCUUCGGUGAUUGGGUUGAUAAGAUCGCUAACCCACUCCAGGAGACUUGAGCCGCGCGGGGUAAUGACGCAUCUGGACCAAGGCCUUGGAAUCCAGGGAUCAGACCAGAUCCGAACACUUGUACCAUCGCCAAUCCUCCAUAUAUAGCCCUGCCGAAACAGAGUUAGUCCGUGCAGCAAACUAUGCCAGGCAUAGGAGAUCCCCUCUCUUGGCACCGCCUCCAAAAUAUUUCCGUUUGGAAAGUAGCGGGCUUGCAGAACUCUAGCACAUAGUGACUCCAGGUUCUGGAUGAUCCUCCAAACUUGUCUAGACAAUUUUGCAAGGUUAAAACCGUGCAUGUCACGAAACCUGAGGCCUCCCAAUGCUUUAGGCUUAAUCAGUUUCUUCCAACUGAUCCAGUGUGUGACAUGUUCCUUGUCCUGUUGGCUCCACCAGUAGUUCCCAAUCAGCGAGCUAAGCUCCUGGCAGAAAGAUUUGGUCAAGUAAAAGCAUGACAUGGCGAAAGUGGGGAUGGCCUAAGCAACCGUUGUGGCCAGCGUCUCCUUCCCCGACUUGGGAAUAAGCCUUUCCUUCCAACCAUACACCCGCCCAGCCAAAGCCCCUUUCACAAAGGCAAACGCUUUCUUUCUAGAUCUCCCAACAUGAACAGGAAGGCCCAAGUACUUCUCAUUCCAAGAUUCACACUGGAUCUGUAGUGCAUUCUUCACCUCCACCUUCGUUGCCUCCCUAGUGUGAGGACCAAACAUAAUGGCCAAUUUCUCCAGGUUAAUGCACUGCCCGGAACAACAUUCAUAUAGAUCAAGGAUUUGGCGCAGCUCCCUGGCUUCCUCCUGCUUCCCUUUAAGCAACAUCACCGAAUCAUCUGCAAACAAAAGAUGUGACAGACUGGGAGCAUUGUGGCAGAUUUUGACUCCAGAUAUUCUCCCUACUUGCUCAGCAUCAUUCAACAGCGCCGAGAGCCCUUCCGCACAAAUAACAAAGAGGUACGAUGAAAUCGGAUCUCCUUGACGAAGACCGUGUGUAGGUGAGAAUUGCUCUGUCAAUGAACCAUUCACCUUAAUCUGGUAGCGAACCGAGGUCACGCAAUGCAACACCAAAUCGAUCCACCGCGGCCCAAACCCAAGUUUGUUUAGCAUAGCUCGAAGGAACUCCCACUGUAUGCUAUCAUAAGCCUUACUCAUGUCUGCCUUAACUGCAGCAAUACCUUCCUUUCCUUGUUUCUUGUUCAACAAGUAGUGUGAAACUGCAUAGGCAAUGAGAACAUUAUCCGUAAUGAGCCGCCCCGGCACAAACGCACUUUGGUUUUGAGAGAUGAUAUCUGGCAGAAUCAAUUUGAGUCUGUUCGCAAUCACUUUCGAGACCAGUUUAUAAAUCACAUUGCAUAGGCUGAUCGGACGCAAGUCCUUAAUUCUGCUUGGACUCUUGACCUUGGGGAUAAGCACCACAACCGUGUCAUUCCACCCCUCCGGCAUCAUGCCACCAUUGAGCACUGAGAGCACCUCAUCUAUAACCUUCUCCCCCAUGAAAUGCCAAUGCUUCUUGUACACCACAGAUGGCAUCCCAUCUGACCCAGGUGCCUUUAGGUCACCAAUAUGAUCCAGAGCCGCCUUAACUUCUUCUCUGGAUACCUCAGCUUCCAGUAUUCCUCUCAUAGCAUUAGUGACUUUCGGCUGCACCUUAUCAAUAAGCUCCAGCAAUCUCAAACAGCUGGAAGAAGUAAACAGGUUCUGCAAAUAGGAUCGCACAUAGUUAUUAAGAUCUUCUCCUUCCUUCACCUCUCCACCAUCUUCCUUUCUCAGCUUUUUUAUCCUAUUAGCUUUCCGUUUUGCAGAGGCCACCGCCAUGAAGUCCGAGAUCUCAUCCGGGACUCCGGACAACUUUCGGUUUGCUGCAUACUCAUAUUCAUACAACCCUAGCGUCACCGAACCUUAAGUGUGUAGACCAUACGGGUUCGGGAGACACGUAGACAUGACCGAGACGGCUCUCCGGUCAAUAACCAACAGCUGGAUCUGGAUACCCAUGUUGGCUCCUACAUGCUCCUCGAUGAUCUCAUCGAAUGAACCCCGAUGUCGAGGAUUCAAGCAACCCCGUAUACAAUUCCCUUUGCCAAUCGGUAUGUUACUUGCCCGAGAUUCGAUCGUCGGUAUCCCAAUACCUCGUUCAAUCUCAUUACCGGCAAGUCACUUUACUCGUACCGUAAUGCAUGAUCCCAUGACCAGACACUUGGUCACUUUGAGCUCAUUAUGAUGAUGCACUACCGAGUGGGCCCAGUGAUACCUCUCCGUAAUACGGAGUGACAAAUCCCAGUCUCGAUCCGUGUCAACCCAACAGAUACUUUCAAAGAUACCCGUAGCAUACCUUUAUAGUCACCCAGUUACGUUGUGACGUUUGGUACACCCAAAGCACUCCUACGGUAUUCGGGAGUUACACGAUCUCAUGGUCUAAGGAAGAGAUACUUGACAUUGGAAAAGCUCUAGCAAAACGAACUACACGAUCUUGUGCUAUGCUUAGGAUUGGGUCUUGUCCAUCACAUCAUUCUCCUAAUGAUGUGAUCCCGUUAUCAAUGACAUCCAAUGUCCAUAGUCAGGAAACCAUGACUAUCUGUUGAUCAACGAGCUAGUCAACUAGAGGCUCACUAGGGACAUGUUGUGGUCUAAGUAUUCACCCGUGUAUUACGAUUUCCAGAUAAUACAAUUAUAACAUGAAUAAAAGAAAACUAUCAUGAACAAAGAAAUAUAAUAAUAAUCCUUUUAUUAUUGCCUCUAGGGCAUAUUUCCAACAGUCUCCCACUUGCACUAGAGUCAAUAAUCUAGUUACAUUGUGAUGUAUCGAACACCCAUAGAGUUCUGGUGUUGAUCAUGUUUUUCUCGCGGAAGAGGUUUAGUCAACGGAUCUGCGACAUUCAGAUCCGUGUGUACUUUGCAAAUAUCUAUGUCUCCAUCUUGAACAUUUUCAUGGAUGGAGUUGAAACGACGCUUGAUGUUCCUGGUCUUCUUGUGAAACCUGGGCUCCUUGGCAAGGGCAAUAGCUCCAGUGUUGUCACAGAAGAGAGUGAUCGGCCCCGACGCAUUGGGUAUGACUCCUAGGUCGGUGAUGAACUCUUUCAUCCAUAUUGCUUCAUGCGCUGCCUGCGAGGCUGCCAUGUACUCCGCUUCACAUGUAGAUCCCGCCACGACGCUCUGCUUGCAACUGCACCAGCUUACUGCUCCACGAUUCCACAUAUACACGUAUCCAGUUUGUGACUUAGAGUCAUCCAGAUCUGUGUCGAAGCUAGCGUCGAUGUAACCCUUUACGACGAGCUCUUCGUCACCUCCAUAAACGAGAAACAUGUCCUUUGUCCUUUGCAGGUACUUAAGGAUAUUCUUGACCGCUGUCCAGUGUUCCUUGCCGGGAUUACUUUGGUACCUUCCUACCAAACUUACGGCAAGGUUUACAUCAGGUCUGGUACACAACAUGGCAUACAUUAUAGAUCCUAUGGCUGAGGCAUAGGGGAUGACACUCAUCUCUUCUUUAUCUUCUGUCGUGGUCGGGCAUUGAGCUGAGCUCAAUCUCACACCUUGCAAUACAGGCAAGAACCCUUUCUUGGACUGAUCCAUAUUGAACUUCUUCAAUAUCUUAUCAAGGUAUGUGCUUUGUGAAAGACCUAUGAGGCGUCUCGAUCUAUCCCUAUAGAUCUUGAUGCCUAAUAUGUAAGCAGCUUCUCCAAGGUCCUUCAUUGAAAAACACUUAUUCAAGUAGGCCUUAAUGCUAUCCAAAAGUUCUAUAUCAUUUCCCAUCAAAAGUAUGUCAUCUACAUAUAAUAUGAGAAAUGCUACAGAGCUCCCACUCACUUUCUUGUAAACGCAGGCUUCUCCAUAAGUCUGCAUAAACCCAAACGCUUUGAUCAUCUCAAUAAAGCGAAUGUUCCAACUCUGAGAUGCUUGCACCAGCCCAUAAAUGGAUCGCUGGAGCUUGCAUACCUUGUUAGCAUUCUUAGGAUCGACAAAACCUUCCGGCUGGAUCAUAUACAGUUCUUCCUUAAGAUAGCCGUUAAGGAAUGCCGUUUUAACGUCCAUCUGCCAUAUCUCAUAAUCAUAGUAUGCGGCUAUUGCUAACAUGAUUUGGACGGACUUCAGCUUCGCUACGGGAGAGAAAGUCUCAUCGUAGUCAACCCCUUGAACUUGUCGAUAACCCUUAGCAACAAGUCGAGCUUUAUAGAUGGUGACAUUACCAUCCGCAUCUGUCUUCUUCUUGAAGAUCCAUUUGUUUUCUAUCGCUCGCCGAUCAUCGGGCAAGUCGGUCAAAGUCCAUACUUUGUUUUCAUACAUGGAUUCUAUCUCGGAUUGCAUGGCUUCUAGCCAUUUGUUGGAAUCUGGGCCCGCCAUCGCUUCUUCAUAGUUCGAAGGUUCACCGUUGUCUAACAACAUGAUUUCCAGGACAGGGUUGACAUACCACUCUGGUGUGGAAUGUGUCCUCGUGGACCUACGAAGUUCAGUAACAACUUGAUCCGAAGUAACUUGAUCAUCAUCAUUAAUUUCCUCUCCAGUAGGUGUAGGCACCACAGGAACAUUUUCCUGAGCUGCACUACUUUCCGGUUCAAGAGGUAGUACUUCAUCGAGUUCUACUUUCCUCCCACUUACUCCUUUCGAGAGAAACUCUUUUUCCAGAAAGGAUCCGUUCUUGGCAACAAAGAUCUUGCCUUCGGAUCUAAGGUAGAAGGUAUACCCAAUGGUUUCCUUGGGGUAUCCUAUGAAGACGCAUUUUUCCGACUUGGGUUCGAGCUUUUCAGGUUGAAGUUUCUUGACAUAAGCAUCGCAUCCCCAAACUUUUAGAAACGACAGCUUAGGUUUCUUCCCAAACCAUAAUUCAUAUAGUUUCGUCUCAACGGAUUUAGAUGGUGCCCUAUUUAAAGUGAAUGUAGCUGUCUCUAGAGCGUAUCCCCAAAAUGAUAGCGGUAAAUCGGUAAGAAACAUCAUAGAUCGCACCAUAUCCAAUAGAGUGCGAUUACGACGUUCGGACACACCGUUACGCUGAGGUGUUCCAGGCGGCGUGAGUUGUGAAACGAUUCCACAUUUUCUUAAGUGCGUACCAAAUUCGUGACUUAAAUAUUCUCCUCCAUGAUCUGAUCGUAAGAAUUUUAUCUUUCGGUCACGUUGAUUCUCUACUUCAUUCUGAAAUUCCUUGAACUUUUCAAAGGUCUCAGACUUGUGUUUCAUCAAGUAGACAUACCCAUAUCUACUUAAGUCAUCAGUGAGAGUGAGAACAUAAUGAUAUCCUCCGCGAGCUUCAACACUCAUUGGACCACACACAUCUGUAUGUAUGAUUUUCAAUACGUUGGUUGCUCGCUCCAUUGUACCGGAGAACGGAGUCUUGGUCAUUUUGCCCAUGAGGCAUGGUUUGCAUGUGUCAAAUGAUUCAUAAUUGAGAGACUCUAAAAGUCCAUCAGCAUGGAGCUUCUUCAUGCGCUUGACACCAAUGUGACCAAGGCGGCAGUGCCACAAGUAUGUGGGACCAUCGUUAUCAACUUUACAUCUUUUGGUAUUCACACUAUCAAUAUGUGUAACAUUACGUUCGAGAUUCACUAAGAAUAAACCAUUGACCAUCGGGGCAUGACUAUAAAACAUAUCUCUCAUAUAAAUAGAACAACCAUUAUUCUCGGAUUUAAAUGAGUAGGCAUCUCGUAUUAAACGAGAUCCAGAUACAAUGUUCAUGCUCAAACUUGGCACUAAAUAACAAUUAUUGAGGUUUAAAACUAAUCCCGUAGGUAAAUGUAGAGGUAGCGUGCCGACGGCGAUCACAUCAACCUUGGAACCAUUCCCGACGCGCAUCGUCACCUCGUCCUUCGCCAGUCUCCGCUUAUUCCGCAGCUCCUGCUGUGAGUUACAAAUAUGAUCAACGGCACCGGUAUCAAAUACGGAGGAGUUACUACGAGUACUGGUAAGGUACACAUCAAUUACAUGUAUAUCACAUAUACCUUUAGUGUUGUCGGCCUUCUUGUCCGCUAAGUAUUUGGGGCAGUUCCGCUUCCAGUGACCCUUUCCUUUGCAAUAAAAUCACUCAGUCUCAGGCUUGGGUCCAUUCUUUGACUUCUUCCCGGCAACUGGCUUACUGGGCGCGGCAACAUCUUUGCCGUCCUUCUUGAAGUUCUUCUUACCCUUGCCCUUCUUGAACUUGGUGGUUUUAUUGACCAUCAACACUUGAUGUUCUUUCUUGAUUUAACCUCUGCUGACUUCAGCAUUGAAAAUACUUCAGGAAUAGUCUUUACCAUCCCCUACAUAUUGUAGUUCAUCACAAAGCUCUUGUAGCUCGGUGGGAGCGACUGAAGGAUUCUGUCAAUAACUGCCUCGUCCGGGAGGUUAAUGUCCAGCUGGGACAGGCGGUUGUGCAACCCAGACAUUUUGAGUAUGUGCUCACUGAUAGAACUAUUUUCCUCCAUCUUACAACUAUAGAACUUGUCGGAGACUUCAUAUCUCUUGACCCGGGCAUGAGCUUGGAAAACCAUUUUCAGCUCCUCGAACAUCUCGUAUGCUCCAUGUUGCUCAAAACGCUUUUGGAGCCCCGGUUCUAAGCUGUAAACCAUGCCGCACUGAACGAGGGGAGUAAUCAUCAGCACGUGACUGCCAAGCGUUCAUAACGUCUUGGUUCUCUGGGAUGGGUGCUUCACCUAGCGGUCCUUCUAGGACAUAUGCUUUCUUGGCAGCUAUGAGGAUGAUCCUCAGGUUCCGGACCCAGUCCGUAUAGUUGCUGCCAUCAUCUUUCAGCUUGGUUUUCUCUAGGAACGCGUUGAAGUUCAUGUUGACAUGAGCGUUGGCCAUUUGAUCUACAAGACAUAUUUUGCACAAAAAAAAGACUAAGUUCAUGAUAAUUAAGUUCAUCUAAUCAAAUUAUUUAAUGAACUCCCACUCAGAUUUGACAUCCCUCUAGUCAUCUAAGUGUUACAUCAUCCGAGUCGACUAGGCUGUGUCCGAUCAUCACGUGAGAUGGACUAGUCAUCAUCAGUGAACAUCUCCAUGUUGAUUGUCUCUUCCAUACGACUCAUGUUCGACCUUUUGGUCUCUGUGUUCCGAGGCCAUGUCUGUACAUGCUAGGCUCAUCAAGUUAACCUAAGUGUUUUUGCAUGUGUAAAACUGUCUUACACCCGUUGUAUGUGAACGUAGGAAUCUAUCACACCCGAUCAUCACGUGGUGCUUCGAAACGACGAACUUUAGCAACGGCGCAUAGUUAGGGGGAACACCUUCUUGAAAUUAUUAUGAGGGAUCAUCUUAUUUACUACCGCCGUUCUAAGUAAACAAGAUGCAUAAACAUAAUAAACAUCACAUGCAAUUAUAUAGUAGUGACAUGAUAUGGCCAAUAUCAUAUAGCUCCUUUGAUCUCCAUCUUCGGGGCUCCAUGAUCAUCUUCGUCACCGGCAUGACACCAUGAUCUCCAUCAUCGUGUCUCCAUGAAGUUGCUCGCCAACUAUUACUUCUACUACUAUAGCUAAUGGUUUAGCAAUAAAGUAAAGUAAUUACAUGGCGUUAAAUCAUUGACACGCAGGUCAUACAAUAAUUAAGACAACUCCUAUGGCUCCUGCCGGUUGUCAUACUCAUCGACAUGUAAGUCGUGAUUCCUAUUACAAGAACAUGAUCUCAUACAUCACAAUAUAUCAUUCAUCAUUCAUCACAACUUUUGGCCAUAUCACAUCACAUAGCAAUUGCUGCAAAAACAAGUUAGACGUCCUCUAAUUAUUGUUGCAUCUUUUACGUGGCUGCAAUUGGGUUCUAGCAAGAACGUUUUCUUACCUACGAAUAACCACAACGUGAUUUUUGUCAACUUCUAUUUACCCUUCAUAAGGACCCUUUUCAUCGAAUCCGCUCCAACUAAAGUGGGAGAGGCAGACACACGCUAGCCACCUUAUGCAACUAGUGCAUGUCAGUCGGUGGAACCUGUCUCACGUAAGCGUACGUGUAAGGUCGGUCCGGGCCGCUUCAUCCCACAAUACCGCUGAAGCAAGAUAAGACUAGUAGUGGCAAGCAAGUUGACAAGAUCUACGCCCACAAAAGAUUUGUGUUCUACUCGUGCAAUAGAGAAUUACGCAUAGACCUAGCUAAUGAUGCCACUGUUGGGGAACGUUGCAUAAAAUAAAAAAUUUCCUACGUUCACCAAGAUCAAUCUAUGAGUUCAUCUAGCAACGAGAGAGAGAUAUGCAUCUACAUACCCUUGUAGAUCGCGUGCGGAAGCGUUCAAGAGAACGGGGUUGAGGGAGUCGUUCUCGUCGUGAUCCAAAUCACCGGAGAUCCUAGCGCCGAACGGACGGCACCUCCAUGUUCAACACACGUACGGUCAGCAUGACGUCUCCUCCUUCUUGAUCCAGCAAGGGGGAAGGAGAGGUUGAUGAAGAUCCAGCAGCACGACGGCGUGGUGGUGGAUGCAGCAGGGUUCUGGCACGGCUUCGCCAAGCGACUACGGGAGGAGGAGGUGUAGCAGGGGAGAGGGAGGCGCCAAGACUUCAGGGUGCGACUGCCCUCCCUCACCCCCCCCCUUAUAUAGGCCCCCUGGGGGGCGCCGGCCUUGGAGAUGGGAUCUCCCAAGGGGGGCGGCGGCCAGGGGAGUGGAGUGCCCCCCAAGGCAAGUGGAGGCGCCCCCCCACCCUAGGGUUUCCAACCCUAGGCGCAGGGGGGCCAAGGGGGGUGCACCAGCCCACUAGGGGCUGGUUCCCCUCCCACUUCAGCCCACGGGGCCCUCCGUGAUAGGUGGCCCCACCCGGUGGACCCCCGGGACCCUUCCGGUGGUCCCGAUACAAUACUGGUGACCCCCAAAAUUCUCCCGAUGGCCGAAACUGCACUUCCUAUAUAUAAUUCUUUACCUCUGGACCAUUCCGGAACUCCUCGUGAAGUCCGGGAUCUCAUCCGGGACUCCGAACAACUUUCGGUUUGCUGCAUACUCAUAUUCAUACAACCCUAGUGUCACCGAACCUUAAGUGUGUAGACCCUACGGGUUCAGGAAACACGUAGACAUGACCGAGACGGCUCUCCGGUCAAUAACCAACAGCGGGAUCUGGAUACCCAUGUUGGCUCCCACAUGCUCCUCGAUGAUCUCAUCGGAUGAACCACGAUGUCGAGGAUUCAAGCAACCCCGUAUACAAUUCCCUUUGUCAAUCGGUAUGUUACUUGCCCGAGAUUCAAUCGUCGGUAUCCCAAUACCUCGUUCAAUCUCGUUACCCGUAAGUCACUUUACUCGUACCGUAAUGCAUGAUCCCGUGACCAGACACUUGGUCACUUUGACCUCAUUAUGAUGAUGCACUAUCGAGUGGGCCCAGUGAUACCUCUCCGUAAUACGGAGUGACAAAUCCCAGUCUCGAUCCGUGUCAACCCAACAGAUACUUUCGGAGAUACCCGUAGCAUACCUUUAUAGUCACCCAGUUACGUGUGACGUUUGGUACACCCAAAGCACUCCUACAGUAUCCGGGAGUUACACGAUCUCAUGGUCUAAGGAAGAGAUACUUGACAAUGGAAAAGCUCUAGCAAAACGAACUACACGAUCUUGUGCUAUGCUUAGGAUUGGGUCUUAUCCAUCACAUCAUUCUCCUAAUGAUGUGAUCAUGUUAUCAAUGACAUCCAAUGUACAUAGUCAGGAAACCAUGACUAUUUGUUGAUUAACGAUCUAGUCAACUAGAGGCUCACUAGGGACAUGUUGUGGUCUAAGUAUUCACACGUGUAUUACGAUUUCCGGAUAAUACAAUUAUAGCAUGAAUAAAAGACAACUAUCAUGAACAAAGAAAUAUAAUAAUAAUCCUUUUAUUAUUGCCUCUAGGGCAUAUUUCCAACAGUCUCCCACUUGCACUAGAGUCAAUAAUCUAGUUACAUUAUGAUGUAUCGAACACCCAUAGAGUUCUGGUGUUGAUCAUGUUUUGCUCGCGGAAGAGGUUUAGUCAACGGAUCUGCGACAUUCAGAUCCAUGUGUACUUUGCAAAUAUCUAUGUCUCCAUCUUGAACAUUUUCACGGAUGGAGUUGAAACGACGCUUGAUGUGCCUGGUCUUCUUGUGAAACCUGGGCUCCUUGGCAAGGGCAAUAGCUCCAGUGUUGUCACAGAAGAGAGUGAUCGGCCCCGACGCAUUGGGUAUGACUCCUAGGUCGGUGAUGAACUCCUUCAUCCAUAUUGCUUCACGCGUUGCCUCCGAGGCUGCCAUGUACUCCGCUUCAGAUGUAGAUCCUGCCACGACGCUCUGCUUGCAACUACACCAGCUUACUGCUCCACGACUCAACAUAUACACGUAUCCGGUUUGUGACUUAGAGUCAUCCAGAUCUGUGUCGAAGCUAGCAUCGACGUAACCCUUUACGACGAGCUCUUCGUCACCUCCAUAAACGAGAAACAUGUCCUUUGUCCUUUUCGGGUACUUAAGGAUAUUCUUGACAGCUGUCCAGUGUUCCUUGCCGGGAUUACUUUGGUACCUUCCUACCAAACUUACGGCAAGGUUUACAUCAGGUCUGGUACACAACAUGGCAUACAUUAUAGAUCCUAUGGCUGAGGCAUAGGGGAUGACACUCAUCUCUUCUUUAUCUUCUGCCGUGGUCGGGCAUUGAGCUGAGCUCAAUCUCACACCUUGCAAUACAGGCAAGAACCCUUUCUUGGAUUGAUCCAUAUUGAACUUCUUCAAUAUCUUAUCAAGGUAUGUGCUUUGUGAAAGACCUAUGAUGCGUCUCGAUCUAUCCCUAUAGAUCUUGAUGCCUAAUAUGUAAGCAGCUUCUCCAAGGUCCUUCAUUGAAAAACACUUAUUCAAGUAGGCCUUAAUGUUGUCCAAAAGUUCUAUAUCAUUUCCCAUCAAAAGUAUGUCAUCUACAUAUAAUAUGAGAAAUUCUACAGAGCUCCCACUCACUUUCUUGUAAACGCAGGCUUCUCCAUAAGUCUGCAUAAAUCCAAACGCUUUGAUCAUCUCAUGAAAGCGAAUGUUCCAACUCUGAGAUGCUUGCACCAGCCAAUAAAUGGAUCGCUGGAGCUUGCGUACCUUGUUAGCAUUCUUAGGAUUGACAAAACAUUUCGGCUGCAUCAUAUACAGUUCUUCCUUAAGAUAGCCGUUAAGGAAUGCCGUUUUGACGUCCAUCUGCCAUAUCUCAUAAUCAUAGUAUGUGGCUACUGCUAACAUGAUUCGGACGGACUUCAGCUUCGCUACGGGAGAGAAAGUCUCAUCGUAGUAAACCCCUUGAACUUGUCGAUAACCCUUAGCAACAAGUCGAGCUUUAUAGAUGGUGACAUUACCAUCUGCGUCCGUCUUCUUCUUGAAGAUCCAUUUGUUUUCUACCGCUCGCCGAUCAUCGGGCAAGUCAGUCAAAGUCCAUACUUUGUUUUCAUACAUGGAUUCUAUCUCGGAUUGCAUGGCUUCUAGCCAUUUGUUGGAAUCUGGGCCCGCCAUCGCUUCUUCAUAGUUCGAAGGUUCACCGUUGUCUAACAACAUGAUUUCCAGGACAGGGUUGACAUACCACUCUGGUGUGGAACGUGUCCUCGUGGACCUACGAAGUUCAGUAGCAACUUGAUCCGAAGUACCUUGAUCAUCAUCAUUAAUUUCCUCUCCAGUCGGUGUAGGCACCACAGGAACAUUUUCCUGAGCUGCACUACUUUCCGGUUCAAGAGGUAGUACUUCAUCGAGUUCUACUUUCCUCCCACUUACUCCUUUCGAGAGAAACUCUUUUUCCAGAAAGGAUCCGUUCUUGGCAACAAAGAUCUUGCCUUCGGAUCUAAGGUAGAAGGUAUACCCAAUGGUUUCCUUGGGGUAUCCUAUGAAGACGCAUUUUUCCGACUUGGGUUCGAGCUUUUCAGGUUGAAGUUUCUUGACAUAAGCAUCGCAUCCCCAAACUUUUAGAAACGACAGCUUAGGUUUCUUCCCAAACCAUAAUUCAUAUGGUGUCGUCUCAAUGGAUUUAGACGGUGCCCUAUUUAAAGUGAAUGUAGUUGUCUCUAGAGCGUAUCCCCAAAAUGAUAGCGAUAAAUCGGUAAGAGACAUCAUAGAUCGCACCAUAUCCAAGAGAGUGUCAUUACGACGUUCGGAUACACCGUUACGCUAAGGUGUUCCAGGUGGCGUGAGUUGUGAAACGAUUCCACAUUUUCUUAAGUGUGUACCAAAUUCGUGACUUAAAUAUUCUCCUCCACGAUCUGAUCGUAAGAAUUUUAUCUUUAGGUCACGUUGAUUCUCUACUUCAUUCUGAAAUUCCUUGAACUUUUCAAAGGUCUCAGACUUGUGUUUCAUCAAGUAGACAUACCCAUAUCUACUUAAGUCAUCAGUGAGAGUGAGAACGUAACUAUAUCCUCCGUGAGUCUAACUGCUCAUUGGACCACACACAUCUGUAUGUAUGAUUUCCAAUAAGUUGGUUGCUCGCUCCAUUGUUCCGGAGAACGGAGUCUUUGUCAUAUUGCCCAUGAGGCAUGGUUCGCAUGUGUCAAAUGAUUCAUAAUUGAGAGACUCUAAAAGUCCAUCAGCAUGGAGCUUCUUCAUGCGCUUGACACCAAUGUGACCAAGGCGGCAGUGCCACAAGUAUGUGGGACUAUCGUUAUCAACUUUACAUCUUUUGGUAUUCACAUUAUGAAUAUGUGUAACAUUACGUUCGAGAUUCAUUAGAAUAAACCAUUGACCAUCGGGGCAUGACCAUAAAACAUAUCUCUCAUAUAAAUAGAACAACCAUUAUUCUCGGAUUUAAAUGAGUAGCCAUCUCGUAUUAAACGUGAUCCAGAUACAAUGUUCAUGCUCAAACUUGGCACUAAAUAACAAUUAUGGAGGUUCAUAACUAAUCCCGUGGGUAAAUGUAGAGGUAGUGUGCCGACGGCGAUCACAUCGACCUUGGAACCAUUCCCGACGCGCAUCGUCACCUCGUCCUUCGCCAGUCUCCGCUUAUUCCGCAGCUCCUGCUGUGAGUUACAAAUAUGAGCAACGGCACCGGUAUCAAAUGCCUAGGAGUUACUACGAGUACUGGUAAGGUACACAUCAAUUACAUGUAUAUCACAUAUACCUUUAGUGUUGCCGGCCUUCUUGUCCGCUAAGUAUUUGGGGCAGUUCCGGUUCCAGUGACCCUUCCCUUUGCAAUAAAAGCACUCAGUCUCAGGCUUGGGUCCAUUCUUUGACUUCUUCCCGGCAACUGGCAUAUCGGGCGCGGCAACAUCUUUGCCGUCCUUCUUAAAGUUCUUCUUACCCUUGCCCUUCUUGAACUUGGUGGUUUUAUUGACCAUCAACACUUGAUGUUCUUUCUUCAUUUCAACCUCUGCUGACUUCAGCAUUGAAAAUACUUCAGGAAUAGUCUUUACCAUCCCCUGCAUAUUGUAGUUCAUCACAAAGCUCUUGUAGCUCGGUGGGAGCGACUGAAGGAUUCUGUCAAUGACCGCCUCGUCCAGGAGGUUAAUGUCCAGCUGGGACCGGCGGUUGUGCAACCCAGACAUUUUGAGUAUGUGCUCACUGACAGAACUAUUUUCCUCCAUCUUACAACUAUAGAACUUGUCGGAGACAUCAUAUCUCUUGACCCGGGCAUGAGCUUGGAAAACCAUUUUCAGCUCCUUGAACAUCUCAUAUGCUCUGUGUUGCUCAAAAAUCUUUUGGAGCCCCGGUUCUAAGCUGUAAAGCAUGCCGCACUGAACGAGGGAGUAAUCAUCAGCACGUGACUGCCAAGCGUUCAUAACGUCUUGGUUCUCUGGGAUGGGUGCUUCACCUAGCGGUCCUUCUAGGACAUAUGCUUUCUUGGCAGCUAUGAGGAUGAUCCUCAGGUUCCGGACCCAGUCCGUAUAGUUGCUGCCAUCAUCUUUCAGCUUGGUUUUCUCCAGGAACCCGUUGAAGUUCAUGUUGACAUGAGCGUUGGCCAUUUGAUCUACAAGACAUAUUUUGCAAAGAUUUUAGACUAAGUUCAUGAUAAUUAAGUUCAUCUAAUCAAAUUAUUUAAUGAACUCCCACUCAGAUUUGACAUCCCUCUAGUCAUCUAAGUGUUACAUGAUCCGAGUCGACUAGGCCGUGUUCGAUCAUCACGUGAGACGGACUAGUCAUCAUCGGUGAACAUCCCCAUGUUGAUCGUAUCUUCCAUACGACUCAUGUUCGACCUUUCGGUCUCUGUGUUCCGAGGCCAUGUCUGUACAUGCUAGGCUCGUCAAGUUAACCUAAGUGUUUUUGCAUGUGUAAAACUGUCUUACACCCAUUGUAUGUGAACGUAGGAAUCUAUCACACCCGGUCAUCACGUGGUGCUUUGAAACGACGAACUUUAGCAACGGCGCACAGUUAGGGGGAACACCUUCUUGAAAUUAUUAUGAGGGAUCAUCUUAUUUACUACCGCCGUUCUUAGUAAACAAGAUGCAUAAACAGAAUAAACAUCACAUGCAAUUAUAUAGUAGUGACAUGAUAUGGCCAAUAUCAUAUAGCUCCUUUGAUCUCCAUCUUCGGGGCUCCAUGAUCAUCUUCGUCACCGGCAUGACACCAUGAUCUCCAUCAUCAUGAUCUCCAUCAUCGUGUCUCCAUGAAGUUGCUCGCCAACUUUUACUUCUACUACUAUAGCUAACUGUUUAGCAAUAAAGUAAAGUAAUUACAUGGCGUUAAAUCAUUGACACGCAGGUCAUACAAUAAUUAAGACAACUCCUAUGGCUCCUGCCGGUUGUCAUACUCAUCAACAUGCAAGUCGUGAUUCCUACUACAAGAACAUGAUCUCAUACAUCACAAUAUAUCAUUCAUCAUUCAUCACAACUUUUGGCCAUAUCACAUCACAUAGCAAUUGCUGCAAAAACAAGUUAGACGUCCUCUAAUUGUUGUUGCAUCUUUUACGUGGCUGCAAUUGGGUUCUAGCAAGAACGUUUUCUUACCUACGAAUAACCACAACGUGAUUUUUGUCAACUUCUAUUUACCCUUCAUAAGGACCCUUUUCAUCGAAUCCCCUCCAGCUAAAGUGGGAGAGACAGACACCCGCUAGCCACCUUAUGCAACUAGUGCAUGUCAGUCGGUGGAACCUGUCUCACGUAAGCGUACGUGUAAGGUCGGUCUGGGCCGCUUCAUCCCACAAUACUGCUGAAGCAAGAUAAGACUAGUAAUGGCAAGCAAGUUGACAAGAUCUACGCCCACAACAGAUUUGUGUUCUACUCGUGCAAUAGAGAACUACGCAUAGAUCUAGCUCUGAUACCACUGUUGGGGAACGUUGCAUAAAAUAAAAAAAUUCUAUGUUCACCAAGAUCAAUCUAUGAGUUCAUCUAGUAACGAGAGAGAGAGAGAUGCAUCUACAUACCCUUGUAGAUCGCGUGCUGAAGCAUUCAAGAGAACGGGGUUGAGGGAGUCAUUCUCGUCGUGAUCCAAAUCACCGGAGAUCCUAGCGCCAAACGGACGGCACCUCCACGUUCAACACACGUACGGUCAGCGUGACGUCUCCUCCUUAUUGAUCCAGCAAGGGGGAAGGAGAGGUUGAUGAAGAUCCAGCAGCACAACAGCGUGGUGGUGGAUGCAGCAGGGUUCUGGCAGGGCCCAAACCUGGGUAAAAACAUCGUGUCCCUCGUCUCCUGUUACCAUCCGCCUAGACGCACAGUUCGGGAUCCCCUACCUGAGAUCCGCCGGUUUUGACACCGACAUUGGUGCUUUCAUUGAGAGUUCCUCUGUGUCGUGGCCGAUAGGCUCGAUGGCUUCUUCGAUCAUCAUCAACAACGCAGUCCAGGGUGAGACCUUCCUCCCCGGACAGAUCUUCGUAUUCGGCGGCUUUGCACUGCGGGCCAAUUCGCUUGGCCAUCUAGAGCAGAUCGAAAGUUACGCCCCUGGCCGUCAGGUCAGAUUCGGAAGUUUGAACUUCACGGCUGACAUCCGCGGGGACUUGAUCUUCGACGGAUUCGAGCCACAGCCGAGCGCGCCGCACUAUCACGACGGACAUGAUUUAGCUCUGCAGCCGGACAGUGCCCUGGAGGCCGCACUCGAGCCCACUCCGAUCUUCAAUCCAGAGCCGGUUGCGCAGAUCGAGGACGGAUGGCUAGACACCGCCUCGGGGGCUGCAACCUCUACGGUGUUAGAGCCGAACACUGAUCUUGUCCCUCACAAAGCUCGUGACUCCGAGGUGCCGGACUCCUUGCCGGACUCCGAACCUCCUGCGCCCCCACCAAUCGAAUCCGGUUGGGCGCCGAUCAUGGAGUUUACUGCCUCGGACAUCUUUCAACACUCACCUUUUGGCGACAUCCUGAGUUCGCUAAGGUAUCUCUCAUUAUCAGGAGAGCCCUGGCCGGACUACGGCCAGGACGGUUGGGAUGCGGACGGCGAAGAAAUUCAAAGCCCACCCACCACCCACUUGGUAGCCACUGUCGAUGAUCUAACCGACGUGCUAGACUACGACUCCAAAGAUAUCGACAGUAUGGACGACGAUGCCGGAGACGACCACGAACCAGCGCCUACCGGGCACUGGAAAGCCACCUCAUCAUAUGACAUAUACAUGGUGGAUAUCCCAAAGGAUGGGAAUGGCGAAGGGGAAGCGAAGGAUGACCCCUCCAAGAAACAGCCCAAGCGCCAACGUCAGCGACGCCGCUCUAAAUCCCGCCAUAGCAAGAAUGAAGAUUCCGGCACCAGAGAUAAUAACACCCCAGAUAGUGCCGAAGACAACCCACUCCAGCAAGAUUCAGCAUAGGAGGACGGAGACGCCAGCCCUCAUGAGAGAGCGGCAGAAGAAGAGGUUGAGGACUACAUGCCUCCCUCCGGAGACGAGGCAAGCCUCGACAACGACGAAUUCGUCGUGCCUGAGGAUCCCGUCGAACAAGAGCGUUUUAAACGCAGGCUUAUGGCUACGGCAAACAGCCUCAAGAAAAAGCAGCAAUAGCUUAGAGCUGAUCAAGAUCUGCUAGCCGACAGAUGGACUGAAGUCCUCGCAGCCGAAGAGCAUGAGCUCGAACGCCCCUCCAAAAGCUACCCUAAACGCAAGCUGCUCCCCCGAUUAGAGGAGGAGGCAUAUGAACCCGCAUCACCAGGAGACAAUAUGGCUGAUCGACCACCUCGUGGUCGAGACAGAGAGGCCUCUAGGCCCUUCACUAGACCCGUAUCCCGGCAUCGCUCGAAAAGCACAAGGCCACAGGGAAACGCUCUGGAUUUGCGAGAUAUAUUGGAGAAUAGGGCAAGACAAUCAAGAUCGAUCUAUGGAUCGCGUGAGCGCCCCAUGAUACAUGACGACAACCGUCGCGCCGGACACAGUAAGUCCGGCCGGGCCGAACAAAACAGACAAAGCUCUUUUGAGCUCCGUCGUGACAUCGCCCAGUACAGAGGUGCCGCACACCCACUAUGCUUCAUGGAUGAAGUAAUGGAUCAUCAAAUCCCCGAAGGGUUUAAACUCAUAAACAUCAAAUCUUACGAUGGCACAACAGACCCCGCGGUUUGGAUCGAAGAUUAUCUCCUUCACAUCCACAUGGCCCGCGGUGAUGAUCUUCACGCCAUCAAAUAUCUCCCCCUCAAGCUUAAAGGACCAGCUCGGCAUUGGCUUAACAGCUUGCCAGCAGAGUCAAUUGGGAGUUGCGAGGACCUGGAAGCCGCAUUCCUCGAUAACUUCCAAGGCACGUAUGUGCGACCACCAGACGCAGAUGACCUAAGCCACAUAAUUCAGCAGCCAGACGAAUCGGCCAGACAAUUCUGGACACGGUUCUUAACCAAGAAAACCAAAUCGUCGACUGUCCGGAUGCCGAGGCCCUCGCGGCCUUCAAGCAUAACAUCCGCGAUGAGUGGCUUGCCCGGCACCUGGGACAGGAAAAGCCGAAAUCCAUGGCAGCCCUCACAUCACUCAUGACCCGCUUCUGCGCGGGUGAGAACAGCUGGCUAGCACGCAGCAACAACCUCAGCAAAAAUUCUGGCAGUCCGGAUAUCAAGGACCGUAAUGGCAGGUCGCGUCGUAAUAAAAACAAACGCCGCAUUAACGGCGACAACAAUGAGGAUACGACAGUCAAUGCCGGAUUCAGAGGCUCUAAACCCGGUCAGCGGAAAAAGCCAUUCAAGAGAACUACUCCGGGUCCAUCCAAUUUGGACCGAAUACUCGACCGCUCGUGCCAGAUACAUGGCACCCCCGAAAAGCCAGCUAACCACACCAACAAGGACUGUUGGGUAUUCAAGCAGGCAGGCAAGUUAAUUCCCGAAAACAAUGACAAGGGGCUGCAUAGCGACGACGAGGAAGAGACUUGACCGCCAAACAAUAGAGGACAGAAGGGUUUCCCCCCACAGGUGCGGACGGUGAACAUGAUAUACGCAACGCACAUACCCAAAAGGGAGCGGAAGCGUGCACUCAGGGAUGUAUACGCGAUGGAGCCAGUUGCCCCGAAGUUCAAUCCAUGGUCCUCCUGCCCGAUCACUUUUGACCGAAGGGACCACCCCACCAGCAUCCGCCAUGGCGGAUUCGCCGCAUUGGUUCUAGACCCAAUCGUCGAUGGAUUUCACCUCACGAGAGUCCUGAUGGACGGCGGCAGCAGCCUGAACCUGCUUUAUCAGGACACGGUGCGCCAAAUGGGCAUAGACCCUUCAAGGAUUCAACCUACCAAGACAACCUUUAAAGGCGUCAUACCAGGUGUAGAAGCCAAUUGUACAGGCUCAGUUACACUGGAAGUGGUCUUCGGAUCCCCGGAUAACUUCUGAAGCGAGGAGUUAAUCUUCGACAUAGUUCCGUUCCGCAGCGGCUAUCAUGCUCUGCUCGGACGUACCGCGUUCGCAAAGUUCAACGCGGUGUCGCACUAUGCAUACCUCAAGCUCAAGAUGCCAGGCCCUCGAGGGGUCAUCACGGUCAAUGGAAACACUGAACGCUCUCUCCGAACGGAGGAACAUACAGUGGCUCUCGCGGCAGAAGUACAAUGCAGCCUCUUAAGGCAAUUCUCAAGUCCGGUCGCUAAGCGGCCGGACACAGCUAAGCGCGCCCGGAGUAACCUACAACAAGACCACCUGGCACGUUCUGAGCACGCGUAGCAGUGCGUCCCCGACCCCAGCCCCCGUAAAGCGUCAAGACAGGUCCCUCGCGUACACCAUUACGCUCUGAAGAUACUAUGGGCAUGGGGAGAGGGGCACGACCACGAUAGGCCCAGACUGUGGCUCAACCACACCAGGGGCUCUCAAGUGUGUCGUUCUUUUUUUCUUUUCUUUUAUUUUUACCCACAGUACUCCGUUCGUCAGAGGCCCUGUCCGGCAGCAGACACGCCGAACUCACGAUGCAACAGCCAGGGAAGGAGUAAGGCUACAACAAAUAUCCAGAUGGUCUCCAUUAUGAGCAUUAAAUCCGUUUUAUGCAUUAUUCCGCAGCCUACCCCUGGAGGGGGACAUGUUUAACAGUCUCAUCCCUUGCUUAUCGCACCAUUUGUAUCAUUCUGCACUUACAACAGUUUUCUUGAAUAAAGUAAUGCAGCACUUUCUUGCUUCCAAUUGCAUUUCUUUCUUAUACAUAUGUUCAUCUAUGACAUGUUGCAUCCGUACGUUUUGGUAUGGCUAAAUACACCAGGGGCUUAUGUUUCCCGCAUAAUGGUGUGAUAAGUCCGAACACUUUCACAAGUGCGGCACCCCGAACUUAUAGCAUUAUAUGCAUCAGCUCCGAAUCAUGUCUUGGGUCAAUAGUUGGGUUUGCCCGGCUCCCAUGUUUUGGUACCUUACGUUCCGUUUUAUCGGCUAAGGUAGCACUGGGAGAACCACUGCGAUUGUGCCCCAGUUGAGCUGGGUUAACGCCUCAGUGGAGAAAGCUAAAACUGACUGUCAUGAUGAGGCGAGAGCUGGUCGCUGUUCGAGAGGUUUUUUCGAGUCCCUAAAGACUUAUGCCGCUUAGAGCGAGGAGCCGGAUUCUGUCCGGCCCAGGCGUGGAUAGCGCCCCAAAUUCGGCCUUCCGAAUACUAGGGGCUUCGCCGAAAUUUAAAAUUAUAGAAUUCUAUGGCUAAGUGAGAGUGUUCAAGCAUUAUAAGUCCGGUUGCCUUGUUCGUUGUGUUGAGCGCCUCCCUAGAUGGACCCAAAAAUGGGAACAAGAGCGCUCAAAUUUAUCCCGAACACCCCAGCACUCGCGGCAUGGGGGCUGAAGCCGACGACUUGCCAUCUCUCAGAUUUGAUAAACAGCCGCACAAAAGGUAAUAUUUUAAAUUAACAUGCGUUGCUUAGCGCAAAUGAACUAAGUUUUCAGCGCACAGGAUAACAAAAUGCGAGUCUACUCAAAUAUUACAUCUUUGGAGCACUCACCCGCAGUAGUGCGGGCGCCCUUCAUCACACUCUUAUAGUACAUCUCGGGCGUGCGAUGCUCCUUGCCCUCCGGUGGUGGGUCCGUCACGAGCUUCUGGGCAUCCAUCUUGCCCUAGUGCACCUUUGCGCGGGCAAGGGCCCGACGGGCACCUUCAAUACAGGCGGAGUGCUUGAUGACUUCAACCCACGGGAACGCAUCCACCAGCCGCCGCACCAGGCCGAAGUAGCUCCCAGGCAUGGCCUCCUUAGGCCACAGCCAAACUAUGAGGCCCUUCAUGGCCAGUUCGGCCGCCUUGUGGAGCUCGACCAGCUGCUUCAGCUGGUCGCUAAGGGGCACCGGAUGUCCGGCCUCAGCAUAGUGAGACCAGAAGACCUUCUCUGUCGAGCUCCCCUCCUCGGCCCGGUAGAACGCGGCAGCAUCGGACACGCUACGAGGAAGAUCUGCGAACGCUCCUGGAGAGCUCCGAAUUCGGGUAAGCAACAGGUAAUUAACACUCACAUGCUUACUUUGCAUGAAAAAUGCCUUACCCGCUGCUAUUUUCUUCAACUCCUCGAUUUCCUGGAGGGCCUUGUAGGCUUCGGCCUUAGCGGCUUUGGCACUCUCAAGAGCCGUUGCGAGCUCCGACUCUCGAGUCUUCGAGUCACGCUCCAGGCUCUCAUGUUUUUUCAUGAGAUCCUAGAGCUCUUGCUGUACCUCCGCCACCCGCGCCUCCUGCUUCUCUCGCUCGGUGCGCUCCGCGGCCGCAUUGCGUUCGGCUGCGGCCACCGCCUCUUUCAGGGUCACCACCUCGUUAGUGGCCCCUACCAUAUCCAUGUUAUCCUUGUCAUUUUUCUUGCAACCAAAUCAUUUUCUGUAAGGUACAAUUUUCAUAAGGUGUUACUCACCUUCCUUGUCCUCGAGCUGCUUCUUGGCACGGCCGAGCUCGUUCUCGGACCGCUCGAGGUUUUCCUUCAAAGUAUUGACCUCCGCAGUCAGUGCGGCAGAGGUCAGCAGCACAGCCUGCAAUCCCAUAUUGACAUAUUUUUAUGACUCCUGCGUAUAUCUUUUUUAGAUCCUCAGUCCGGCUUUUCUUUCCGAACACCGAACCGAGCAUCAGGGGCUACUGUUUAUGCGGUACUAUUUUUACAUAUAUCAAAAUUCUUACCUCAAAGCCUGUUAGAAGGCUGCUGCAGGCUUCGGUCAGCCCGCUCUUAGCGAGCUAAACCUUCUGAAUCACCGCACUCAUAACAGUGCGGUGUUCCUCUUCAAUGGAGGCGCCAUUGAGUGCCUCCAGCAAUCUAUCCGGCGCCUCCGGUUGGACGGAAGCUGCCGGCGUCACGGUCUUGCCCUUCUUACAAAGGGGUAGCCCGCCGGACUCCGGAGCCACUAGGGGCUCCGGGGCCGAGUCCGGUGCAAAGUCCGGGAGGUUGUCCUGCGACACCUCCGGGGCCUUCUCCUCCUGGUGGGUCCCUUCCCGGGAUCCCACCUCGGCAUCGUCCGCGUCAUGAGGGGAGGAGGCGGUCGGAAGGGAAUCCAUAUCCGACGCACCUAAGGACCCGCUCGGCGAAGCGGGAAGAUCAUCCUUGGGCGGACUACAGGGUUGUAUGUGGCAUUAGAGAGACAUUAUGUGGCAAAAUAAUCAUGAAGCUAUUUGAGAAGUCCGGAUACUUACGAUCUCGCCGGAGGCUUGGACCUUGGAGGCCAGUCCUCGUCGUCGUCACUGGCGUUGGCAGAGCAGUCCGGGGAAAGAGUUUUUCCCUUCUUGGACCCUUCGGCCUCCCCCGUAGGGGAAGCCUUCCUUUUCUUCCCUCCUCCGCUGGGGGAGGGGCUUUCUUCUUCUCCUCCUCACCUUGGUGGGAGGAGUCGGCCUCGGAGUCAUCAUCCGAUAACACCUGAAAACGGGAACUCUUUCGAGUACCCAUGGCCUUCUUCUUGGCCUUCUUCUCCGGCACCACGUGGGGUGCCGGAGCCAGCAGCCCCGCUAGACGAGCGUCCGAUGGUUCCUCUGGCAAUGGGGCCGGACAGAUAGUUUAUUCGGCCUUUGCCAGCCAGUCCUGUCAAAGGUAAAGGGAGUUUAGAUCCCGCAUAGAGUCAAACUAUGGAAAACGAGCAUUCUGUAAAGCAUGAAAUCACUUACCUCGUCAGCCGGACGCUGCGAGCUGAAUCCGCGAUCUUCGGUAGCGGAUGCGGGAGCCUCGGCGCCCUUGAACAGCACCUUCCAGACCUCUUCGUACAUAGUGUCGAAGAGCCCGCUCAGGGUCUGGUGCUGCGCCGGAUCGAACUCCCUCAUGUUGAAGCCCCGUCGUUGGCACGGGAGAAUCCGGCGGAUGAGCAUGACCUGGAUUACGUUGACAAGCUUGAGCUUCUUGUCCACCAGCUUUUGGACGCGGGCUUGGAGUCCGGUCAGCUCCUCCGAAUCACCCCAGAUCUGGCCACUCUUUUUCCAGGAGGUGAGCCGUGUGGGGAUGCCGGAUCUGAAUUCGGGGGCCGCUGCCCAUUCGGGGUCACACGGCUCGGUGAUGUAGAACCACCCCGAUUGCCACCCCUUGAUGGUUUCCAUGAAAGUGCCCUCGAGCCAAGUAACGUGGGACAUCCUGCCCACCAUGGAGCCUCCACACUCCGCUUGGCUGCCCUUCACAACCUUCGGCUUGACACUGAAGGUCUUGAGCCACAAGCCGAAGUGGGGCUGGAUGCAGAGGAAGGCCUCACACACGACGAUAAACGCCGAGAUGUUGAGGAUAAAAUUCGGGGCCAGAUCAUGGAAAUCCAGGACGUAGUAGAACAUGAGCCCCCGGACAAAGGGAUGGAGCGGGAAGCCCAGUCCGCGGAGGAAAUGGGGUAGAAAUACUACCCUCUCAUGGGGCCUGGGGGUGGGGAUGAGCUCUCCCUCUUCGGGGAGCCGGUGCGCGAUGUUGCUGGACAAAUAUCCGGCGUUGCGCAGCUUCUGGAUCUGCCCCUCUGUGACGGAGGAGGCCAUCCACUUGCCUCCUGCUCCGGACAUGAUUGGAGAAGGUUGAGGUGAGGUGUGUGGGCUCGGGCACUGGAGCUCGUGUUCGCAGAGAUGGAUAAGCUAAGGAGGAAGAAGGCACAUGUAAAAGGGUUGGAUCUUUAUCCCCUUAUAUGGGCGGGCGGAAAUAUGCGUCCCCAUCGGCCUGAUAAAACUCGCUUAUCCCCCAAGAGCUGCAAUCAAUGGCGCGGUUGGGUUACCCAGUCCGUAUUGAUGGGAAUACCGGAAUAAGGGGAACACGAUCUCUGCUUUGACAAGACGUGCCAAGGAAACCGCUUCGCUAAACAUGCUGAGGUGGUACAAUAAAAACGAUUUAAGUAAAGGCUUGGUAGUGGUGUGACGUCAUGCCAUCAAAUACGUCAGCAGAUUGAACUUGUGUAAAUAUUAUUCUCUCUACGGUGGUAUGUGGAAAUUACUUUGCAGAGCCGGACACUAUCCUGGUGUUCACAAUCUUCUAUAAAUUAUUCGGAGGAGGAACCCGCCUUGCAAUGCCGAAGACAAUAUGCGCGCCAUACUCGUUGUCAUUGAAGCCUGGUUCAGGGGCUACUGAGGGAGUCCCGGACUAGGGGGUGUCUGGAUAGCCGAACUAUCAUCAUCGGCCGGACUCCAAGACUAUGAAGAUACAAGAUUGAAGACUUUGUCCCGUGUCUGGAUGGGACUUUCCUUGGCAUGGAAGGCAAGCUUGGCGAUACGGAUAUGUAGAUCUCCUACCAUUGUAACCGACUCUGUGUAACCCUAGCCCUCUCUGGUGUCUAUAUAAACCGGAUGGCUUUAGUCCGUAGGACGAACAACAAUCAUACCAUAGGCUAGCUUCUAGGGUUUAGCCUCCUUGAUCUCGUGGUAGAUCUACUCUUGUACCCACAUCAUCAAUAUUAAUCAAGCAGGACGUAGGGUUUUACCUCCAUCAAGAGGGCCCGAACCUGGGUAAAAACAUCGUGUCCCUCGUCUCCUGUUACCAUCCGCCUAGACGCACAGUUCGGGACCCCCUACCCGAGAUCCGCCGGUUUUGACACCGACAGGAGGCGCCCCCCCACCCUAGGGUUUCCAACCCUAGGCGCAGGGGGGGCCAAGGGGGGCGCACCAGCCAACUAGGGGCUGGUUCCCCUCCCGCUUCAGCCCACGGGGUCCUCCGGGAUAGGUGUCCCCACCCGGUGGACCCCCGGGACCCUUCCGGUGGUCCCGGUACAAUACCGAUGACCCCCGAAACUCUCCCGAUGGCCGAAACUGCACUUCCUAUAUAUAAUUCUUUUCCUCCGGACCAUUCCGGAACUCCUCGUGACGUCCGGGAUCUCAUUCGAGACUCCGAACAACUUUCGGUUUGCUGCAUACUCAUAUUCAUACAACCCUAGCGUCACCGAACCUUAAGUGUGUAGACCCUACGGGUUCGGGAAACAUGUAGACAUGACCAAGACGGCUGUCCGGUCAAUAACCAACAGCGGGAUCUGGAUACCCAUGUUGGCUCCCACGUGCUCCUCGAUGAUCUCAUCAGAUGAACCACGAUGUCGAGGAUUCAAGCAACCCCGUAUACAAUUCCCUUUGUCAAUCGGUAUGUUACUUGCCCAAGAUUCGAUCGUCGGUAUCCCAAUACCUCAUUCAAUCUCGUUACCGGCAAGUCACUUCACUCGUACCGUAAUGCAUGAUCCCCUGACCAGACACUUGGUCACUUUGACCUCAUUAUGAUGAUGCACUACCGAGUGGGCCUAGUGAUACCUCUCCGUAAUAUGGAGUGACAAAUCCCAGUCUCGAUCCGUGUCAACCCAACAGAUACUUUCGGAGAUACCCGUAGCAUACCUUUAUAGUCACCCAGUUACGUUGUGACGUUUGGUACACCCAAAGCACUCCUAUGGUAUCUGGGAGUUACACGAUCUCAUGGUCUAAGGAAGAGAUACUUGACAUUGGAAAAGCUCUAGCAAAACGAACUACACGAUCUUUUGCUAUGCUUAGGAUUGGGUCUUGUCCAUCACAUCAUUCUCCUAAUGAUGUGAUCCCGUUAUCAAUGACAUCCAAUGUCCAUAGUCAGGAAACCAUGACUAUCUGUUGAUCAACGAGCUAGUCAACUAGAGGCUCACUAGGGACAUGUUGUGGUCUAAGUAUUCACACGUGUAUUAUGAUUUCCAGAUAAUACAAUUAUAGCAUGAAUAAAAGACAACUAUCAUGAACAAAGAAAUAUAAUAAUAAUCCUUUUAUUAUUGCCUCUAGGGCAUAUUUCCAACAGUUAGCAAGCUCAUGAGCUACAGAAUUGGCACUACGCCUACACACAGAGAUGGAAGCACUAGAGAACCACAACUUUAGCUGAUAUUUCAUGUCCUCAAUCAAUGCUGCAUACGCCGAGGAGUCAACCUUGCAUAGAUCAAGCGCCUCUGCCAAGAGCUGGGAGUCGGUCUCAAGCUGCACCCUCACGAGUCCAAGAUCAGAAGCCAUGUUGAUUGCCUGUGACAUGGCUAUUGCUUCCGCUGCAAAGGCAUCGCCAAUGUGAUUUGCCUUGCCAGCUCGAGCACAGAUUAGUUUGCCAUCUGCCAAUCUGACAGCGACGCCCCAGCCCGCAUGAUCCUGCCCUGGAAUGAAGGAGCCAUCCACAUUGAUUUUGUACGUCGACGCCUCCGGGGGGCACUGAGGGAGUCCUGGAUUAGGGGGUGUCCGGAUGGCCGGACUAUGACCUUUGGCCGGACUCCCGGACUAUGAAGAUACAAGAUUGAAGACUCCGUCCCAUGUCUGGAUGGGACUUUCCUUGGCGUGGAAGGCAAGCUUGGCGAUAUGAUAUGAAGAUCUCCUCCCAUUGUAACCGACUCUGUGUAACCCUAGCCCUCUCCGGUGUCUAUAUAAACCGGAGAGUUUUAGUCCGUAGGACGAACAACAAUCAUACCAUAGGCUAGAUUCUAGGGUUUAGCCACUCCGAUCUCGUGGUAGAUCUACUCUUGUACUACCCAUAUCAUCAAUAUUGAUCAAGCAGGAGUAGGGUUUUACCUCCAUCGAGAGGGCCCGAACCUGGGUAAAAACAUCAUGUCCCUUGUCUCAUGUUACCAUCCGCCUAGACACACAGUUCGGGACCCCCUACCCGAGAUCCGCCGGUUUGACACCGACAUUGGUGCUUUCAUUGAGAGUUCCGCUGUGUCGUCACCAUCAGGAAGGAUGCCGCAUCCCAUCUUUAAAGACGGCGUGUUGCUAAAGGAGCUUUGGCUGUCGGCCAGACUCUCCGGCUAGGCAGGUUUUUGAUGACCGCCAGUCCGGCCACCGCGCCAACGAUGACCUCUCGGGCCAUCGAAAGCAAUCUUCACAUCAGCUCGGAGCUCGCCGAGCAGUUGGAUCUGAUGGAGCUCUUCUCCCUGAACGAACUCUUGGAUCGCCUCGCGGCCCUGGGAGUCGCUACUGAUUACGACUAGAUUGGGCUUAAACCUGAUCAGAGAGAGAUUGACUCUCCCCAGAUUACCCACCACGUUGAAGUGGUGGAAGAACAAUGCGGCGAGUCCUCGCCCGCCCUAAGGACUAGAUGCGUCCGGAUUCCCGAUCCCUCAAAGCCGGAUACCCGUGGAGGGGAGGAUGUCGCCCAAACCCUGAACCUAAAGUCGGGUAGCAGGCCCGAUUCAGUGAAUAAUAUCCGAGAAAGCAAGCUUCCGAAUUCGGAAACCGCUCGGCCCCUGAAUCUUACAUCGGGCUGGGUUCUGGAUCUAUUCCCACCCGCCCACCCAACUAUACGGGAUUUAUCCCUAAUACGGCAAGAGUCCGGAGAAACAGUACACCACUACUGGGCCAGAUUCCUCCUGGGUAUGAACAGGAUCAAGGACUGCCGAGAGAAAGAAGCAAUUUCACUUUUCCUUAACAACUGCACGGACAUCAGAAUCCUCAACGCCAUAAGUCGCCGCGAAAUUACACGAUUCGCCGACUUGACAUCCAUAGUACGAAAGUAUUGUGCGAUUGAAAGCGUUCAGAAAACCGAAGAUAAAUUCUGGGACAAUCCGGCCCCGAAUAUAACACGAGUCCGAAACAAAAGGGCGCAUUAUCGCCAGGCAUCUGAGCUAAAUAUCAAAAAAACAAAAGCCCUCUACAGGGUACGGGACCGUAUUGGAAGAAUGGCUCAAUGGACCCUGUAGAAUUCAUAAUUCAGGGAAAGCCGCACCAAAGCACAGCCUCAGAGCAUGUUGGAUACUACGGCAUGUAGCCAGAAGCGGCGAGGAGCUUUUAACUCCAACACCCGAAGAACACCUCCCCAGUACGGUGUCGACAGUCUUCGAGACGUUCACAUCAAACAAUGCAAGGAAACGAACGCUCCGCAACCUCGCUGAAGUCUACCAAGUAGCAACAAUAAACCCAUGGAGUGACACGGCUAUCACCUUUAAUGCCAGUGACGAACCUAAAUUCCGUACAGCCCGAGCACCAGCCGCAUUGGUCCUCAGUCCGAUAGUGGACGACUUUCGACUUACAAAGGUACUCAUGGACGGCGGCAGCGGACUCAACCUCAUAUACGAGGAAACCCUACGAAAAAUGGAAAUUGACUGGAGCCGCAUUGAGGGAAGCAACACAACUUUUAGGGGAAUAAUCCCAAGCCGGGAAGCGUGCUGUUCAGGAAAAAUCACACUAGAUGUGGUGUUCGGCAUGCCGGACAAUUACAGAUCCGAGGAGGUCAUGUUCCAAGUGGCCCCGUUCAGCAGCGGCUACCACGCUCUGCUAGGGCGAGAAGCAUUUACAAUUUUCCAAGCCAUACCCCAUUAUGGGUACAUGAAGCUCAAAAUUCCCGGGCCCAACGAAAUCAUCACUCUCGCAAGUGAUCCGGACAUAGCGCUCCGCGCUGAAAACAAGACAGCCGCACUAGCCUUGGAGGCAUUAUCUGAGGCCCUAGCGGCCGAGGAACUAACGGCUUUGCGCUCCACGGUGGACAGGGACGACGUGAUACUAGACAAGAGAUCCAAGUCCACCUCUUUUAAACCAGCGGACGAAAUAGUCAAAUUCCAAGUCCAUCCAACGGACCCUACAAAAACGGCCUCCAUCGGGGCACAACUAAAACCCGAUGUAGAUGCCGCACUCAGAGACUUCCUGCGAGAAAAUUGGGACAUUUUCGCCUGGCACCCCUCAGACAUGCCAGGAAUCCCACGCAGGCUGGCUGAGCACAGCCUGAACAUCCUAAAAGGGUUUAAACCCGUCAAGCAGACUCUAUGGCGUUUUUUCGAGCCCAAGAGACAAGCCAUGGGAGAGGAGCUAGCAAAACUGCUGGAAGCCGGAUUCAUCAGAGACAUAAAACAUCCGGACUGGCUAGCAAACCUGGUGAUGGUACCAAAGAAGGACAAAUCUUGGCGCCUAUGUGUCGAUUUCAAAGACCUAAACAAGGCCUGUCCAAAGGACCCUUUCCCACUCCCCCGAAUUGAUCAAAUCAUCGACGCCACCGCAGGACACGACUCAUUGUGUUUCCUCGACGCAUACUUUGGCUACCAUCAAAUCAAGAUGGCAGAGUCAGACCAAGCCGCAACGGCAUUCAUCACCCCAUACGGCCCAUUCUGCUUCAACACGAUGCCCUUCGGGCUCAAAAAUGCCGGCGCAACAUAUCAGCGCAUGAUUCAGACAUGCCUGGCAAACCAGAUCGGCAAAACAGAUGAAGCAUACGUAGAUGACGUGGUCGUCAAAACAAAACAUGUUGAUACUCUAGUAGACGACUUGAGGCUCACGUUCGACAAUCUCCGAACAUAUGACAUCAAGCUCAACCCGGAAAAAUGCAUUUUCGGCGUACCAGCCGGGAAGCUCUUGGGCUUCAUCGUAUCCGGUAGAGGAAACGAAGCAAACCCAGCCAAGAUCCGAGCUCUGUCACAAUUGGAUACCCCAAAGGACCUCAAGCAGAUACAAAAACUGACAGGAUGCGUGGAGGCUUUAAGCCGCUUUAUCUCCCGCUUAGGAGAAAAGGCAUUACCCCUCUAUCGCCUCCUGCGACGCACCGACCACUUCGAGUGGACGGAUGCCGACACGGUCGGACUCGAAGAAAUAAAAGCCAUACUGGCAACAAAUCCGGUCCUGGCCGCGCCCAACACGGGUGAACCAAUGCUAUUAUACAUCGGGGCAACCCAUCAAGUGGUAAGCGCGGUGCUCGUCGUCGAACGAGAAGCGGAUGGACACAAGUUCCCCCUCCAAAAACCAGUGUACUAUGUGUCCACUGUGCUAACUCCAUGCAAGUCACGGUACCCGCAUUAUCAAAAGAUAGCAUACACGGUGUUCAUGGCAUCCCGGAAGCUGCGACACUACUUUCAAGAAUGCUCCAUAACAGUGGCAUCCGAAGUACCCCUUAAUGACAUUAUAAACAACCGUGACGCAACGGGCCGGAUUGCCAAAUGGGCCAUCGAGCUCCUCCCGUUCGACAUAACCUACAAACCAAGGCAAGCUAUUAAGUCGCGGGUUUUGGCCGACUUCAUUGCCGAAUGGACUGAAGCCGAACUCCCUAAAGAAUACGGCGCAUACUCCAAUUGGAUCAUGCACUUCGACGGCUCCAAAAUGUUGGCCGGCCUGGGGGCUGGCGACGUUCUGACGUCCCCAACUGGGGACACAGUCCAAUACGUACUUCAGAUAAUGUACACGGAUUCGAACAACGCAGCCGAAUACGAGGCCCUUUUACAUGGCCUCCGGAUGGCAGUCUCCAUGAGCAUUCAGUGCCUAGAGGUCCGCGGGGAUUCAAACCUCGCAAUAUCCCAAAUAAAUGGAGACUUCGAAGCCAAGGAUCCGAAAAUGGCAGCUUACCGCAACGCCAUCUUAAAGAUGUCAGCUCGGUUUGAGGGGCUUGAAUUUCAUCACAUAGCCCGGGAAAAUAACCAAGCAGCAGACGUGUUGGCACGCAUUGGCGCCAAGCGCGAGGCCGUCCCUCCCAACAUCUUCCUAGAAAGGCUGUUUAAGCCAUCCGUAUCAUGGGAAGGAGAAUCUGGAAACAAUAGCCCGGACACAACUACACCGCCCCUCACCGAACAUUCUGACACAAUUGGGGGCUCUGCCAACGAAACAACACCAUCAGCCCACGAAAUAAUGGCAGUUAUUGCCCCUUGGACAGAACCAUUCCUAGCCUACUUAACUAGGCAGGAACUCCCUGAAGACCAAAACGAGGCCCGCUGCAUAGUGCGGCGAUCUAAAGCCUACAAAGUCCACGAGGGAGAGCUUUACAAGAAAAGCACAACCGGAGUCCUUCAAAGGUGUAUCUCCGAAGAAGAAGGACGGAACCUUUUGGCUGAAAUCCAUGUCGGACUCGACGGGCACCACGCAGCAGCCCGGGCCCUUGUAAGCAAGGCCUUCCGUACCGGAUUUUAUUGGCCAACGGCCCGGGCAGAUGCUCAGGACUUAGUGCAAUGAUGUGUUGGUUGCCAGUUAUUCGCCAAUCAAAGCCACAUGCCGCCUACCGCCCUACAAACUAUACCCAUUACCUGGCCUUUCGCGGUCUGGGGGCUGGACAUGGUCGGACCCCUUAAAGGAGGAACCCACAAGCAAAAAUACCUACUGGUCAUGGUGGACAAAUUCACCAAAUGGAUAGAAGCCAAGCCUGUGAAGACAGACGAAUCCGAACCAGUGAUAGACUUCAUAUCCGGGGUCGUACACCGUUACGGUGUCCCCCCACAGCAUCAUAACGACAACGGUACAAACUUCACGGCCGAUGAAGUCAAACGUGCAAAAACAUGGGCAUCAAGCUCGACUAUGCUUCAGUCUAUCACCCUUAAACUAACGGUCAAGUCGAACGGGCCAAUGGUCUCAUUAUGAGCGGCAUCAAACCCAGACUAGUGCGAUCCCUCAAGGAAUCUGACACGCACUGGGUAGAGGAGCUUGACUCUGUACUCUGGGGGCUGCGGACCAUGCCGAAUCGCACUACCGGAUUCACACCAUUUUAUAUGGUAUACGGCGCAGAGGCAAUACUGCCAUGCGACAUAAUCCAUGACUCACCUCGAGUGCGCAUGUACGAAGAAAGAGAAGCCGAGCUUGAUCGGCAGGACAGCUUGGAUGCAUUGGAAGAGGAGCGCGACGUGACAAAAGCUCGUUCCGCAUUCUAUCAACAGCAGGCUCGAAGAUACCAAAGCAGAGAAGUACGUGCCAAAACCUACAACGUUGGCGAACUAGUUCUACGCCUGCCAAACAAGAAAAAAGAUAAAUUAAAGCCCAAAUGGGAGGGGCCCUUCAUUAUCGACCAAGUACUGACCGGCGGAGCAUACCGUCUACGAAACGCAUCGGAUAACCGACUCGAGCCGAACCCAUGGAACGCAGCACGCCUACGAAGGUUCUACGCCUAGCGCCGGACUCCAUGUUCGUUUCCUUCCUCCGUCCCUUUGUUUUAUUUUUUAUUUUUUAUUUUUUGGCAGUCCGGAAUUUUGUUCCUUCUCCCUACCCCUUUUCUAACAAGACCUUAGGGGCUUGCCUGUGCAUUGUUCGCACAUACCCGGCGCGCUACCUGCGCUCAUAAUACCUGGGGGCUUCUUUACCAAAGAAGCUUAUAUAAAACGGGCCUCAUGCCCAAAACAUGUGUGAUGCUUCUGCAUGAACCUUUUAUACACCAUUAUAUGCAUCGAUAUGACUUAAGUUUUGGCCAAGCUGGGUUGCCUGGCUCCUGUGCUUACCCCUACGUUCUUGUUCGUUCGGCUAGGUGGUAAAGGGAGCACCUCUGCGAUUGUUACUGCCGGGUCAGCCGGAUGUGUACCUCAGACUGGAUGAAGCCGAAAGCUAGCGUUCUUAAGGGAAUAUUCGGUCGGUGAACUAAAAGAUGAGCUUUCGUAUUUAUUCAUUUGCCCCCAAAUGCUUUCCUGCUCUUUCUGGCAGUUCGGACAUGCACUUUAGGGCAUGCCUCCCAGGGAAAGGAACCCCUAACGGAACUAUUCUCCCUGGAAGAUGUUUCUUACUAACCAUGUAAUAUAACAUAACUAGUUGGGCACUUGUCUGCUAAAGCACGUAUGACCCCUACUCCUUGUCUCCAUGCAUGCCCCGGUUCUUACAUAAUCGAGAGGGUAUUCGGACACACUCCGGACUAUAGGCUCUAGAGGUCGAAGCGAAAAGGUCCGCAAUGACAAACGAUCUACAAUCCGGCUAGAAGGCAUUUUUAUGUCAUUUUUACAGAGUCAUUCCGACUCGGCAUAUUCUGCUUCAAUACCAUCCAACAGACGGUCUAAUUUACAGUCCUAUUGGGAAUACUUUGCAGCCAGCUCCACCUGGACAUAUGCUAAGCUGACUGGGAUCUCCUUUCCGUCCGGACCUAUAGGGCCGACCUCGGCCAUGUGGUUUGGGUCAGCCUUCGUGUACCGAGUCUUCACCAUGGCCCAGGCCUCCCUGGCACCUUGACGGCAAGCCGAUAUCUUCCACAACCGGAAGCGCUGUCGCACUCCCUCCAGCUUCUUUGUAAGCUCCUCAAGGCCUUCGGGCACGGAGAGGGAUGGCCACAUAGCCUGGAUGACGCUUUGCAUUGCCUGCCGAACUCGUUUGUGUAGUUGCAACAGCUCGGGAAGAAGGUCUCCCGUUGAACCAGGCAUUCGACCCGUCAGCAGACCUACAAACAUGGCUCUGUUAAUUGACUUCCUCGCCGAAUUCUUUUUUUGAAGAUUCGUUCAAGCACUUACUAAAUAUGCCGCGUCGAAGUCGCCGAUUCUCCUUCACGGUAGAAGACAGCUGAAUGCGAACGUCUUUCAGUUCCUCGCCCAGCUGGGUAUUGGCGUCUUGAAGCUUGUUCUUCUCUUGCCUCACCCUUGUCAGCACGCUCUCGCCAACCUUUAGUUGGCGUAGGAGUUGUUGCCUGUCCGGAUUUACUCUGACCUCAUCUGCAUUAUUAUUGUCAGGGUUGCACGCCUGCCGCAUUACAAAACGGAAGUAUCUUUCGAAGUAUAUACUACCUGCGGGCGUCCCUGUGACAUUUUCUGAAGCGGCCAAUGCGGCCUCGAGCUGGGCCUUGCACUCUUCGAGCUCCUGGGACAAUUGCGUAUUCUUCUUUGUAAGACACUGCAUAGCACAUGAUCCUUCAACAGUUAUCUUCACUGUUUCAAGUCUCGGGGGCUACUAAUAUAUAUAACCUUCAAUUCUACUAACAUGUAUGUCUUUCACAUACUGCUCCGUGGCUCUGGCUAGACCAUCUUGAGCAGCACGGAGAUACGCAUCUCUCGUAUUAAAGGCGUCCAACGCCUUUGGGGAAAAACACGCGUCACGAAGAAUAGUCCGGCGACGCCUGUGGUUUAGGGCACUCUCCACCUCGGAAUUGGUGGCAGAUAGCCCGUUGGCUCCCUCUGUCGGAGGAGCGCCCGAGGCGCGUCCCGUGUCCGCCUCCGCUUCCGGACCCGGCCUCGAACCUUGGCCGGCAGACAUAGUCCAGCGGGCCCUCUUCUUUCUAAGAAAAUCAUGAGCAUUAGUAAGACUCAAGGGCAUAAACCCUAGGCGUUAAAUUCGCACGCCAUACCAUUGCGCCGGAAUCUCGAUCUGGUCUGCACUUCUUUUUGACCCGCCUGGCUUCAACGGCCCUUGUUGGCUGCCCACCGUGGGCUCGGCCUUCCGCCUCAAGGAUUUACCCUGUGAAACGCCGUUAGUACACGGCAUGCAAGAUAAAGCAUGAGAAUACGUGGACUUCGAUCUUAGUCACCUUGGAAGCUGGAAGUAGUCCGGGAUAGUCGGCCGUUAUGGCCACCAAGGAGUCAUCCUUGCUCAAUUGAUGAAAUACUCCCUCAAUCAACUCCACGCAUAGGUCUGGAUCUUCUUGGGAGUCCGGAUCGAGGGACCGCUCCGGGUCCUCGGGUUGAGGAGCAGGGCUGUUUAUUUCCUUCACAGCCUCGCGCAGCUCCUGCGUCUAAACAUUAUUAGUCUAAGUACUCAACUAUGGGAAUUUCAAAAACGGAUAGACAAGUGAAAGUGUCCGCUCACCCAACUAGGAGGAUUGUACAUGGAGAAUCCGCCUUCCGGGUUGAUACGGAGGAAUUCUUCCUCUUCCCCCUUGUACAAAGCGGAUAAGAUUUUCGUUAAAGUGGCGGCCGAAUCCGGCCCCUUGCGACCGCACCGGGUAGCGUCAUCCUCCCCGUUGAAAUCCCACAUGGGUUGACCUCUGUAUUGAAGCGGCUGCACCCCUCGCGUAAUGCAUAUUGCCAUGACCUUGAUCAUGGUCAGUCCAGAAUGAGCCAAUAACCUUAUCCGGCCCAUCAGGUACAGGACGUCCCUGUCAGCUUCCCUCUGAGGGUUCCGCGGGCGCAAACUCAGGCGCUUCUUCAACGGGGCGUUAUUGAACUCGGGGAGGCCGAUCCGUACAGGGUCCGGCAGGGAGACGUCAUCUAUAUAAAACCAUUCCGGGGGCUAGUCUUCGGACGCCCUCUUUGGGGUGCCGGAUAGAUAUCCGGUCCCGGUGAUGCGCCAUAGUUCGGCUCCGCCCACCUGAUAAACAGACCCCUCCUGAGAACGGGGCAGAAGGCAAAACAACCUCUUCCACAGCGCGAAAUGGGCUUCAACAUCCAAGAACAGCUGGCAGAGGGCCACGAAGCCCGCGAUGUGCAAAAUGGAGGCAGGCGUGAGGUUAUGUAGCUGGAGGCCGUAGAACUCUAGCAACCCUCGGAGAAACGGAUGAAUCGGAAACCCUAGUCCUCUCAUCAAAUAAGGGACUAAACAUACCCGCUCUCCUUGAGAGGGAUUGGGAACACUCUCUGCCUGCUCUCCGUCGUUAUAAGCAGCAAUCCCGGCUCGAACUGGGACCAUAUAUGCUGGGGGGAGAAGCCCCUUGGACUGAAGCACAACUAACUCGCUAUACGGGAUGGAACACCGCCCCCAAUCUCCGGGCCGAGGGCUGGAGGCGCGAGAGGAGGAGCGGCACUGACUGGCCAUGGUGGAAUGGAUCUCUGUCAGGGACGCUUUGAUGAAGACUCGCGGAGGGAAGAUGGUGCGAGUUGGAUCUAAAUCCGCGUCUCCUUUAUGGGCGGUUCAUUAACGCAACCAGGGGGUAAGUGAAAAUAAAAUCCCCUGGCUUUUCGCAUUCGUUUGACGCGUGGAAGAUGGUCAUUAUGGGGCACAGAAGCCGAGGAGGACGGCACGCACUAGAAGCCGGACACUAUUCGACGGAUACAGGGAAUUUGGAGGAGAACCCGCCUUGCAAUGUCGAAGACAACUUGCGCGCCGGACUCGACGUCAUUGAAGCCUGGUUCGGGGGCUACUGAGGGAGUCCUGGAUUAGGGGGUGUCUGGAUGGCCGGACUAUGACCUUUUGCUGGACUCUCGGACUAUGAAGAUACAAGAUUGAAGACUCCGUCCCGUGUCCGGAUGGGACUUUCCUUGGCGUGGAAGGCAAGCUUGGCGAUACGAUAUGAAGAUCUCCUCCCAUUGUAACCGACUCUGUGUAACCCUAGCCCUCUCCCGCGUCUAUAUAAACCGGAGAGUUUUAGUCCGUAGGACGAACAACAAUCAUACCAUAGGCUAGAUUCUAGGGUUUAGCCACUCCGAUCUCGUGGUAGAUCUACUCUUGUACUACCCAUAUCAUCAAUAUUAAUCAAGCAGGAGUAGGGUUUUACAUCCAUCGAGAGGGCCCGAACCUGGGUAAAAACAUCGUGUCCCUUGUCUCCUGUUACCAUCCGCCUAGACGCACAGUUUGGGACCCCCUACCCGAGAUCCGCCGGUUUUGACACCGACAGGCGCCAUUUGUCCGGUGGUUGUUUAACUUGGGUCAGAGUAAAGACUUGCAGAUAUUCAAUAACACUGCUCUGUGUUCUUCUUGCCACCUCCUCCGCCUCCAAAGGUAGCUCUCCCUCUCGCAGUUUAUUCCGAUUAGACCACCAGAACCACCAAAAAGUAAGAACAUGUAGGCGCUUUUUAACAUCUAGACCCCAUAGAAAGUCUAGCAUCACAUGCACGGACGUAAUCUCCUCCAACUGCAUUCCCUCUUUCUCCAUAGCCAGAUCCCUCCACACUCCCUUCACUGUCUUACAUUUUAUGAAUAGGUGAGCUCCAUCCUCAUCAGCCAACCCAUAGAAGAGGCAUUUGGUAUCCUGGAUAUGAAUUCCUCUGCGUGCGACGUUUGUCCGAAGAGCAAGAGAUUCGUGCUUCACUCUCCACGUAAACAUCUGAAUAUUUUUGGGACAAGGUAGACGCCAGAUACGCUUCCAGGAAUCAUCAGCAGUUCGGUCUAGGCACCCCAAGCUGUUGUCACUCCCUCCUACUCCUCCGUCGCUGGUUGACUGUUCGAGUUGCAUGUGGAGUUUGUAGGCACUCUUAACUGAGUGGAUCCCCUUGCUAUCAUACUGCCAGGCCACAAAGUCGGGGACUCCAUCCCGAAGAGGAAUCUGGAGAAUGUACUUCACAUCAUCGGGCCAGAAGGUGUCACGCACCAGUUGUUCAUCCCAGGCUUCGGUGAUUGGGUUGAUAAGAUCGCUAACCCACUCCAGGAGACUUGAGCCGCGCGGGGUAAUGACGCAUCUAGACCAAGGCCUUGGAAUCCAGGGAUCGGACCAGAUCCGAACACUUGUACCAUCGCCAAUCCUCCAUAUAUAGCCCUGCCGAAACAGAGUUAGUCCAUGCAGAAAACUACGCCAGGCAUAGGAGAUCCCCUCUCUUGGCACCGCCUCCAAAAUAUUUCUGUUUGGAAAGUAGCGGGCUUGCAGAACUCUAGCACAUAGUGACUCCAGGUUCUGGAUGAUACUCCCAACUUGUCUAGACAAAAUUGCAAGGUUAAAACCGUGCAUGUCACGAAACCCGAGGCUUCCCAAUGCUUUAGGCUUAAUCAGUUUCUUCCAACUGAUCCAGUGUGUGACAUGUUCCUUGUCCUGUUGGCUCCACCAGUAGUUCCCAAUCAGCGAGCUAAGCUCCUCGCAGAAAGAUUUGGUCAAGUAAAAGCAUGACAUGGCGAAAGUGGGGAUGGCCUGAGCAACCAUUGUGACCAGCGUCUCCUUCCCCGACUUGGGAAUAAGCCUUUCCUUCCAACCAUACACCCGCCCAGCCAAAGCCCCUUUCACGAAGGCAAACGCUUUCUUUCUAGAUCUCCCAACAUGAACAGGAAGGACCAAGUACUUCUCAUUCCAAGAUUCACACUGGAUCUGUAGUGCAUUCUUCACCUCCACCUUCGUUGCCUCCCUAGUGUUAGGACUAAACAUAAUGGCCGAUUUCUCCAGGUUAAUGCACUGCCCAGAACAACAUUCAUAUAGAUCAAGGAUUUGGUGCAGCUCCCUGGCUUCCUCCUGCUUCGCUUUAAGCAACAUCACCGAAUCAUCUGCAAACAAAAGAUGUGACAGACUGGGAGCAUUGUGGCAGAUUUUGACUCCAGAUAUUCUCCCUACUUGCUCAGCAUCAUUCAACAGCGCCGAGAGCCCUUCUGCACAAAUAACAAAGAGGUACGGUGAAAUCGGAUCUCCUUGACGAAGACCCUGUGUAGGUGAGAAUUGCUCUGUCAAUGAACCAUUCACCUUAAUCUGGUAGCGAACCGAGGUCACGCAAUGCAACACCAAAUCGAUCCACAUCGGCCCAAACCCAAGUUUGUUUAGCAUAGCUCGAAGUAACUCCCACUGUACCCUACAUAAGCCUUACUCAUGUCUGCCUUAACUGCAGCAAUACCUUCCUUUCCUUGUUUCUUGUUCAACAAGUAGUGUGAAACUUCAUAGGCAAUGAGAACAUUAUCCGUAAUGAGCUGCCCCGGCACAAACACACUUUGGUUUUGAGAGAUGAUAUCCGGCAGAAUCAAUUUGAGUCUGUUCGCAAUCACUUUCGAGACCAGUUUAUAAAUCACAUUGCAUAGGCUGAUCGGACGCAAGUCCUUAAUUCUGCUUGGACUCUUGACCUUGGGGAUAAGCACCACAACCGUGUCAUUCCACCCCUCCGGCAUCAUGCCACCAUUGAGCACUGAGAGCACCUCAUCUAUAACCUUCUCCCCCAUGAAAUGCCAAUGCUUCUUAUACACCACAGAUGGCAUCCCAUCCGACCCAGGUGCCUUUAGGUCACCAAUAUGAUCCAGAGCCGCCUUAACUUCUUCUCUGGAUACCUCAGCUUCCAGUAUUCCUCUCAUAGCAUUAGUUACUUUCGGCUGCACCUUAUCAAUAAGCUCCGGCAAUCUCAAACAGCUGGAAGAAGUAAACAGGUUCUGGAAAUAGGAUCGCACAUAGUUAUUAAGAUCUUCUCCUUCCUUCACCUCUCCACCAUCUUCCUUUCUCAGCUUUUUUAUCCUAUUAGCUUUCCGUUUUGCAGAGGCCACCGCCAUGAAGUACUUGGUGCUCUUGUUGUCGUCCCGUAGCCAGGAAACAUGAGAGUGUUGUUUUGCCUUGGUGUUCUUCUUACAUUCCAACUCCUCUACGAGGCACCGCAACCUUCCUUCCUCCCUUAUUUUUGCUUCCGACACCGGCGCCCUCAUGCAUUUUUCCAACUCUCUACGAGCCUUCCUGAGUCUCUCCUCUAGUUCCCCUGCCACCUCCUUCCCCCAGAUUCUCAUCCUGCCCGCCACAUUCUGCAUGGCAGAGACCACGUCGCCCGAACCCAGCAUGCAGCCUUGUUCACAUGCCCCUUGGAUCUCAGCACUACAUCCUUCCUCCCGGAGCCACCAAGCCUCAAAACGAAAGCCACGAUCACCUCCAGGCUCUCUUUUAUUUUCUCAUUUAGUGCAUACUAUAACUGGCCUGUGAUCGGAGUGACGAGGGGCUCCAUUCUGCAUGGUGAAUUCGGGGAACCAUCCACACCACGCAGCGUUGGCUGUUGUUCGAUCAAGUCGCUCACAAAUGUAAGUGUCGACUUCCUUACUAUGAUUUUGCCAUGUGAACUUGUCACCUUCAUAGCCGAGGUCACUGAGCUCGCAAGCCUCGAGAGCUCCUCUGAAAUUAUCCAUGUACCGUUGUGCUCGAACUACACCUCCAAUCUUCUCGUCACUGAUGAGGAUCUCAUUGAAAUCUCCCAGGCACAGUCACGGACGACCAGGUUGGUGUUGCUGUCCCAACAAGCGCAUCAUCCUCCAUGUCUCCACCUUCUUCUUCAUCUCCGACUCACCAUACACCCCCGUUAUCCGCCACACCCUUCCAUCAACCUCAGUCACAUCUACGUCCACAUGCCUUCUACCAAACGAUCUCAGUUUUACGUCCACCCCUCUCCUCCAAAACAGCACCACACCCCUACUCCUCCCCACCGGGUUCCAUGCAAUCAUAUGCGUCAAACCCAGCAUCCACCGGAAUUGCUCUAACUCCUUCUCCGUUAGUUUCAUAUCCGCCAAAAAUAGCACGUCGGGGUCCUUCAUUCUCCCCAUCUCGAGGAGGCUACGAACUGCUGGGUCGUUCCCAAGCCCCCGGCAGUUCCAUCCGAUGAGUUUCAUUGAUCUCGGCGGGGCUGCACCUGCAGCCCGGCCGUUGUAUUUUCAGGUGUUGCCUUGUCACUCUCCUCCACCACCAUGCCUGCCUCCUUCCUUCCUUCCUCCAACCUGCCCCUCUUCUCCGUCUUCGCUUCCUCAUCGGUAUCACCCUCCUCCCCCAGCCUCCCUCUUUUCUGUCCCAGCACAUCUUUUUUCUCCUUGCGGCCUUCAACAGAAGACCUAUCCCGGCCCUUCUUUUUGUAGCGUUUGCCACUAUAAUUUUUGCUCUUCACAUCAUUCACUCCACCAGAAUCCUUCCUCCUCUCCUCCACACUUCCAUUCUCAUUUCCCGAACCCACAAGUGGGUCACCACCAAGCUGUAAUUGCUUCCGGCUCCCCUUCGCUUUAGGUUCAGAGGGACCCUUAGUAGGGCUGGUGACCUCUUCACCCUUCUCCCCCUUCUCAUCUUCUCCUCCACCGGAUCGUGAAUCACUUUUUCUCCAAGACAGGCUGUCACUACCACUUCCAGGCCUCCCUCCCGAGCGACUAUAGCCAUAGUUGCGAGAACCACUCCCACUCCUACCUCCACUCCUCCAUGGCCUCUCCUCAACAAAGCCCCUUCGGUGCAUCAGAUCAGCCCGAAGCCAUCUCCCAAACUGGGCCUUCUCACCCUUUUUUAGCUUUACAGUGCAAUCUUUCUCCCCAUGGCCGAUCCUCCCACAAGUGUAGCAAAAGUCCGGGAGAUACUCAUACUCGAACCGGCACCAGCCUCCGUCUUCCUCCUCCCCAUCACUCCUCAUGGCUUCUAUCUCCUUCCCCUCCGCAUUCUCCCUCCCUUCCCCCUCAUCCAACGUAAAGCCUCUCAUAAUGGGUUUAUCAAUCUUCAUCCUUAUCUUCACGCGCAAAAACCUCCCAAUAGCACUGCCAUCCGCCCCAGUAUCCGCCUCCACAAAUUCCCCCACAAUAUUGCCAAUAUCCUCUGCAGACUCCUCGUUCAUCAUGCCUAGGGGGAGAUUGUAAACCCUAAUCCAAAUUGGGAUGUUGUUGAACAUAUAGUCCUCCGGUCUCUUUCUAGGCACGUAAUCCUCCACCACCACGAGGUCCUUAUCAAACAUCCAGGGCCCAUCCUCCAAAGCCUUCCUCUUCCCAGAUUCUUGGUGGAACGUGAACACGAACUGGUUAACGCCUAUCUCCUUGCAGUUGAUCCCUUUGAUAGGACACCACACCUUGCCUAGGGAGAGCGAGAUUGCAUCAGGAUGCGCCAUCUUCUCCGACAUGACUUUGCCAACAGCUUGCACCUCCAUCAUCUUCCCCUUCUCCUUCACUGAGAGUCUAAUCUUGACACCUUUCUUCUCCUCCUUCGAGAGCUUCAGCCCCCGCAACAUCCCCUCCACCCCUUCCAUUAGAGCCCCCAAAAACUCCUCCUAGGGUUUACAGGUGGUUUACGACCGCGCGCCCUAGGGAGCACGCGGAAGGCCUAUGGUGGGAGGGACAGGAAUUGGAACAAAACAACCGGUCACCGGAGUGAACAGGACGGGGAACCGACAGUUGGGCGGCGGCGGCUUCCUGGAACCCUAGUAGACGGGCACCCAGAUCAUGAUCGCCUCCUCAAUCGCCCCGCAAUCACCGGACAGGACGCGAACCGUCACCACGUGGGAUGGACUGACAAAAGAGAUGCCUUCCUUCUUCCCAAGAUGAAAGAGGGCAUGGCCGCAUGGACAUCCUAGCGCACUCGUCUUGGCGCGGCGGGAGGUUUUCUUCUUUUUCCCGGCUCUCCACCGUUGAGCUUGCCUAGCUGUCCAGGCAUGCAGCACCGGAAGAGGGGAGGCAUGCAUAAGGAUGGUGAUAGUGGGGAGUAUCAUAUAUUAUAUAGAGAAAAAUUUACUAUAGGUCAUUAAACUUUAGCCGGUUGACAGUUUAGUACCACUACUUCAAAAUACCCGAACUACGGUCCGCGUACUUGCACACAGGGUUCACUCUGGUACAUUUAUACGAUUUCGUCUACGUGUUUGCUGACUUGGCUGAGUCAGCGGACGUCGGCUCGCUUUGACCACCACCUGGUCGUGCCUAGGGUGAAUACUAGUCUAUCCUGCGGGUUUUUGUAAAAACGCCGGACAAAGCGACCAGGUACUGGCGUUUUUACAAAAAAAAUGGAUGGACUAGUAUUCACCCCUGAAUGGACUAGUAUUCACCAUCGACGUCAUGCGGGAGCGCGUCGAGUUCCUCUGAUCCCUCGGCCUCGGCCCCGACGACCUCGCCGCCUACCCGCUCGCCCUCGGCUGCAGCGUCCGCAAGAACAUGGUCCCCGUCCUCGACUACCUCGGCAAGAUCGGCGUCCGCCGCGACGAUCUCCCGCACCUGCUCCGCCGCUACCCGCAGGUGCUCCAUGCCAGCAUCAUCGUCGACCUCGCACCCAUCGUCAAGUACCUCUAGGGGAUGGAGGUCAAGCCCGGUGAAGUGCCGCGUGUGCUCGAGCGCUACCCGGAGCUCCUCGGCUUCAAGCUCGAGGGCACCAUGAGCACCUCUGUAGCCUACCUCGUCGGCAUCGGCGUCGCCAGGCGGCAGAUCGGUGAUGUCAUCAUGUGUUUCCCUGAGGUGCUGGGCAUGCGGGUGGGGAAGAUCAUUAAGCCUAUCGUCGAACACCUUCAAGGCAUUGGCCUGCAGAGGCUGGCCGUUGCAAGAAUGAUCGAGAAGAAGCCGUAUGUCCUUGGGUUUGGGUUGGAGGAAAGGGUCAAGCCUAACAUUGAGGCACUUCUGGAGUUUGGGGUCAGGAAGGAGGCGCUACAUCCAUUGUGACACAGUACCCUGAUGUUCUUGCAGUUGAGCUGCGAGAGAAGCUUGUUGAGCAGUAGAGCUUGUUUGAGUCCAGCAUUUUGGUCAGCGGUGAUGAUUUCAGAAGAGUCAUCGAGAGGAUGCCACAAGCCAUUAGCCUUGGGCGAGUUGCGGUUCUAAAGAACGUCAACUUCCUCACAGGCCGUGGCUUCUUGCUGUCUCAGGUGAGCAAGAUGGUCGUGGGGUGCCCCCAAUUGCUCGCACUGAACAUGGAUAUAAUGAAGAUGAACUUCGAGUACUUUAAGAAUGAAAUGGAGAGGGAUUUGGAGGAGCUGGUUGAGUUCCCGACGUUCUUUACAUAUGGCCUCGAAUCCAUUAUAAUAUAUCGGCAUGAGAUUGUGGCUAAAAAGGGGUUCACAUGCUCUCUCACAUGGCUGCUCAACUACUCUGAUGCAAAAUUCGAUCAGCGUAUGAAGUAUGACACGAUCGGAGUUGAAGAAAUGGAGAUGAUAAUUCCUUUGACAAAGAUAGGUUUGUGGAUCAAGUACAAGAUGAGGAUGAUGAGGAUAUGGAAGAGGAUAGUGAUUAUGAUGAGACUGACGAUGAGUUCAUCGAAUGAUAUCCUUCCCAGUUCGUAGUAACCACUAUCAACUGUUAGCUGACAAACUUGCAUUUAUGUCUUCAGCUUGAUGCUUUGUUGUAUAUGAUGCAGCAGUCACUAGAUUGUCAUUUUUAUGGAUGUGAUUGAUACGUCUCCAACGUAUCUACUUUUCCAAACACUUUUGCCCUUGUUUCAACUCUAACUUGCAUGAUUUGAAUGGAACUAACCCGGACUGACGAUGUUUUCAGCGGAAUUGUCAUGGUGUUAUUUUUGUGCAGAAAUAAAAGUUCUCGGAAUGACCUGAAACUUCACGGAGAAUAUUUUUGGAAUAAAUAAAAAAUACUAGCGAAAGAAUCAACACCAGGGGCCCACACCCUGUCCACGAGGGUGGGGGCGCGCCCCUGCCUCGUGGGCCCCCUGAGGCUCCACCGACCUCAACUCCAACUCUAUAUAUUCAUGUUCGGGGAGAAAAAGAAUCAGAUAGAAGGAUUCAUCGCGUUUUACGAUACGGAGUCACCGCCAAGCCCUAAUCUCUCUCGAGAGGGCUGAUCUGGAGUCCGUCCGGGGCUCUGAAGAGGGGAAUCCAUCGCCGUCGUCAUCAUUAACCAUCCUCCAUCACCAAUUUCAUGAUGUUCACCGCCAUGCGUGAGUAAUUCCAUCGUAGGCUUGUUGGACGGUGAUGGGUUGGAUGAGAUUUAUCAUGUAAUCGAGUUAGUUUUGUUAGGGUUUGAUCCCUAGUAUCAAUUAUGUUCUGAGAUUGAUGUUGCUAUGACUUUGCUAUGCUUAAUGCUUGUCACUAGGGCCCGAGUGCCAUGAUUUCAGAUCUGAACCCAUUAUGUUUUCAUGAAUAUAUGUGAGUUCUUGAUUCUAUCUUGCAAGUCUCAAUAGUCACCUACUAUGUAUUAUGAUCCGGUAACCCCGAAGUGACAAUAACCGGGACCACUCCUAGUGAUGACCGUAGUUUGAGGAGUUCAUGUAUUCACUGAGUGUUAAUGCUUUGGUCCGGUACUCUAUUAAAAGCAUACCUUAAUAUCCCUUAGUUUCCAAUAGGACCCCAUUGUCACGGGAGGGUAGGACAAAAUAUGUCAUGCAAGUUCUUUCCAUAAGCACGUAUGACUAUAUUCGGAAUACAUGCCUACAUUACAUUGAUGAAUUGGAGCUAGUUCUGUGUCACCCUAUGUUAUAACUGUUGCAUGAGGAAUCGCAUCCGACAUAAUUAUCCAUCACUGAUCCAAUGCCUACGAGCUUUUCACAUAUUGAUCUUUGCUUAGUUCCUUUUCCGUUGCCACUGUUACAAUUACUACAAAACCGGUAUUGUUACCUUUGCCAUCGUUACCGUUACUUCCAUACUACUUUGCUACUAAAUACUUUGCUGCAGAUAAUAAGUUUUGCAGGUGUGGUUGAAUUGAUAACUCAACUGCUAAUACUUGAGAAUAUUCUUUGGCUCCCCUUGUGUCGAAUCAAUAAAUUUGGGUUGAAUACUCUACCCUAAAAAACUGUUGCGAUCGCCUAUACUUGUGGGUUAUCAAGCUAUUUUCUACCACCCUUGCUGGGGAGCAUAGCUCUAUUCUUUGAGUCACUUGGGAUUUAUAUCUGCUGAUCACUAUGAGGAACUUGAAAGACGAAAAAACCAAGAUUUAUCCCUCAACUACGAGGGGAGGUAAAAACCUGCCAUCUAGCUCUGCACUUGAUUCACCUUCUGUUAUGAGUAAACUUGUGACACCUACUCCUGCUAUUGAUUCUGCUAUGUCGCAUGUUAUUGAUGAUGCCACUUCUGCUUUGCAUGAUACUUAUGAUGAAACUACUUCUAUGCUUGAUAAUACUAUGCCAUUAGGUGAAUCUCUUGAUGAAUAACUUGGUAGGGCUAGAGAGAAUGAAAUUAUUGAAACUGAUAAUAUUGAUGAAAGUGAUGAUGAAGAUUCUCCCCCUAGAUAUGAAUUGCCUGAUGUACCUGAGGGUUAUGUUAUGGAUGAAGAAACUGCUAGAGACCCUUUUGCUUGCAAAGAUAGAUAUGAUCUUAAGAAACUAUUAGCUAAGCUGAAAGAAAAAAUCUUUGAAUGCUAUAAUGAAAUAUGACCCUGCUUUUGCUACUUCACCUAUCUGUAUUUCUCAUAAGGAUUAUGAUUUCUCUGUCGAUCCUGAGUUGAUUACUUUGGUUGAAUCUGAUCCUUUUUAUAGCUAUGAAUCUGAAACUGUUGUGGCACAUCUUAAUAAAUUAGAUGAUAUAGCCACCCUAUUUACUCAUGAGGAAAAAAUUUGUUACUAUUAUAUCCUUAAGUUAUUUCCAUUCUCAUUAAAGGGUGAUGUUAAAACAUGGUUUAAUUCUCUUGAUCCUGGUUGUGUGCGUAGUUCCCACGAUAUGAUUUGUUACUUCUCUGCUAAAUAUUUCCCCGCUCAUAAGAAACAAGCUGCCUUAAGGGAAAUAUAUAAUUUUGUGCAAAUUGAAGAAGAGAGUGUCCCACAAGUUUGGGGGAGGCUUAUCCGAUUACUUAAUGCUUUGCCUGGUCAUCGUCUCAAGAAAAAUGAAAUACUUGAUAUCUUUUAUAAUGGACUAACUGAUGCUUCAUUAGACCACCUGGAUAGUUGUGUUGGUUGUGUUUUCAGGGAAAGAACUGUUGAUCAAGCUGAAUUGCUAUUGAAUAAUAUGUUGAGUAAUGGUAAUAAUUGGACACUUCCUGAACAAACUCCUAAACCAACUCCGAAGAAAAGGGGUAUUCUAUUUCUCAGCCAUGAAGAUAUGCAAGAGGCAAAGAAAUCUAUGAAAGAAAAGGGUAUUAAAGCUGAAGAUGUUAACAAUUUACCACGUAUAGAAGAAAUACAUGGUCUCGAUAACCCGACACAGGUGGUAAAGGUAAAUUCUCUCUAUAUAUUUGAUGAAGGUGAUAUUCCUUGUUAUAAGUCUGCUAGCCAAUGCUUAGAUGGGUUUGAUAAUUUUAUUGUUAAACAAGAAAACUUCAAUGCUUAUGUUGGUAGACAAUUGAAACGUGAUGCUUAUAUGAUUGAACACUUGAGUGAUUAUAUUCUAAAGUUAAAGGUGAACUUAAACUUAUUAGUAAACAUGCUUGUAUGGUUACCACUCAAGUAGAACAAGUGCUUAAGGCUCAAAAUGAUUUGCUCAAUGAAUUAAAUAAUAAGAAAAAUGAUAAUGUUGUUAGAGUUGUGACUAGAGGGGGUAGAAUGACUCAGUAACCUUUGUAUCCUGAGGGCCACCCUAAGAGAAUUGAGCAAGAUUCUCAGAGAACUAAUGUGGAUUCACCUAGUCCUUCUAAAAAGAAGAAAAAGAAAAAUGAUAGGACUUUGCAUGCUUCUAGUGAACCUGUCAUUGACACACCUGAGAAUCCCAAUGAUAUUUCUAUUUCUGAUGCUGAAACAUAAUCUGGUAAUGAACAUGAACCUAGUGAUAAUAUUAAUGAUAAUGUUCAUGAUGAUGGUCAACCGAGCAAUAACAAUGAUGUAGAGAUUGAACCUGUUGUUGAUCUUGAUAACCCACAAUCAAAGAAUCAACGUUAUGAUAAGAGAGACUUCGUUGCUAGGAAGCACGAUAAAGAAAGAGAACCAUGGGUUCAGAAACCCAUGCCUUUUCCUCCUAAACCAUCCAAGAAAAGGAUGAGGAGGAUUUUGAGCGCUUUGCUGAAAUGAUUAGACCUAUCUUUUUGCAUAUGUGUUUGACUGAUAUGCUUAAAAUGAAUCCUUAUGCUAAGUAUAUGAAAGAAAUUGUUACAAAUAAAAGGAAGAUACCGGAAGCUGAAAUUUCCACCAUGCUUGCUAAUUAUACUUUUAAAGGUGGAAUACCAAAGAAACUUGGAGAUCCAGGAGUACCAGCUAUACCAUGCUCCAUUAAAAGAGACUACGUUAAAACUGUUUUAUGUGAUCUUGGAGCCGGUGUUAGUGUUAUGCCUCUCUCUUUACAUCGUAGACUUGAUUUGAAUAAGUUGACACCUACUGAAAUAUCUUUGCAAAUGGCCGAUAAAUCAACUGCUAUACCCGUCGGUAUUUGUGAGGAUGUGCCUAUUGUGGUCACAAACGUUACUAUUUUAACGGACUGUGUUAUUCUUGAUAUUCCCGAGGACGAUGGUAUGUAUAUUAUUCUUCAUAGAGCAUUUUUUAAUACUGCAGGGGCUGUUAUUUAUUGCAACAAAGGCAAUGUCACUUUUCAUGUUAAUGGUAAGGAGCAUACGGUACACUUCCCGAGGAAACAACCUCAAGUCCACAGUAUCAAUUCUAUUGGAAAAACUUCAAUGAUUACUAUUGGAGGUUUUGAAUUUCCUCUUCCUACUGUUAAGAAGAAAUAUAAUAUUCUUAUUAUUGGGGACGUGCAUAUCCCCGUUGAGGUAACUUAGUGUUAUUCGAAAAUUCUCCGGUCUCAUGCAAUUCGGAAAGAGUUUGUUAACAAGACUUGAUCAACCUUGUUAGUGGAUUCCUUUUGAUGAGCAUGAGAUGGAUGAAGUUAGAAAGUGCAACUCUCUGUACCUGUUGGGGAUAUAACUACUGAGUAUAAACCGCCCAGGAGGGGUCGGGUUAUGCUCAUCCGUAUUGAAGCCCAUGAAGACAAGGAAUAAGGCGCUUUACUACAGAAGACUUAGAGGCCCAGAGCCCAAGGGCAGAUUAGGGCCCAUAGACAUAAACCGCCAUGAGAUAUGUAACUUGUGUUGUAAGGUAGGGAAAGGUAGAAACCGAGCCGGACACGUGUAUGAGCCGGCCUCGGUAUUCUGUAAACCGCCGCGCGUCAACCUGUAGUAUGCCUCUACUUGACUAGCUUGUUGAUCAAAGAUGGUUAUGUUUCCUAGACAUAGACAUGAGUUGUCAUUUGAUUAACGGGAUCACAUCAUUAGGAGAAUGAUGUGAUUGACUUGACCCAUUCCGUUAGCUUAGCACUUGAUCAUUUAGUAUUCUGCUAUUACUUUCUUCAUGACUUAUACAAGUUUCUAUCACUAUGAGAUUAUGCAACUCCCGUUUACCGGAGGAACACUUUGUGUGCUACCAAAUAUCACAACGUAACUGGGUGAUUAUAAAGGUGCUCUACAGGUGUCUCUGAAGGUACUUGUUGGGUUGGCGUAUUUCGAGAUUAGGAUUUGUCACUCCGAUUGUCGGAGAGGUAUCUCUGGGCCCACUCGGUAAUGCACAUCACUAUAAGCCUUGCAAGCAUUGUAACUAAUGAGUUAGUUGCGGGAUGAUGUAUUACGGAACGAGUAAAGAGACUUGCCGGUAACAAGAUUGAACUAGGUAUUGAGAUACCGACGAUCGAAUCUCGGGCAAGUAACAUACCGAUGACAAAGGGAACAGCGUAUGUUGUUAUGCGGUUUAACCAAUAAAGAUCUUCAUAGAAUAUGUGGGAGCCAAUAUGAGCAUCCAGGUUCCGCUAUUGGUUAUUGACCGGAGACAUGUCUCGGUCAUGUCUACAUGGUUCUCGAACCCGUAGGGUCCGCACGCUUAAAGUUUGAUGGCGGUUAUAUUAUGAGUUUAUGUGUUUUGAUGUACCGAAGGUAGUUCGGAGUCCCGGAUGUGAUCACGGACAUGACAAGGAGUCUCUAAAUGGUCGAUACAUAAAGAUCGAUAUAUUGGACGACUAUAUUUGGACAUCGAAAUGGUUCCGGGUGAGAUCGGGAUAAUACCGGAGCACCGGGAGGUUAUCGGAACCCCCCGGGAGGUAUAUGGGCCUUAAUGGGCUUUAGUGGAAAGGAGGGUGUCGGUGUCAAAACCGGCGGAUCUCGGGUAGGGGGUCCCGAACUAUGCGUCUAGGCGGAUGGUAACAGGAGACAAGGGACACGAUGUUUUUACCCAGGUUCGGGCCCUCUCGAUGGAGGUAAAACCCUACUCCUACUUGAUUAAUAUUGAUGAUAUGGGUAGUACAAGAGUAGAUCUACCACGAGAUCAGAGAGGCUAAACCCUAGAAGCUAGCCUAUGGUAUGAUUGUUGUUCGUCCUACGGACUAAACCUCUCCGGUUUAUAUAGACACCGGAGAGGGCUAGGGUUACACAGAGUUGGUUACAAUGGGAGGAUAUCUACAUAUCGUAUCGCCAAGCUUGCCUUCCACGCCAAGGAAAGUCCUAUCCGGACACGGGACGAAGUCUUCAAUCUUGUAUCUUCAUAGUCCGGGAGUCCGGCCAAAGGUCAUAGUCCGGCCAUCCGGACACCCCCUAAUCCAGGACUCCCUCAGUAGCCCCUGAACCAGGCUUCAAUGACGACGAGUCUGGCGCGCAAAUUGUCUUCGGCAUUGCAAGGCGUGUUCCUCCUCUGAAUACUUCAUAGAAGAUGUUGAACACAAGGAUAGUGUCCGGCUCUGCAAAAUAGUUUCCACAUACCACCAUAGGGAGAAUAAUAUUUGCACAAAUCUAAUCUGUUGACGUAUUCUGUAGCGUGACAUCAUGCCACAGCCAAGCCUGUAUUCGAAUCGUUUUACUGUCCCACCUUAGCGUGUUUAGUGAGGCGGUUUCCUUGGCACGUCUUGUCAAAGCAGGGAUCGUGUCCCCUUAUUUCGGGAUUCUCAUCAAUACGGGUGUGGGUAACCCAAUCGCGCCAUUAAUCACAGCGCUUGGGAGAUAAGUGAGUUUUACUAGGCUGGUGGGGGCACAUAGUUUCGGCCACCCAUACAAGGGGAUAUGAAUCCUCCCUUUCCAUCUACGCCUUCCUCCUCCUUCGCUUACCUAUUCCUGCGCACUCGAGCUCCAGCGCCCAAGUCCGCACUUCCCACCUCAACCUUCUCCAAUCAUGCCUGGAGUGGGAGGCAGGCGGAUGGCCUCCUCCGUUAUGGAGGGGCAAAUCAAGAAGCUGAGGAAAGCCGGAUACUUGUCCAACGACAUCGUGCACCAGCUCCCAGAUGAGGGGCAGCUCAUCCCCACCCCCAGGCCCCAUGAGAGGGUCGUGUUUCUCCCCCAUUUCCUCCACGGACUGGGCUUUCCUCUUCACCCAUUUGUCCGGGGGCUCAUGUUCUACUACGGCCUGGAUUUCCACAAUCUGGCCCCGAACUUCAUCAUCAACAUCUCAGUGUUUAUCGUCGUGUGUGAGGUCUUCCUCCGCAUCCAGCCCCACUUCGGCUUAUGGCUGAAGACCUUCAAUGUCAAGCCGAAGGUCGUGGGUGGCUGACAAGCGGAGUGCGGAGGCGCCAUGGUGGGCAAGAUGGCCAACAUCACAUGGCUCGAGGGCUCCUUUGUGGAAACCAUCAAAGGGUGGCAAUCGGGGUGGUUCUACAUCACCGAGCCGCGUGACCCUGAAUGGGCAGCGGCCCCCGAGUUCCGAUCUGGCAUCCCCACACGGCUCACCUCAUGGAAAGAGACGGGCCUGUCGUGGGGUAAUCCGGAAGAGGCGACCGGACUCCAAACCUGCGUCCAGAACCUCAUGGACAAGAAGGUUAAACUCGUCAACGUAGUCCAGGUCAUGCUCUUCCGCCGGAUCCUCCCGUGCCAACGGCGGGCUUUUAACCUGUGGGAAUUUGACCCGGCUCAGCACCAAACUCUGUCCAGGCUCUUCGACACAACGCACAAAGAUGCUUGGAAGGUGCUUUUCAAGAGCUCCGAGGCCCACCCUCCCAUUACCGAGGAUCGCGAUUCUGCGCAAAGCGCCAAGCCAGCGCGGUAAGCUUAGUUUACCCAUUACAGGGUAUUUGUUUUUCAUAGUUUGACUCUAUGCGGGAUCUAAACUCCCAUUCCUUUAACAGGACUGGCAGAAGAAGGUCGAAAAGAUCGACUGUCCGGCUCAUUUGCCCGAAGACCCAGCAGACGCCCGCUUGACGAAGCUGCUGGUCCCGGCACCCCAUGUGGUGCCGGAGAAGAAGGUCAAGAAGAAGGCCACGGGAACUCGAAGGAGCUCCCGGCGACUGGUGGUGUCGGACUCAUCGCCCGACGACCCCGAAGCGCUCUCCUCCUCUGAAGACGAGGAGGAAGAAGAAGCCUCUCCCCCUCCAACGGGGGGAGGAAAGAAAAGGAGGGCCGCCCCAACUAGGGAGGCCAGAGGGUCCAAGAAGGGGAAGACCCUUCUUCCGGACUACGCCUCCGACGCCGAAGACAGCGGAGAGGAGUGGUCAUCCAGGGCCAAGCCCCUGGCGAAAUUGUAAGUAUCCAAUUACCAGAAUAACUCACGGUAUUCCUGUUGGGGAACAUAGUAAUUUCAAAAAAAUUCCUACGCACACGCAAGAUCAUGGUGAUGGCAUAGCAACGAGAGGGGAGAGUGUUCGUCCACGUACCCUCGUAGACCGUAAGUGGAAGCGUUAUGACAACGCGGUUGAUGUAGUCGUACGUCUUCACGAUCCGACCGAUCCAAGCACCGAACGUACGGAGCCUCCGAGUUCAGCACACGUUCAGCUCGAUGACGAUCUCCGGCCUCCGAUCCAGCCGAGCUCCGGAGAUGAGUUCCAUCAGCACGACGGCGUGGUGACGAUGUUGAUGUUCUACCGGCGCAGGGCUUCACCUAAACUUCGCGACGAUAUGACCGAGGUGGAAUAUGGUGGAAGGGGGCACCGCACACGGCUAAGGAACGAUCCGUAGAUCAACUUGUGUGUCUAUGGGGUGCCCCCUGCCCCCGUAUAUAAAGGAGGGAGGGGGGAGGCCGGCCGGCCCCUUUGGGCGCGCCAAGGGAGGAGGAGUCCUCCUCCUAGUAGGAGUAGGACUCCUCCUUUCCUACUCCUACUAGGAGGGGGAAGGAAGGGGGAGAGGGGGAAGGAAAGGGGGGGCGCCGCCCCCCCUCCUAGUCCAAUUCGGACCAGAGGGGGGAGGGGGCGCGCGGCCCAUGCUGGCCGCCCCUCUCUCCUUUCCCCUAAGGCCCAUAGGCCCAAUACUCUCCCGGGGGGUUCCGGUAACCCCCCCGGCACUCUGGUUUUCUCCGAAAUCACCCGAAACCUUUCCGGUGCCCGAAUAUAGUCGUCCAAUAUAUCAAUAUUUACGUCUCGACCAUUUCGAGACUCCUCGUCAUGUCCGUGAUCACAUCCGGGACUCCGAACAAACUUCGGUACAUCAAAACUUAUAAACUCAUAAUAAAACUGUCAUCGAAACGUUAAGCGUGCGGACCCUACGGGUUCGAGAACUAUGUAGACAUGACCUAAAACCAUUCUCGGUCAAUAACCAAUAGCGGGACCUGGAUGCCCAUAUUGGUUCCUACAUAUUCUAUGAAGAUCUUUAUCGGUCAAACCGCAUAACAACAUACGUUGUUCCAUUUGUCAUCGGUAUGUUACUUGCCCGAGAUUCGAUCGUCGGUAUCCAAUACCUAGUUCAAUCUCGUUACCGGCAAGUCUCUUUACUCGUUAUGUAAUGCAUCAUUCUGUAACUAACUCAUUAGAUACAUUGCUUGCAAGGCUUAUAGUGAUGUGCAUUACCGAGAGGGCCCAGAGAUACCUCUCCGACAAUCGGAGUGACAAAACCUAAUCUCGAAAUACGCCAACUCAACAUGUACCUUUGGAGACACCUGUAGUACUCCUUUAUAAUCACCCAGUUACGUUGUGACGUUUGGUAGCACCCAAAGUGUUCCUCCGGCAAACGGGAGUUGCAUAAUCUCAUAGUUACAGGAACAUGUAUAAGUCAUGAAGAAAGCAAUAGCAACAUACUAAACGAUCAAGUGCUAGGCUAACGGAAUGGGUCAUGUCAAUCAGAUCAUUCUCCUAAUGAUGUGAUCCCGUUAAUCAAAUGACAACUCUUUUGUCCAUGGCUAGGAAACUUAACCAUUUUUGAUUCAACGAGCUAGUCAAGUAGAGGCAUACUAGUGACAUUAUGUUUGUCUAUGUAUUCACACAUGUAUUAUGUUUCCGGUUAAUACAAUUCUAGCAUGAAUAAUAAACAUUUAUCAUGAUAUAAGGAAAUAAAUAAUAACUUUAUUAUUGCCUCUAGGGCAUAUUUCCUUCAGUCUCCCACUUGCACUAGAGUCAAUAAUCUAGUUCACAUCGCCAUGUGAUUUAACAUCAAUAUUCAUAUCUGUAUAUGAUUAACACCCAUAGUUCACAUCGUCAUGUGACCAACACCCAAAGGGUUUACUAGAGUCAAUAAUCUAGUUCACAUCGCUUCUGUGAUUAACACCCAAAGAGUACUAAGGUGAGAUCAUGUUUUGCUCAUGAGAGAAGCUUAGUCAACGGGUCUGUCACAUUUAGAGCCGUAUGUAUUUUGCAAAUAUUAUAUGUCUACAAUGCUCUGCACGGAGCUACUCUAGCUAAUUGCUCCCACUUUCAAUAUGUAUCCAGAUUAAGACUUAGAGUCAUCUGGAUCAGUGCCAAAACUUGUAUCGACGUAACCUUUUAUGACGAACCUUUUGUCACCUCCAUAAUUGAGAAACAUAUCCUUAUUCCACUAAGGAUAAUUUUGACCAAUGUCCAGUGAUCUACUCCUAGAUCACUAUUGUACUCCCUUGCCAAACCAGGGCAGAGUAUACAAUAGGUCUGGUUCACAGCAUAGCAUACUUUAUAGAACCUAUGACUGAGGCAUAGGGAAUGACUUUUCAUUUUCUUUCUAUUUUCUGCCAUGGUCGGGUCUUGAGUCUUACUCAACUUCACACCUUGCAACACAGGCAAGAACUUUUUUCUUUUACUGUUUCAUUUUGAACUACUUCAAAAUCUUGACAAGGUAUGUACUUAUUGAAAAACUUAUCAAGCAUCUUGAUCUAUCUCAAUAGAUCUUGAUGCUCAAUAUGUAAGUAGCUUUACUGAGGUCUUUCUUUUUUAAAGAACUCCUUUCAAACACUCCUUUAUGCUUUGCAGAAUAAUUCUACAUUAUUUCCGAUCAACAAUAUGUCAUUCACAUAUACUUAUCUGAAAUGUUGUAGUGCUCCCACUCACUUUCUUGUAAAUACAGGCUUCUUCAAGAGUCUGUAUAAAACCAUAUGCUUUGAUCAACUCAUCAAAGCGUGUAUUCCAACUCCGAGAUGCUUGUACCAGUCCAUAGAUGGAUCGCUGGAGCUUGCACACUUUGUUAGCAUCUUUAGGAUUGACAAAAACUUUCUGGUUGCAUCAUAUACAACUCUUCUUUAAUAAAUUCAUUAAGGAAUGCAAUUUUGACAUCCAUUUGCCAGAUUUCAUAAAAUUUGGCAAUUGCUAACAUGAUUCAGACAGACUUAAGCUUCGAUACGAGUGAGAAAAUCUCAUCGUAUUCAACACCUUGAACUUGUUGAAAACCUUUCGCAACAAGUCGAGCUUAGUAGAUAGUAACACUACUAUCAGUGUCCGUCUUCCUCUUGAAGAUCCAUUUGUUUAACAUGGCUUACUGAUCAUCGAGCAAGUCAAUCAAAGUCCAUACUUUGUUCUCAUACAUGGAUCAUAUCUCAGAUUUUAUGGCCUCAAACCAUUUCGUGGAAUCUGGGCUCAUCAUCGCUUCCUCAUAGUUCGUAGGUUCAUCAUGGUCUAGUAACAUGGCUUCCAGAACAUGAUUACCGUACCACUCUGGUGCGGAUCUUACUCUGGAAGACCUACGAGGUUUGGUAGCAACUUGAUCUGAAGUUUCAUGAUCAUCAUCAUUAACUUCCUCACUAAUUGGUGUAGGAAUCACUGGAACUGAUUUCUGUGAUGCACUACUUUCCAAUAAGGGAGAAGGUACAAUUACCUCAUCAAGUUCUACUUUCCUCCCACUCACUUCUUUUGAGAGAAACUCCUUCUCUAGAAAGGAUCCAUCUUAGCAACGAAUAUCUUGCUUUUGGAUCUGUGAUAGAAGGUGUACCCAAUAGUUACCUUUGGGUAUUCUAUGAAGACGCACUUCUCCGAUUUGGGUUCAAGCUUAUCAGGUUGAAAACCUUUUUCAUAUAAGCAUCGCAACUCCAAGCUUUAAGAAACGACAGCUUAGGUUUACUGCUAAACCAUAGUUCAUACGGUGUCGUCUCAACGGAUUUAGAUGGUGCCCUAUUUAAACGUGAAUGCAGCUGUCUCUAAUGCAUAACCCCAAAACGAUAAUAGUAAUUCAAUAAGAGACAUCAUAGAUCGCACCAUAUCCAAUAAAGUGCGGUUACGAUGUUCGGACACACCAUUAAGCUGUGGUGUUCCAGGUGGCGUGAGUUGCGAAACUAUUUCACAUUGUUUUAUAUGAAGGCCAAACUCGUAACUCAAAUAUUCUCUUCCACGAUCAGAUCGUAGAAACUUUAUUUUCUUGUUACGAUGAUUCUCCACUUCACUCUGAAAUUCUUUGAACCUUUCAACUAUUUCAGACUUAUGUUUCAUCAAGUAGAUAUACCUAUAUCUGCUCAAAUCAUCUUGUGAAGGUCAGAAAAUAACGAUAUUUGCCACGAGCAUCAACACUCAUUGGAUCGCAUACAUCGGUAUGUAUUAUUUCCAAUAAGUCAGUAGCUCGUUCCAUUGUUCCGGAGAACGGAGUUUUAGUCAUCUUGCCCAAAAGGCACGGUUCGCAAGCAUCAAAUGAUUCAUAACCAAGUGAUUCCGAAAAUCCAUCUUUAUGGAGUUUCUUCACGCGCUUUACACCGAUAUGACCCAAACGGCAGUGCCACAAAUAAGUUGCACUAUCAUUAUUAACUUUGCAUCUUUUGGUUUCAAUAUUAUGAAUAUGUGUAUCACUACGAUCGAGAUCCAAUGAACCAUUUUCAUUGGGUGUGUAACCAUAUAAGGUUUUAUUCAUGUAAACAGAACAACAGUUUAUUCUCUUACUUAAAUGAAUAACCGUAUUGCAAUAAACACGAUCAAAUCAUAUUCAUGCUCAACGCAAACACCAAAUAACAUUUAUUUAGGUUCAACACUAAUCCCGAAAGUAUAGGGAGUGUGCGAUGAUGAUCAUAUCAAUCUUGGAACCACUUCCAACACACAUCGUCACUUCACCCUUAACUAGUCUCUAUUUAUUAUGCAACUCCCGUUUCGAGUUACUAAUCUUAGCAACUGAACUAGUACCAAAUACUGAGGGGUUGCUAUAAACACUAGUAAAGUACACAUCAAUAACAUGUAUAUCAAAUAUACUUAUGUUCACUUUGCCAUCCUUCUUAUCCGCCAAUCACUUGGGGUAGUUCCGCUUCCAGUGACCAAUCCCUUUGCAGUAGAAGCACUUAGUCUCAGGCUUAGGACCAGACUUGGGCUUCUUCACUUGAGCAGCAACUCGCUUGCCGUUCUUCUUGAAGUUCCCCUUCUUCCCUUUGCCCUUUUCUUGAAACUAGUGGUCUUGUCUACCAUCAACACUUGAUGUUUUUCUUGAUUUGUACCUUCGUCGAUUUCAACAUCACGAAGAGCUCGGGAAUCGUUCUCGUCAUCCCUUGCAUACUAUAGUUCAUCACGAAGUUCUAGUAACUUAGUGAUGGUGACUAGAGAAUUCUGUCAAUCACUAUCUUAUCUGGAAGAUUAACUCCCACUUGAUUCAAGCGAUUGAAGUACCCAGACAAUCUGAGCACAUGCUCACUAGUUGAGCGAUUCUCCUCCAUCCUUUAGCUAUAGAACUUGUUGGAGACUUCAUAUCUCUCAACUCGGGUAUUUGCUUGAAAUAUUAACUUCAACUCCUGGAACAUCUCACAUGGUCCAUGACGUUCAAAACGUCUUUGAAAUCCCGAUUCUAAGCCGUUAAGCAUGGUGCACUAAACUAUCAAGUAGUCAUCAUAUUGAGCUAGCCAAACGUUCAUAACGUCUGCAUCUGCUCCUGCAAUAGGUCUGUCACCUAGCGGUGCAUUAAGGACAUAAUUCUUCUGUGUAGCAAUGAGGAUAAACCUCGGAUCACGGAUCUAAUCCGCAUCAUUGCUACUAACAUUUUUCAACACAAUUUUCUCUAGGAACAUAUCAAAAUAAACAUAUGAAAGCAACAACGCGAGCUAUUGAUCUACAACAUAAUUUGCAAAAUACUACCAGGACUAAGUUCAUGAUAAAUUAAAGUUCAAUUAAUCAUAUUACUUAAGAACUCCCACUUAGAUAGACAUCCCUCUAAUCCUCUAAGUGAUCACGUGAUCCAUAUCAACUAAACCAUGUCCGAUCAUCACGUGAGAUGGAGUAGUUUCAAUGGUGAACAUCAAUAUGUUGAUCAUAUCUACUAUAUGAUUCACGCUCGACCUUUCGGUCUCCGUGUUCCGAGGCCAUAUCUGUAUAUGCUAGGCUCGUCAAGUUUAACCUGAGUAUUCCGCGUGUGCAACUGUUUUGCACCCGUUGUAUUUGAACGUAGAGCCUAUCACACCCGAUCAUUACGUGGUGUCUCAGCACGAAGAACUUUCGCAACGGUGCAUACUCAGGGAGAACACUUCUUGAUAAUUAGUGAGAGAUCAUCUUAUAAUGCUACCGUCAAACAAAACAGAAUAAGAUGUAUAACAGAUAAACAUCAUAUGCAAUCAAUAUAUGUGACAUGAUAUGGCCAUGAUCAUCUUGCGCCUUUGAUCUCCAUCUCUAAAGUACUGUCAUGAUCUCUAUCGUCACCGACACGACACCAUGAUCUUCAUCAUCUUGAUCUAUAUCAAUGUGUCGUCACAUGGUCGUUUCGCCAACUAUUGCUCUUGCAACUAUUGCUAUCGCAUAGCGAUAAAGUAAAGCAAUUAUUUGGCACUUGCAUCUUUAUGCAACAAAGAGACAACCAUAGGGCUUCUGCCAGUUGCCGAUAACUUCAACAAAACAUGAUCAUCUCAUACAACAACUUAUAUCUCAUCACGUCUUGACCACAUCACAUCACAACAUGCCCUGCAAAAACAAGUUAGACGUCCUCUACUUUGUUGUUGCAAAUUUUACGUGGCUGCUAUGGGCUUAGCAAGAACCGUUCUUACCUACGCAUCAAAACCCCAACGAUAGUUUGUCAAGUUGGUGCUGUUUUAACCUUCGCAAGGACCGGGCGUAGCCACACUCGGUUCAACUAAAGUUGGAGAAACAGACACCCGCUAGUCACCUGUGUGCAAAGCACGGCGGUAAAACCAGUCUCGCGUAAGCGUACGCGUAAUGUCGGUCCGGGCCGCUUCAUCCAACAAUACCGCCGAACCAAAGUAUGACAUGCUGGUAAGCAGUAUGACUUAUAUCGCCCACAACUCACUUGUGUUCUACUCGUGCAUAUAACAUAAAUGCAUAAAACCUAGGAUCGGAUGCCACUGUUGGGGAACGUAGUAAUUUCAAAAAAAUUCCUACGCACACGCAAGAUCAUGGUGAUGGCAUAGCAACGAGAGGGGAGAGUGUUCGUCCAUGUACCCUCGUAGACCGUAAGCGGAAGCGUUAUGACAACGCGGUUGAUGUAGUCGUACGUCUUCACGAUCCGACCGAUCCAAGCACCGAACGUACGGAGCCUCCAAGUUCAGCACACGUUCAGCUCGAUGACGAUCUCCGGCCUCCGAUCCAGCCGAGCUCCGGAGAUGAGUUCCGUCAGCAUGACGGCGUGGUGACGAUGUUGAUGUUCUACCGGCGCAGGGCUUCACCUAAGCUUCGCGACGAUAUGACCGAGGUGGAAUAUGGUGGAAGGGGGCACCGCACACGGCUAAGGAACGAUCUGUAGAUCAACUUGUGUGUCUAUGGGGUGCCCCCUGCCCCCGUAUAUAAAGGAGGGAGGGGGGAGGCCGGCCGGCCCCUUUGGGCGCGCCAAGGGAGGAGUCCUCCUCCUAGUAGGAGUAGGACUCCUCCUUUCCUACUCCUACUAGGAGGGGGAAGGAAGGGGGAGAGGGGAAGGAAAGGGGGGGCGCCGCCCCCCCUCCUAGUCCAAUUCGGACCAGAGGGGGGAGGGGGCGUGCGGCCCAUGCUGGCCGCCCCUCUCUCCUUUCCCCUAAGGCCCAUAGGCCCAAUACUCUCCCGGGGGGUUCCGGUAACCCUCCCGGCACUCCGGUUUUCUCCGAAAUCACCCGGAACCUUUCCGGUGCCCAAAUAUAGUCGUCCAAUAUAUCAAUCUUUACGUCUCGACCAUUUCGAGACUCCUCGUCAUGUCCGUGAUCACAUCCGGGACUCCGAACAAACUUCGGUACAUCAAAACUUAUAAACUCAUAAUAAAACUGUCAUCGAAACGUUAAGCGUGCGGACCCUACGGGUUCGAGAACUAUGUAGACAUGACCUAAAACCAUUCUCGGUCAAUAACCAAUAGCGGGACCUGGAUGCCCAUAUUGGUUCCUACAUAUUCUACGAAGAUCUUUAUCGGUCAAACCGCAUAACAACAUACGUUGUUCCCUUUGUCAUCGGUAUGUUACUUGCCCGAGAUUCGAUCGUCGGUAUCCAAUACCUAGUUCAAUCUCGUUACCGGCAAGUCUCUUUACUCGUUACGUAAUGCAUCAUUCUGUAACUAACUCAUUAGCUACAUUGCUUGCAAGGCUUAUAGUGAUGUGCAUUACCGAGAGGGCCCAGAGAUACCUCUCCGACAAUCGGAGUGACAAAACCUAAUCUCGAAAUACGCCAACUCAACAUGUACCUUUGGAGACACCUAUAGUACUCCUUUAUAAUCACCCAGUUACGUUGUGACGUUUGGUAGCACCCAAAGUGUUCCUCCGGCAAACGGGAGUUGCAUAAUCUCAUAGUUACAGGAACAUGUAUAAGUCAUGAAGAAAGCAAUAGAAACAUACUAAAUGAUCAAGUGCUAGGCUAACGGAAUGGGUCAUGUCAAUCAGAUCAUUCUCCUAAUGAUGUGAUCCCAUUAAUCAAAUGACAACUCUUUUGUCCAUGGCUAGGAAACUUAACCAUUUUUUAUUCAACGAGCUAGUCAAGUAGAGGCAUACUAGUGACAUUAUGUUUGUCUAUGUAUUCACACAUGUAUUAUGUUUCCGGUUAAUACAAUUCUAGCAUGAAUAAUAAACAUUUAUCAUAAUAUAAGGAAAUAAAUAAUAACUUUAUUAUUGCCUCUAGGGCAUAUUUCCUUCAAUUCCUUUAUUGCACAAUGCCUUCUGACGCCGAAUAUAAUCAUGCAGUCCGCCCAAGGCUCAGCUCGACGAUUCGUCGAGUGGCUCCCUGGACUCGUCGGAUAUGAACAGUCUUUCACUCCCGACGGCUUCCUCCCCCCACCCUACGGACGAAGAUGAGGCGGAGUCCCAAAAGGGGCUAAACUAGGAGGAGGUGGUCCCGGAGGAGCCGCAAGGCGACCUCCCAGACUCCAGGCCCAAAGGGGAUAAAACCCCGGAGGGAUCUAAGUCUGGCCCUGGGCCGGACACCGCGCCGGAACCUUCAGUGGAUCCGGUGUCCGGCAGGCGGCCCCCUCGCAAGAAGGGCAAGCCUACGACGCCGGCGGCCUCCGUCCAACCGGAGGCGCCGGACAAUUUGCUGGAGGUGCUUAACGGCACCUCCAUCAACGAGGAACACCGCACUGUUAUGAGUGCGGUGAUCCAGAAGGUUCAGUCCGCCAAGAGCGGGCUGACAGAAGCCUAUGCCAGCCUUCUAACAGGCUUUGAGGUAUGUAUUUAAAACAUAUAAAAAUGUUACCACAUAGACAGUAGCCCCUGAUGCUCAGUUUGGUGUUCGAAAAGAAAAGACGGACUGAGGAUCUAAAAAGAUAUACGCAAGAGUCUAACAUAAAUAUGUCAAUAUGGGAAUGCAGGCUCCGCUACUGACCUCUGCCGCACUGACUGCGGAGGUCGAUGCAUUGAAGCAGAGCCUUGAGCGGUCCGAGAACGAGCUCGGCCGUGCCAAGAAGCAGCUCGAGGACAAGGAAGGUAGGUAGUACCUUAUGUAAAUAUAUAAAAAUACCUGGUUGCAAAUAAUGAUAGGACCAACGUGAAUAUUACAGGGGCCACAACCGAGGUGGCGGCCCUGAAAGAAGCGAUGUCCAGGGCCAAAGACAAUGCGGCCGUGGAGCGCACUGAGCGAGAAAAGCAGGAGGUGCAGGUGGCGGAGGUGCGAUAAGAGCUUAAUGCUCUUGUGAAAAAGCACGAGAGUUUAGAGCUUGACUCAAAGACUCGAGAGUCUGAGCUUGCCUCGGCACUGGAAAGCGCCAAAUCUGCCAAGGCCGAAGCCCAAAAGGCCCUCCAGGAAAUUGAGGGAUGAAAAAGAUAGCGGUGGGUAAGGCAUUCUUUAUGUAAAGCAAGCACGUGAAAGUAAAUUACCUGUUACUUACCCGAGUCCGGAGCUCUCCAGGAGCAUUCGCAGAUCUGCCCUGCAGUGUAUCCGACGCUGCCGCAUUGUACUGGGACGAGGAGGGGAGCUCAACGGAGAAGGUGUUCUGGUCCCAGUAUGCUGAGGCCGGACACCCGGUGCCCCUGAGCGACCAGCUGAAGCAGCUGGUCGAGCUCCAUAAGGCAGCCAAACAGGCCAUGAAGGGCCUUAUAGGCCGGCUUUGGCCUGGGGAGGCCAUGCCUGGGAGCUACUUUGGGCUGGUGCGGCGGCUGGUGGAUGCCUGUCCAUGGCUUGAAGUCAUCAAGCACUCCGUACGCAUCGAAGGCGCCCGUAGGGCCCUGGCCCAUGCCAAAGUGCACUGGGGCAAGCUAGAUGCUGAGAAGCUGGUGAAGGAUGGGCCACCGGAGGGGAAGGAGCAUCGUAGGCCCGAGAUGUACUACGAGGGCGUCCUGAAGGGUGCCCGCCUUGUGGCGAACGAAUGUUCCAAGGAUUUAAUUUUUGAGUAAACUCGCUUAUGUUUGUCCUGUGCGCUGAAAACUUGUUCAUAUGCGCUAAGCAACGCUUUUUGAAUUUAAAAUAUUACCUUUUGUGCGGCCGUUUAUUAAAUCUGAGAGAUGCAAGUCGUUGGCUUCUGCCCCCAUGCCACGAGUGUUGUGGUGUUCGGGAUAAACCUGAGCGCUCUUGUUCCCAUUCUUGGGUCCUUCAAGGGAGGCGCUCAGCACAACGAACAAGGCAACUGGACUUAUAAUGCUUUAUCACUCUCACUUAGCCAUAGAAUUCUAUAAUUUUAAAUUUCGGCGAAGCCCCUAGUAUUCGGAAGACCGAGUUCGGGGCGCUAUCCAUGCCUAGGCCGGAUAAAUCCAGCUCCUUGCUCUAAGAGGCUUAAGUCUUUAGGGACUCGAAGAACCUCUCGAACAGCGACCGGUCUCUCGCCCUAUCAUGACGGUCAGUUUUAGCUUUCUCUACUGAGGUGUUAACCCAACUCAACUGGGGCACAAUCGCAGUAGUUCUCCCAGCGCUACCUUAGCCGAUAUAGCGGAACGUAAGGUACCAAAACAUGGGAGCCGGGCAAACCCAACUAUUGACCCAAGACAUGAUUCGGAGCCGAUGCAUAUAAUGCUAUAAGUUCGGGGUGCCGCACUCAUGAGAGUGUUCAGUCUUCUCACACCGUAUUCUGGGGUGCUUAAGCCCCUGGUGUAUUGGCCGUACCAAAGUGUACGGUUGCAUAAUGUCAUGACUGAACAUAUUUACAUGAAAAAUGAAUGCAAUAAUAGACAAGAGCUAUGUAUUGUUUAUUAAAGGGCUGCUAUGAAAGCAGAACGAUACAAAUAGUGCGAUAAGCAAGAGAUGGGAUUUUUUAACAUGUCCCCCUCCAGGGGCAAGCUGCGAGACUUUAAGUAAGACAGGUAUUUAGCUCGUUAUAGAGACCACCUGGACUUUCGGCGUGCCUUGCUAUCUCCCUGGCUGUUGCAUCGUGUGUUCGGCGAGUGUACUGCCGGACAAGCCUUCCGAAGAGUGGAGUCCUGAAAGUAAGAAAAGAGAAAUGACAAAAUCGGGAUCCCCUAGUGCGGUUGAGCUGCAUUCUGGGGAUGCCGUGGUUGUGCCCCUCCCCUUAUGCCCAUGGUAUUUCCAGAGCGUAAUUAUGUACGCGUGGUACUGGUUUCGCAAUCUCGCGAGGGCUGGGGUUGGGGUCGCACUGAUAUGCUUGCUCGGAACGUGCCAGACGGUCUUGUUGUAGGUUACUCCGGGCGCGCUUGACAGUGUCCGGACGUUUAUUAGCCGGACUAGAGAAUUGCCUUGAGAGGCUACUUUGUACUUCCGCUGCGAGGGCCGCCGUGCGCUUCUCUGUUCGGAGAGAGCAUUCGGUGUUUCCAUUGACCAUAAUGACUCCUCGAGGGCCUGGCAUCUUGAGCUUGAGGUAUGUGUAGUGCGGCACCGCAUUGAACUUUGCAAAUGCGGUUCGCCCGAGCAGGGCGUGAUAGCCACUGCGGAACGGGACUAUAUCGAAGAUUAACUCCUCGCUUCGGAAAUUAUCCGGGGAUCCGAAGACCACUUAGAGUGUAACUGAGCCUGUACAGCUGGCUUCGACACCUGGUAUGACGCCUUUAAAGGUCGUCUUUGUGGGUUUAAUCCUUGAGGGAUCUAUGCCCAUUUUUCGCACUGUAUCCUGAUAAAGCAGGUUCAGGCUGCUGCCGCCGUCCAUGAGGACUCUAGUGAGGUGAAAUCCGUCAAUGAUUGGGUCUAGAACCAAUGCGGCGAAUCCGCCGUGACGAAUUCUAGUGGGGUGGUCCCUUCGAUCAAAAGUGAUCGGGCAGGAGGACCAUGGGUUGAACUUUGGGGCGACUGGCUCCAACGCAUAUACGUCCCUGAGCACACGCUUCCGUUCCCUUUUGGGGAUGUGGGUUGCGUAUAUCAUGUUCACCGUCUGCACUUGUGGGGGGAAGCCCUUCUGUCCUCUGUUGUUCGGCGGCCGUGGCUCCUCCUCGUCAUCGCUAUGCAGCCCCUUGUCUCUGUUUUUGGCACUUAACUUGCCUGCCUGCUUGAACACCCAACAAUCCCUGUUGGUGUGAUUGGCUGGUUGUCCGGGGGUGCCGUGUAUGUGGCACGAGCGAUCGAGUAUCUGGUCUAAACUGGACGGGCCCGGAGGAUUUCUUUUGAAUGGCUUCUUCCGCUAACCGGGUUUAGAGCCUCUGAAUCCGGCAUUAACUUCCGUAUCCUCGGUAUUGUCGCCGUUAGUGUGACGCUUGUGCUUGUUGCGACGCGACCCGCCAUUGUUGUCCUUGGUAUCUGAAUUACCAGAGCUCUUGGUCAUGUUAUUACUAUGAGCUAGCCAGCUGUCUUCUCCCGCGCAAAAGCGGGUCAUGAGUGUUGUGAGGGCUGCCAUGGAUUUCGGCUUUUCCUGUCCAAGGUGCCGGGCAAGCCAUUCGUCGCGAAUGUUAUGUUUGAAGGCUGCGAGGGCCUCUGCGUCCGGACAGUCAACUAUUUGAUUUUUCUUGGUUAGGAACCGUGUCCAGAAUUGUCUGGCUGAUUCCUCUGGCUGCUGAAUUAUGUGGCUUAGGUCAUCGGCGUCUGGUGGUCGCACAUAAGUGCCCUGGAAGUUGUCAAGGAAUGCGGAUUCCAGGUCCUCCCAGCAACCAAUUGACUCUACUGGCAAGCUGUUAAGCCAAUGCCGAGCUGGUCCUUUAAGCUUGAGUGGGAGGUAUUUUAUGGCAUGUAGAUCAUCCCCGCGGGCCCUGUGGAUAUGAAGGAGAUAAUCCUCGAUCCAUACCGCAGGAUCUGUUGUGCCAUCGUAUGAUUCGAUGUUUACGGGUUUAAACCCUUCGGGGAUUUGAUGAACCAUUACUUCAUCUGUGAAGCAUAGUGGGUGUGCGGCGCCUCUGUACUAGGCUAUAUCACGACGUAGCUCAUAUGAGCUUUGCCUGCCCUGUUCGGCCUGGCCGUAUUUGCCAUAUCCGGCGUGACGGUUAUCGUCAUGUGUCGUGGGGCGCCCACACGAUCCGUAGAUCGAUCAUGUUUGCCUGGCCUUGUCCUCCAAUAUGUCUCGCAGGUCUGGCGCCUUUCCCCGUGCCUUGGUACUUUUUGAGCAGCGCCAGGGUGCGGCUUGAAUGGAUGCCCGAGAGGCCUCUCUGUCGCGGCCAUGAGGUGGCCGGUCGGCCGCGUCAUACGCUGGUGAUGUAGGUUUAGUUGCUUCCUCCUCUAAUUGGGGUAGCAGCCUGCGCUUUGGGUAGCUCUUGGAGGGGCGUUCGAGUUUGUACUCUUCGGCCGCCAGGACUUCAGUCCAUCUGUCGGCUAGCAAAUCUUGGUCAGCUCUAAGCUGCUGCUGUUUUUUCUUGAGGCUCCUUGUCGUGGCCAUAAGCCUGCGUUUGAAACGCUCUUGUCCGACGGGGUCCUCAGGCACGACAAAUUCGUCGUCGUCGAGGCUUGCUUCGUCUUCAGAGGGAGGCAUGUAAUUAUCGUCCUCGACCUCUCUGUCUGCCGCUCUCUCAUGAGGGCUGGCUUCUCCAUCCUCUUGCGCUGAAUCCUGCUGGAGGGGGUUGUCUUUGGCACUGUCCGGGGUGUUAUUGUCUCCGGUGCCGGAAUCCCCGUUUUUGCUAUGGCGGGAUUUAGAGCGGCGCCGCUGACGCCGGUGCUUAGGCUGUUUCUUGGAGGGGUCAUCCUCCGUUGUUCCAUCGCCAUCCCCUUCUUUUGGGGUGUCCACCAUGUAUAUGUCGUGUGACGAGGUGGCUUUCCAAUGCCCUAUAGGCGCUGGUUCUUGGUCGUCUCCUUCAUCGGCGUCCAUACCGUCGAUGUCUUCGGAGUCGAAGUCGAGCAUGUCGGUUAAAUCGUCGAUAGUGGCUACGAAGUGGGUGGUGGGUGGGUUUCGAAUUUCUUCAUCAUCCGCAUCCCAACCUUGCUGACCAUAGUCCGGCCAGGGCUCUCCUGAUAAAGAGAGAGACUUUAGUGAAUUCAGGAUGUCGCCAAAGGGCGAGUGUUGAAAGAUGUCUGCGGCGGUGAGCUCCAUGAUCGGAGCCCAAUUGGGUUCGAUCGGGAGGGAUGCGGAAUAUUCGGAGUCCGGAAAGGAGUCCGGGACCUUGGAGUCACGAGCUCCGCGAAGGACAAGAUUGGUUUUCAGCUCGAUCACCGUAGAGAUUGCAGCCCCCGAGGCGGCGUCUAGCCACCCAUCCUCGACCAGCGCAGUUGGCUCCAAGCUAAGGGUCGGAGCGGACACUUGAGCGACGCCCUGGGCACUGUCCGGCGGCAGAGCUAGAUCAUGCCCAUCGUGACAGUGCGGUGCGCUCGGCUGUGGCUCGAAUCCGUCGAAGAUCAAGUCUCUGCGGAUGUCAGCCGUGUAGUUUAAACUUCCAAAUCUGACCUGAUGGCCAGGGGCAUAGCUUUCGAUCUGCUCCAGAUGGCCAAGUGAAUUGGCCCGCAAUGCAAAGCCGCCGAAUACGAAGAUCUGUCCGGGGAGAAAAGUCUCAUCCUGGACCGUGUCGUGGUUGAUGAUCGAAGAAGCCAUCGGGCCUAAAGGUGACGACACAGAGGAACUCUCAAUGAAAGCACCAAUGUCGGUGUCAAAACCGGCGGAUCUCGGGUAGGGGGUCCCGAACUGUGCGUCUAGGCGGAUGGUAACAGGAGACAAGGGACACGACGUUUUUACCCAGGUUCGGGCCCUCUCGAUGGAGGUAAAACCCUACUCCUGCUUGAUUAAUAUUGAUGACAUGGGUAGUACAAGAGUAGAUCUACCACGAGAUUAGAGAGGCUAAACCCUAGAAGCUAGCCUAUGGUAUGAUUGUUGUUUGUCUUACGGACUAAACCUCUCCGGUUUAUAUAGACACCGGAGAGGGCUAGGGUUACAUAGAGUCGGUUACAAUGGGAGGAGAUCUACAUAUCGUAUCGCCAAGCUUGCCUUCCACGCCAAGGAAAGUCCUAUCCGGACACGGGACGAAGUCUUCAAUCUUGUAUCUUCAUAGUCCGGGAGUCCGGCCAAAGGUCAUAGUCUGGCCAUCCAGACACCCCCUAAUCCAGGACUCCCUCAGAGGGGAAAGGAGCAGGGGAGGGGGCGCCCCCCCAAGCCCAAUCCAAAUUGGGAGGGGGGCCAGCCCCCUUUCCUUCCUCCCUCCUUCCUCUUCCUUCCCUCUCCCUCUCCAAAUACGAAAAGGAGGAGUCCUACUCCCGGUGGGAGUAGGACUUCCCCCUUGGGCGCGCCUUUUCCCCUUGGCCGGCCCUCUCCUCCCCUCCUUUAUAUACAGAGGAGGGGGCACCCCAUAGACACAACAAUUGAUCUCUUGGAUCUCUUAGCCGUGUGCGGUGCCCCCCUCCACCAUAAUCCACCUCAACAAUAUCGUAGCGGUGCUUAGGCAAAGCCCUGCGAUGGUAGCAACAUCAUCAUCAUCACCACACCAUCGUGCUGACGGAAUUCUCCCUCAAAGCUCGGCUGGAUCGGAGUUCGAGGGACGUCAUCGAGUUGAACGUGUGCUGAACUCGGAGGUGCCAUGCGUUUGGUACUUGAUGGGUCGGAUCGUGAAGACGUACGACUAGAUCAACCGCGUUGUGCUAACGCUUCCGCUUUCGGUCUACGAGGGUGCGUGUAUACACUCUCCGCUCUCGUUGCUAUGCAUCACCAUAAUCCUGUGUGUGCGUAGGAUUUUUUUUGAAAUUACUACGUUUCCCAACAGCGACUACAAUCAUAUGGGCUUUUCUUCUAUGUCACUUUUAAUUCUGGUGGGUGUGGUUUACGAGCCUCUUGGUUAAGCGAUGUGUGCCUCAAGGCAUUGUAGUAUCAGUUGUCUUGUUUUUUUCUUUUGUGUCACUGAUAACUUCUCAUGUUGUAUUCUAAAAAUAUACAAGAGAAAUAGUAGUGUAAUUAAAUGUAUGCACGGUGAUAGGCUCAAAGCCCAGAUCAAAUUACACAACUCACUCUUUAACGUAUCUAUAAUUUUUUAUUGUUACAUACUAUUAUAUUAUCAUGUUCGUACGCUUUAUAUGCUAUUUUAAAAUAUUUUUAUGGACUAACAUAUUAACUUAGUGCACAGUGCCAGUUCUUAAUUUUUGCGCUUUCUUUGUUUCACAGAAAAGUCAUACCAAACUAAGUCUAAACACGAUGAACUUUAUGGUGGUUUUUUCUGGACUACGAGAGACCCUAGAAGCUUUGGGGAGAGACCAGAAAAUGCACAAGGGAGCGGCAAGCUCACGAGGCGCGCCCUGGGGGAGGGGGGAGCACCUCCCUUUGACCUAAUUCAUGGCCUAUAAAUUCCCAUAUAUUCAUAAACCCCCUGUGUGGCUUGAAUUUGCAUUGGUUGUGACGCCCCCUAUUCGACCGUACACUAAUCAUACAUGCAAAUGUGUACGAUCAAGAUCAGGGACUCACGUGAAGAUAUCACAACACAACUCUAGACACAAAUCAAAAUAAUACAAGCUUUAUAUUACAAGCCAGAGACCUCGAGGGCUCGACUACAUAAGCUUGAUACACAAGAGUCAGCGGAAGCAACAAUAUCUGAGUACAUACAUAAGUUAAACAAGGAUGCCUUAAGAAGGCUAGCACAAAAGAAGGAAUGAUCGAAGAGGCAAGGCCUCCUGCUUGGGACCUCCUAACCACUCCUGGUCAUUGACAAUCUCCACAUAGCAGUAGGCACCAUCGGGGUAGUAGUAGUCGUCGAUAGCGACGUCUGACUCCUGGGAUCCAUCAAAUGAUCGCAACAACCAGAAAGAAGAAAGAAGGGAGAAAUGGGUAGCAAAGCAACCGUGAGUACUCAUCCAAAGUACUCGUAGGCAUCAGAUCUAUACUAAGUAUGCAUUGGUAUCAAAGGAAGGGAUGUACCUGUAAACUGAAAUGCAUAAUGCCAGAAUAGAGGGGAAGGCCUAGACUAUCGAAGACUAGUAUCUUCAAGCAGCUCCAAGCAUCUUGCAGCAUUCAGAAGAGUAUAGAAUAGCAGUUUAUAAAUAACAAGCAUGUUGUAAUAUUAACGCCCAAAGAUCCUUCCUCGACUCCCUGCGAGAAAGCAAUCCCGGAGCCAACAUAUCCAUCACAUGUCUCAGGUAACCAGCUCUAGUUGUAAUAAAUCAGGAUGCAAGUCUGAACGUCCAUUACCGUGGACACGGUAUUCGAAUAGAUAACUUCCCUGCAGGGGUGCACCACAUUACCCAAAACACUUGAUUACUCUGGUCGGACACACUUUUUUGAGUCAAUGUCCGGCCUCGGAAGAUCAACACGUCACAACCCUACCUAGGCUCAGCAGAGAGGUCCCCGCUGGUCUACAUCCUAAGCGCUCCGGGGUCUUGGGCUCAUCGCCUGCUUGCACUCCGGGUCGUUGCGCGCAGGGUGAAUACCGGCGCCACCUCGGAUGGUCAACGCGAUCCGACCGUGUCGCAAUGCUGAAUUGGACAUCUGACAAAGCUUUGGCUGAUACUGCGACGCCGAGGCCUAUAACUAUUCCCGCGUGGUGGUUAGUGCGUAAAGGCCAUAGGCUAACUCAGAACAAAUACCCAUACAUGUUAGUGCAUUGGGGGCUCGCGGAGACGAGCAGAGACUCAUGAUAAUGUGACCCCGUCGCCCCGUCUCGUGGACUUACGGCAAGGGCCCAGAAUGCCUGGCCGUGCCUCAUAGAAAACUCGCGAGUGCUCUACGAGCCCGCCCGACUUUCACAUCAACUCGCGGGUACCCCUCAAGGUCAACCUGACUUUAACAAUGGUCUCAAGUAAAGUCCAGGUAACCGGGUGUCCAAAACAUCUAGGGGGAAAACCCGAGGAAUCACCCUCGGCGGAUUCCACUCGAUGUAAUCAUCAAGGUGAACGUAGGAGGAACCACCCUCGAGGUUCACACUUGAGGGGUUGCACAACAGAGUCGUAUCGGGAGUGGUGAAAGAGGAAUCACCCUUGAUGACCACGACCGAAUAGCUACACUACAGAAUUAUCAUCAGGAGUGCAUUAUGAGGUAUCACCCUCGACGCUCGAUAGUAGCUCUGCAAAGUCGAGCAACAAAAGGGGCGUGAUGUGAUAUGAGGUGUCGGGCUCUGGUCGUCGAUCACGUUAAUCAAGUCGUCGAUGAUGAAGCAGGGGCAACAAGAACAAGGUGUGGGUCACUGAUGGACACUAACCAACCUAUAGCAAGCAGUUUAGGAUAAGCAGGUAGGUAACAAUAAGCAGGUUACAAAAGCACGCUAUGCAUCAGAAUAUGAACAAUCAAUUACAAUAGCAAAAUUUAGUGCAAGCAACAGAGAAUGGAAUGGGCGACAUCGGGAUGAUCAAAGGGGGGGGCUUGCCUGGAAGCUCCGCUGAAAGGGAAGAAGGGUCGUCGUCGACGUAGUCGAUCACAGGGGCAUCAACAGCGGUCUCGGGGUCUACCAGAGAGAACAAGAGGGGGAAGAAACAGUAAAUACAAGCAAAUAGAUGCAUGACAUGAAAACACGCAUAGCUAGAGGUGUUCUAAUGCAGUGUUAUACGAUACCGACGAAGGGGGAAAACAUCCGAGAAAGUUUUCCCGAAGUUUGCAUUUUCACACAGAUGAAACGAAGGGGGACGGCUCCAUAUUCGUUAUGCUAGUGGCAUGUGACAGAUGAACGGAGAGCCUAUUUGAAUUCGUCAUAUUUUUUUGAGCAACUUUCAUGUAUAAACUUUUUCAUCUAAGCUACGGAUUAAUUUAUACUAAUUUUUAAAGUUUUAAACAUAUUCUGAAAUUAAUAUUAAAUCUAAAACAGAGUUAUUGCAUCAGCAUGACGUCAGCAGGGUCCAUAGUCAACUCCGACCGGGUUGACUGGUCAAAGGGGCAGUAAGGCCCAAUCGUCAUUGUCUGCUUAAUUAAUUAACAAUUAAUUAGCUAACUAAUCAUAUUAAUUAGGUUAGGUUAAUUAACACGAUUAAAUUAAUUAAUUAAUUAAUCAAAUUAUUAUCAUUUUAAUUCUUUUUUUACAUUUUUGUUUUUCUUUAACAAUACAGGGGUGGGCCCCACAUGCCACAGGCACAGAGGCCAAAGCAGGCUAAUGGGCGAGGGGCGCGGGUGAAACGGGGGCGGAGCCGGGUGCGGGCGUCGGAUGCCGGAGUGUCCGGUCGCCGAGGGGGAGGGGAGCAGCGGGUGGCGCCGGCGUAGGGUGGCGCACGUGUGACAGGAGCGGGAGUCGCGGCGCGGGCAACGGCGAGCGUGGGAGGGCGCGGUGGCGCGGCAAAAGAGGCGGGCCGGAGCUCGUCGGGAAGAACCCUACAGGGACCAAAACGUGGUUCAGAUUGCAAUCGACCGGGAGUUCGAUUUGAGGGUUUGUUUCGCCCUACCUUUAAGAGUUUGUAGGGUUUAAAAUGGACUUUUUCAACCCUAAGAAAAAUUGGACUUUUUCCAAUCGGGCACUAUCAUGUCACGUAGUAAAACGUAACAAAACUCCUCCNNNNNNNNNNNNNNNNNNNNNNNNNNNNNNNNNNNNNNNNNNNNNNNNNNNNNNNNNNNNNNNNNNNNNNNNNNNNNNNNNNNNNNNNNNNNNNNNNNNNNNNNNNNNNNNNNNNNNNNNNNNNNNNNNNNNNNNNNNNNNNNNNNNNNNNNNNNNNNNNNNNNNNNNNNNNNNNNNNNNNNNNNNNNNNNNNNNNNNNNNNNNNNNNNNNNNNNNNNNNNNNNNNNNNNNNNNNNNNNNNNNNNNNNNNNNNNNNNNNNNNNNNNNNNNNNNNNNNNNNNNNNNNNNNNNNNNNNNNNNNNNNNNNNNNNNNNNNNNNNNNNNNNNNNNNNNNNNNNNNNAAAAAAAAACGUAACAAAACUCCCGAAACAAAGGCGUGUCGUUUUGACGUGAUGACCCAACGGAACAGCAGUACCGCGCGCGUCCCUACAAAUUAGUACUAUACGUAGUAGAAAAAGGAAAACCGGUGGACGCAGCCAAUGAGGGGAGAGUACGCGGAUCGUGUGCUUCCUUGGAGAGACCGCGGGCCGUGCGAUCUCCACCGACGGCGGAGAUGAGGAGACAAUGUCAGGGCCUUAAAUCUCGUGCGCGUCACGACUUUUCUCUCCAGAUUCGGUGGCAGGGUGUGUGGGACACCCUUGGUCUCCAUGGCGGGUGGGGUCCGGGGCUCCGUGACGUGUUCAGGUGUCCUCGCUAGAGGCCAGCUCGGACAGUGAGCUCCUACUGACCCCGCGCGGCUCAGCUGCCCACCGCACGAUUUAGGCCAUGAAUUUCGCGAUACGAGCAAUCUUGGAAACGAACCGGCCCUCCCCUCUCGGCCCACCAGCUAUAUAAGCUCAGCCUCGGCCUCCAUCCUCGCCCUUUCCCCCGCAUCUCCAUCUCAUCUCUGAUUAACCCUAGGCGGCGCCUCCUCUCCUUCUUCCUCCUCCAGCCUCCCGCAACACAACGAGCUCAGCCAAGCCUCCUGCGACGACAGAGAGGCUCCGCUCAUCCAUGGCCUGGCUCCCACGGCCAUGGCCAAGGUCUCUUGAGGCUUGCCCUUGAAGACUUUGGCCAUGUCCAUGGUGGCCAUGGCAUCUUCGGAAGAUCGAGAUUGCUGCAGUUAGCAUCUCAUGUUCAUGGUAGUUACCUUUGUGUAUUAUGCUGUCGGUUUCUCAGAUUUUUUUUCAGACCUUUGUAGUUGGAUCUGGAUCUAGAUCUGGUGUUCAUAUCGAUUUGUGCUUUGUUCAUCUCUGGAAUUCAGUUUCCCCGGUCGCACAGCUCGUCAGGCGAGAGGGAUGCGCCGAUAUGUGAUUUGGACGUAGUCCACAGUUUUUUCUUCUUCCUUAUUCUUUUCUUGGGCUUCUUUUAUCCUUUCGGGCCGUCCAAUGUCGAUUUUCUUCUGGGCUUGGCCGUGGCGGCCGUAACUUGAAAUUCGGAAUGGGCUGGGCUGCUGUGUAACUGAUCUGGUUUGCUGUGGGCCGAGAUCGGCCUUCUUCGCGAAUGGCUGGGAAACCUCACUCUCUCUAUAUAUUGAUGGUCAUUUCGCCCCCUCCCCGAAACCCUAAACCGGCGGCGGAGGCUGAGAGAGUCAGGCAGCUCUCCCAGCUGCUGGAUUCGACCACUCCGAAGGCCAUGGCGCUCCGGUCUGCCGCUGGAACUGCGGCCAGGGGCGUUGGAUCUCUCCGCCAGCACUCUCUCGUGGCAACCAGGUAGUCCCUCGACCGAUUCUCACCAUCAGAUCUGCCCUCGUUGACUUUCGUCGUGCCAUGGUUCACGUUCGUGGUCGCAUUUCAGGGCUGGGGAGGUUUUUCUUCCGAAAAUCUCAGCGGCCUGCUCCCCUUUCCCAUCGGGUUUCCGGUUCCUCUCCACAAAGGUACGUCCCUACAGGCCCUCGUCUCCGCCCAUCCAGGUCCUGAACUUGCUUGUGUAUACAUGCCCCUCAAUAGAUGAGUGAUGUUGUUUUAGUCCUGAGGAUGAUGUGUAAUCUUUGAUGUGUCGGAUCUGCUUGGUCUAUACAUAUCCCUGUUGUGUGCAGUAGACUCCAGCUUAUUUCAGUAAUUUUUUUCUUGUUACAAAUUGUUAACCUCCACAGUCCUAGUGUUGCAACAGCUGUUGCUUUUAUGAUCCAACUAUUCCAAAAAAAUUUUUUAGAUUAUGGGUUGAGAUGAAGUGUUACAGAUUCUUUCCAUGGCAGAUUCUUGUUCAAUCUGUGUUUAGAUCGAACUAUAUUUAGGUUUCACAUAGCAAAUCAGUUCAUCUUUUUGUCCUGUGUUGAUUUGAUUGACAAUUCACGUUUAUGUUUAAUUCCAUUAAUGCAGAUUGUGUGUGGUAAAAGGGGCAGUUUCUUUUGGGGGAUUAUUGUUUAAUUUCUGCCUUGUAAAGCCAUACACUAAAAUGAUGUCUAACUUAAUUAAAUAUUUAGACACAUGGACUCCAAAGUUCAUCAUUGUUUAUUUUCUGCCUGAUAAAACCAUUUUUAAUUUUUACUUAGGAUGAUUGCACUUGGAAAAAUGUCUGUUUUUUUGGGCAAUGCCUAAUGUACUUCUAUAUUCAGACGCAUGAACUCCCAAGUUCUCCGUUGCAUAGUAGUCGUCAUUUUUUCUGUUACUGGAUAUAAAGUAGCUAUUGUCUUCUUGUUACGAUGUUCUAUUCUGACUUUUUGUUGUAUUUCAGGACCCUUCUCUUACGAUGAUUCAGGAUGCUGUCCAGGAGGGACUGAAAUCUGUAAGAUUAUUUUGUUCACUUCCAUACAUAUGUAUUUCUGCAUGUUGACUGGAAUAAAACAUUUAAUUAAGUUCAUGUUGACUGGAAUCUAUGAUUGUAUAGUGCUGGUUAGCUUAAUUUAAUAUAUGGAAAUGAAAUUAGGUUUUCAUCAACAAAUUGGUAGUUCCUGUUGUGAACUUUCUUCUGUUGUAUCUUAUAUCAUUUCCUGAACAAAUUAAGUUUCUCAUGGUUCUUUCUUAAAAUUUAAGUAUACUGCUUUGAUAUAGUUUCUUAUAUUGUUUUGAGUCAGAUUUGUCUUAAAUUUUCUAAGUUCGUUUAUUAUGCCUCCUUACUAUUUUGUGCCUUGCCUAACCUUUCAGUUGUAUUUCUAAUUGUUUAUAACUGCUUUUAAUAGUGAUAUUUAUUGUUUUGUUAGUUGUUUAAAGAUACCCUGACAACUUUUGGUUCAACUUUUUUUACAGGAUGCUCUGAAGCUCGUGGUCCAAGCUGCAGUCGAUGAGGGUCUCAAAUCGGUAAGAAUUAUUUGUUCACUUUCACCUGCUUUGUAUUUAUCAUUCUCAUACGUAGAGAAUUUACUCUGCAUGUGUUUUGCGGUUGUACAGCAAUCCACAAUAGUCGCGUGUUUGUUUUCAUCAACCAAUUGCAAGUUCCUGUAUAAACUUCCUUAUAUUGUUUCAUCAACCAAUUUAGAUUCUGUUUGCUUGCUUAAAACUUAUGUAUAAUGCUUUGAUAUUGUUUAUUAUUUUGUUUUUGUUCAGAUCUUGUAUUUCUAAAUGUUUAGUACUGUGUUUAGUAGAUAUAUUCCUUGUUUUGUAAGAAGUUGAUUUCUACCCUGAUGACUUCUUGUUCAAUUUUUGUAGCAGGAUGCUCUAAAGCAUACCAUUGAACUGGCAGUUCAAAAGGCAUUGAAAUUUGACGUGGAAGGACCCACGAAAGCUCAGGCCAUGGGGGUUUACAGGUGAGCCCUCAUCCUUCUCCAAUUCCUGGACCAAGCUGUCGGAUUUGCUGGUUUACCUAAGUUUGUUGCAUUUCCAGUGCGUCCAGUUCGGCAGAUCCCCUUCCCAAGAGCGACGCAGCCUACAGCACUUCAGGAUACUGGUGAUCCCCUGUCCUUGUCUCUGUCUCCUGGACGGAUUCAUUGAAAAUGCUGGUUUAUCAUAGUUUGUUGCAUUUCCAUUUUAUCCAGGCCGGCCGAUCCCCUUCCCAAGAGCACUAGCGCCUACUGCCUUUCUGGAUCCAGGUGAGUCUCUCGUCCCACUGUCAAUUUCCAUGACGAAAUCGUUAGAUCUGCCCUGGUUGACCUUCUUUGUUGAGUUUCCAGGGUUUCCAGGUCUGCGGAUCUCCUUAUCAAGAGCUCUGCUGCAUACUGCCCUUGUCUCUCCAGGUGAGCCCCUCUUCCCACUUCCAAUUUCAAUCAAGUCGUCGGAUCUGCCCUGGUUGACCUUUUUUGUUGCAUUUCCAGGGUGUCCAGGUCGCUGGUUCUUAUUCCCAAGACCUCUGCAGGGUACUUCUCUUCUGUCUCCAGGACGUGCUUUCUACCCCUGUCUGGUCCCCGUUUCUUCAGCACCCAGAAGGUAUGUUCCUCCCUGGUCCUGUCUCCCCCAUUCAUGACGUCGUCUGCUAUUCGAUUCUCAUAAUGUAGACCAUUAUUUUUAUCCUAUAGGCUAGAAUAUGGCUGAUGUGGCAUGAAUUCGCCCACAGUGACCAUCUGGCCGAAGUUAGUUGUAAAUUUUCUUGCAGUAGUCUAUGGGCAAUUUUGCUUGUGGAAUCUGUAUGAAUAAAUGUGCUUAACUCCUGUACAGAAAUCUGGCUGCUUUGUAAAAUACAGUUAGUUUUUUCAAUGUGUUUAAUGAUACAGAAGCAUACAUAAGCAUGUCUAUUGCAAGAUGUUUUUUGCAAUAUAUGGAUGCCCCUGCUCAUGUGCUCUUAUGAAUGAAGUCUGUUAUUGCACAUGUGCUCUGGUCUUGUUUUGACAUCAAGGGGUUGUGAACCCUUAUAGUUGGAAUCCCUAACUUCAAUCCCUUUCCUAAAUUCUGGGAAUUAGUAAAUAAAUAUUUCCUUGUUGAUUUGAUUAUGAGAUGUUUUAUUUGUGCCUGAAGCUAGACAAUUUGAUUGAUGCUUUGUGUUUGUAUGUUAUAUUUGGUAAGCUGUGUUGUUUAAUUCUGUCGCUGAGUAUUGUAGUGUUGUGAUAAAUAUUCAGUGGUAUGCCGACCUUACAAAAUUUAUACAUCCAUGAUGGAUGAAGCAUAAACCCUCUUGUUGUUUGUUUCAGGGUUUAGUUCAUGAAUAAAUGAACAAUUUUGUUCUCAUAAUGUAAGCCAUGGUUUGGAUAUUAUAGGCUAGAAUUGGGCUGAUUUGCAUGAAUUAUCUCCUGAAGUGUCCAUCUGGCAAAAGUUAAUCGUAUUUUUUCUUACAGAAGCCUUAGUAUGAGCUGUUUUGCUUGUGGAAUUUGUAUAAAUAAUUGUGUGCUUGUCACCUGUACAGAAAUCUGGGUGCUUUGUCAAGUACACUUAUUUUUGUCUAUUCGUUGAUAUGAAAAUGUACAUUGCGUUAUGUUUUUUGCAAUAUAUGGAUGCCUCUGCUUUUUCUAUUAGCUAUUUUUACUAUGUGUUCUUGCACAUUUGUUCUGGUCUUGUUCGAUAACAAGGUUCGUGGUCCUUGAUAGUUGGAAUCCCUGACUUUAAUUCCUUCCUGAAAUUCAUGCUAUAAGUAAAUCUUCACUGAACACAAUAAUGCAUAAAUAAAUCCUUUGUUGAUUUUAUUAUGUGAUGUUCUAUUUAUGCCUUAAGAUACACAAUAUUUGCAUUUUGUAUUUUGUAUGCUGUCCUUUUUAAUUUUGUGGCCGAGUAUUGUACUUAUGUUCUGAUAAACAUGCUGUGAUAAAUAUUCAGGGUUGUGCUGACCUUGACAAGUUUGAUAAAUUCGAGAAGCUGUAUCAAAAGGAUAGAGUUCAUGUCUCGACGGGACUAGAUCGCAUAGUUGGCCUAUUGUAUGAACUGAAGGAGGAUGUCGAUCAAACCGACUUUAUUCAGAAGUGGCUUACUAACAUUGGCAAGGAGACUCUUUUACUAUCAGACAGCCAGAUUGAAGGUAUUGGUAAAGGUUGGACUUGUCUCAACUACGGCGGUGGUUUUUUUGCCUGGGGUACACUGGUUUACUUUGGCGUGAUGACAAUCAGAGAGAAUAACAUCCCCUACACGGAUUACUUUCAUUUAUUGAAUGCUGUCCGUGUCCAAGCCUUGAAUAGGGGUAUCGCCCAAUACAAAGCUGAGAAACAGGAGCUGGAGGAUGCGGUGAAUGCUAAAGCGGUGAUGGCUGCACUCGCAAAGAAGGCGGCAGAGGAUGCUGCCGCUGAGAAGAAGGCAAAGGAUGUCGAGGCUGCCGCCUCCAGGAAGGCCAAGGCGGAGCAGACAGGUGCGAAGUGGAGGUCCAAGUCAGAACAGGCUGCUGCCCUUAGAAAGGCUAAGGCGAGAGAGGUCCGUGACGCCAAUUUGACCAAGUGGAAGCAGUCCAACGCCGAGAGGAAGGAGGCGGACACAGCAAGGAAGGCAAAGGCAGCUCAGGCCGCCGCGGAAAUCAAGGCAAAGCUGAAGGAGGCCGCUGAGAAGAGGAUGGCCAAGGCUGAAAAGCUGGCUGCUGCCGUGGCGGCUGCGAGGAAGGCCAAGGCGGCUGCUAAGUCUGGUCCCAAGAAGUAGAAGUAGACAGUGUUGCUAACUUGUCUCCUGUGUCCUUUGAUCAUGUUGGGGGAUUUUUGUGCAGAGAACUACUUUGAAUCAUCAUUUCAGUGUUGGUGGAUAUCCAGUACUUCAUAGUGGGUUUGUUAGUUCCUCUGGUACUGUCUUACCGCUGGCAAGAGUGAUUUUGUUUGAGAUGAGAACCAAAGCUUUGAAAGAAUGUUUAGAUGUCAAACUGCAACCAGUAUCGACAGAGCCAUUUGUUAAUCGUUAACAACUGCCGCUUACUCAAAAUCACAGACACCAACUGCCGUUUGGUGUGUGUUAUCUUGCUACGCUGUUGACCUUUUUUUCUAACUUCUUCCAAUUUGCAAUGCUGAAGUUGCAUAUAGAUCAUCAGUGCGAAUGAUGCGACGAAUCUACUUUACAAGUAGAGUUUCAUUUGAAGAAGAAAAAAUCUUAUCAAUCGCUCAUAAUAUAAGAGCAUUGUAGUGUCAAAAAUGCUUUUAUACUAUGGGACGGAGGGAGUAGUAAAUAGAGUUGAACGGCCAUCAUUACAUCUGAACAAGUUGCUUUAUUAUACGAGUGUUGUCUUCGCAAUUCAAAUAGGAUGCUCUUCUCAUUCACUGUUUGGUUGUUUUUUGCACUGAAUAAGAUCACCAGUCCAAACAUCGAUCAUAACCAUACAGGACUCUCUGACAUCUCCAAAUUCUUCAGUUCCUAUCUAAUUACGAAAAGAAAUUUUACAGCUAAAGAACAGAUUACAUAAAAAUUUUUAUUGCCCAUACAUAAAAUACAGAUUACAUAAGACUCGCCUAACUUCGAUUUGCUUUGCAUCCAUGCAUUUAAAAGCUCUAACAGAAGGUCAAAUCAACAUUUCAGUCGUUUCAGCUAAAUGGCACCAGGAUUUAAAAUAUGAAGAUUUUUCAUUUCCAUACAGUAUAGCUGCUAACUUUAUGCUUCUCUGGAUCACCAUGCUAUUAAAUGGACCAUCAAUCAAAGCAACCGACAAAACAUGAGGGGAAACCGGGAAAUACACAACAAUCUUAGUUGAUAGCUACUGAUGUUUUGCUUAGCACAUUGCUCAUGGUUUCUCAGUUACUUCACUUUCAGCAUUUUACAUAAGACUCCCUCCGAUAAGUCUUUUAGUCUCUAUAGCGAAAUCUUCUAAAAGACUUAUAUUUAGAAACGGAUGAAGUAUAUAGAAAAGACAAACCAAGAAGAGGACUGUGAUAUAGUUUCAUGCCAGGAAUAACAGGACUGAAGCAGAGACUGCUAGCGGUGGUGCCUAGAAUGAAGACAUGGUCCCUCUUCCUAUGCUGUUCUUGUCUGCGCUUAUUUUUCCUUCUCUUCAUCCCUAGUAUAAAGAACCAUAUUAAGCAUUAUAAUCAGCUCCUCAGUAUAGUAAACUGAUGGUCCGUGGUUCAAUUAUGCGAGUGGCAUUCUUGUUCAGUUUGAAUUUUACCUCUUUCUUUUGAUGUUUUCUCCACCCCAAGUUUCUCCUGUAAUCAACUCCGAUCUGACGAGUCACGGGGAACAAAUGAUCACAGGGGACACAGGUACAGGGGCUGGGUCUGGCUCCUCGAAGCCCUGCAAGUUUCACUAAUGAUAUUUAGUUAUAAGCUGCCUUUGGCCGUCUUGAAAAAUGUAGUUUCUGCUAUAGAAUAAAAAGAAAUAAAAAAUGGGUUAAUUUAAACUAAUAAAGAACUGUCCUGUCCUCUUUUUUCAUAGAGAGAACUGCGGUUUACUUUAUUCAACAACAAUGUUCAACAGGACUAUGUGCAAGAUCAUGUGGCUCCACAAGCCACAGAUGUUUACCAAAGUCUAAAGACAAAAGAGUAUUUAGCCAAACUAUCAGGUUCAUAAUUCCUUCUCCUAGUUUCAUAAAUAAACCAGCAUGCUCCAAAAUCACCCUUCCGAAGCGUUUAACUCCCUGAUCACCGCGGCAUGCAUCCCUCUCGUAUUUUCAACAAUGUCAUUGAUAGCUGUUAUACUAUCAGAUGAAAUCAGAACAUUCCUCACACAAAAAUAUCAGAGGCUAGUGCAUGCGCCUCACUACACGCCAAAGCUACGAGGGUAGGAACAUUGGUUAUGCGGUUAAAUGUGACUAAAGACGAACCAAGAUAUGUUGUGUUCCGAUCCUGACAAAUAGCAGAAACCACACCUCGAUCUUCGUUUCUUCCAACUACCCCAUUUAUAUUGAUCUUGACAAAACCUUGUGGCGGCGGGCACCAUUGUAGACGCCUUCAAGCCUUCCUGGUUUCAGGAGCCAUUUUUUUCAUCCACAGAGAUAGUUUCCAAGUCAGGUAUAAAGUUCCAAGUCAUGAGAAAAAACAAUUAUAAAGAUAGAAAAAACAAAAAAUAAUAAUAAGAAUAACCUUCCAAAAACCGUGUGGAGGUUUCCGCGAACAGACCCUUAGAAGCUUCCCAAAACUGCUUGCUAGCACAUAUUGGAUAGACCACUUUCAUUGAUCCUAUCAAGGAUUAAUUAUAAUCCUAAUAAACUUUGUUUAAUUAACAACCAUCUUUUUUUUGAGGGAAUAAUUAACAACCACCUUAGUUUAGCAACCGGUAUGUGGUUAUCCCCUCCGGGAGACGCAUCCCCUCUCCUUCUCUAUCUCAACAGACACGACCCUUUACUCGUGUCCCUUGUAACAGUAUAUAUAACACAUCAUCAUCAAUACAGAGAUAUACUUGAUUCAUUUACACAUCUCUCGAUUCUCCCUCUGGUUAUUUACUUUAACAGGUUAUAUCAGCACGCUUUGGCCGAGAGCAGAAGGCCACGAGAGAGAUUAGGCCACCCCGGCGGUUACGGAUGACGUUCUCGUCGGCGAUGGCCACUUGCAGGAGAACUCCGGCGAUCUUCAAUUUUGGGGUCACCACGAACAUCCCCGCCCUGAAGCGAUUGGCUUAUUCCUAUACACAGAACAUCACUUGUUUGAAUAGGAAUGAGAAGCCAUCGAAAACAGGAUUCGGGAAGGUAAGUAGAGAACUGCAACAGAGUUUUCCUGACUUAAUCUAUCAUCUGUAGUGACCGGAAUCGCGCAACGUUUGCAACCUUUCAUCGGCAACUAGGCAGGACAUCAGCAAGGGGAAACGAACAGAAAAGUAUGGUGCGUUGGCACCCUCGAUCAAUGGAUUGAAAGUCCAAACCAAUAACUCUAAGCGUACAUGUGGUCUUUCAAUUUUGAUGUUCUUACCUCUUAAAUGAUGUCGGGCACGGAUCGACGCAAUCGAUUCCAAAUGGCACCACAACGCUACGUUCCCAGCCGUUCGCAAUCAAUUAGUUGAUCAACUUUUUUCGAAAUUGAUGGAUUUCUUCAAAAUUUGACAAACUUUUUUUGAUAUCAAUGAACUAUUUUCAGAUCCAAUGAAAUAUUUAAAAAUUCGAUGUACUUUAUUUUUCUUCAAAUUCAUUGAUUUUGUGAAAAAAAUUUAGAAUCAGUGAACUCUUUUUCGUUUUUGUGAAAUUUUUCACAUUUUGUGUAUUUUGAAAAAAAUAUAGGUGAACUUUUUUUUCAUUUUUCAUGAUUUAAAAAAAAAACAAGCAUAACACACGCAUCGACGGGAGCUCACUACAACACCCUUUUGGGCCAGGCCCCUUUUCUUUACCCUAGCUAUACCCUGCAGGCCUUACAUAGAAAUUUUUGGGCUACUCAACACCGGAAGAUCGGACGAUACUCCUAGUCUAGACAAGUUGCACAUUUUUAGGUCAAGGGCACCACUUGUAGCUUGAUUAACCCCAUGAUCCGAGAUGUAUUUCACUAUCUAUGGUUUUUGAUCGAUAAACUUGGUUUUACCCCUAAAAAUGCAAACAAGACAUUGACUGGACUCAAAAGAAAAACAAGACGAUGACUAGUCUCCGCUAUGUGCGUGUUGCAUCUCUCUGCGUGGCUCCUAUCGCUGACUCCAUGCCUCGUUACUCUCUAUUACCAGCUGCGCACCUGGGAGGGGGCCCACUGAACGUGGGGGCCAGGGUGGCCGCCCCCCUCCCCCCCCUUAGGACCGGCCCUGAUUAACAUAAGUGUUGAAAGGCAAGAAAAUGUUCAGCGUCUAUCUGAAAAUUUUCAACAUAUACUUGUAAAAAUGCCACCAUGCAUUUGGAAAAAGGGAAAUGGGAUAUUUGUUAAAAUAAAAUAAAAUAAGUAAACAACAAAAAAUGAGAAGAAAACUUAUAAACCAGCAGAGAAAAUCAUUGAAGAAAGAAAGGAAAAAAAAGCCGAACAAAAAAUUCUAAAAACUGCAUGGAAGGUUCCUAGACCCGCUACAGCUAGUGCACUUCUUUCUCCUAUUGGGAUGCGGCCCACUAUGAAUCGCUAGUCGCGAGUGCUUCUUCAAUCUCGCAGAAGGUGAGAUAUAGCAUUUUCGGUUAUAAGAUGACUUUGGGUGUCUUUCCAAUAUAUAGUUCAGACAAAGGAAAAAUAGUUAAAAGAAGAAAGAACAAGAAAACUUACGGAAAUCUCCACAGGGUGCAGCCAGUUCUUUUGGGCAAUUCUCCCAGAAUUGACCCUCUCCACAGCUUCUCCCAGAAUUGUCACUUAACAUUUUUUUUACAAUUCCUUGCUAGUUAAGGUCUAAUUAGCUAGUAAUUGUAAAAAAAAUGGAGUGACAAUUCUGGGAGAAGCCGAGGAGGGGGUCAAUUCCGGGAGAAUUGCACAAAAGAACUGGCCCUCGGUUGGGUAGGCACUGACCCACAGCAACAAGAGUUGACAUUGUGGUUAUGGUUGCCUCGUCACGUUCAGGAGGUGGCGGUUCCACCAUUUGUUCCAUAGCUUGCUGAAAAGUUAAGUUUGUACAUUAGUAGUAGCAGAACAAAAGUUAUUAGGGAGGCAACAAAACCAAACAGAAUAGGUUUGGUCUAUAUACAAAACUUAUUUUGGUGAACCCGUGUAAAAUAUUAGUUGUAUUUUACUCCAAAACCAAACAGAAUAGAUUUUGGUGAAGCCGGCAGGUGUUGCUUGGAGCUGAAGACUUGGCACCCUUUGCAGUGUUUGACUAGUUCCUUGGCAUCAUCCAAAGUAGUCGGCCAGAAGAAUCCAUGGCGGAAAGCUUUGACGACGAGUGAUCUUGAGGCCGCGUGGUGGCCGCAUUCACCUUGGUGGAUGUCCUUGAGGAUUGCUAUGCCCUUCUCUCGCUCGACGCAGCGCUGGAAGACUCCAGUGACGCUGCGCCUAACGAGCUCUCAGUUUACUAUUGUGUAUGCUCCGGCUCGGCGUUGAACUUGUCUUGCCGAGAUCUCAUCAGUCGGCAGCUCUCUGUUUACCAAGAAGUUGAGGAUGGGCUGGGCCCAUGAUGGAGCUGUGACUUCUUCUAUUGCCAAAAUGGCUACUGCGACCACGGUGGGUGGGCCGGGUGGUAAAGUGUUGGAGUCGGCCACCGCCUGUCGUGUUGAUGCAGUCCCCGGGCCGACUGCAGUAGUCCCCGGGCCGGGCUCUGAAGUCCCCGGGCCGGGUACGACUAUGGCAGUCCCCGAGCCGCCUGUUGAAGUCCCUGAGCCGCCUGCCGAAGUCCCCGAGCCGCCUGCUCGGUUCCCCAAGUCGGAUCCGACUGCGUCGGGGUCAGGCGACACAAAGAUGGAGUCAGAUUCUGGAGACGGCUUGAUAGAUGGCUUGAGGAGGCGUUGGAGAGAGACGCCGGCUGGUAUAGCUUGCCGGGUGGAGCCUAUUCGUGCCAGGGCAUCUUCUUUCUCGUUGUCGGCCCGUGGCACGUGGAGGAACUCACAUCCUCCGAAGUAUCCACCGAUUUGCUGAACGAGGAAGCGGUAGCUCGCCAUGUUUGCGUCCUUGGCGUCCCAGUCGCCGGAUGAUUGCUGGACCACCAAAUCCGAGUCGCCAUAGCACAGGAUCCGGUGGAUGCCGAGCUCUUUGGCUAGCCGGAGCCCGUGUAUAAGCGCCUCGUACUCGGCCACAUUGUUGGAGGCGGCAAAAUGAAUUUGCAAUGUGUACUUGAGCUUGUCGCCCUUGGGAGAGGUAAGGAUGAUGCCGGCUCCCAAGCCGGUGCGCAUCUUGGACCCGUCGAAGUGCAUCCGCCAAUGCGUGGAGUCGGGGGCCGACGACAAGUACUGGGUUUCGGCACAGUCGACGAGGAAGUCGGCCAAUGCUUGGGACUUGAUGGCGGUGCGAGGCUGGUAGAAGAUCGUGUAAGGAGCCAGCUCAAUGGCCCAUUUUGCCACCCGGCCAGAUGCGUCCCGGCUGCCUAUGAUCUCGGCGAGCGGGGCAGUACAUACGACCGUGAUGGGGUGCUCUUGAAAGUAGGGCUUGAGCUUCUUGGCGGUGAAGUACACACUGUAGCACAUCUUCUGGUAGUGUGGGUAGUUCUGUUUCGAGGUGGAUAGCACUUCGCUUAAAUAAUACACCGGCCUCUGGACUACCUGAGCUCGGCCUUCUUCUGGGCGCUGGACCACGAUAACGGUGCUGACCACCCGGCUAGUGGCGGCAAUGUAAAGGAAUAUGGGCUCUUUCUCAGUUGGUGCCGCCAAGACAGGCGGCGUGGCCAUCAUCUUCUUCAGCUCGUGGAAAGCCUGGUCCGCUUGGCCGUUCCACUCGAAGUGAGUGGACUUCUUCAUGAGUCGGUAGCUUGCUGGGAAUCUCCAUUCUCUCUAUGGCCUUGAUCUUCACUGGGUUGCAUUCGAUGCCGCGUUCGGAGACCAGGAAGCCUAGAAGUUGGCCGACUGGUACUCCGAACACGCAUUUCUCGGGGUUGAGCUUGAUCUGAAAUCGGCGCAGAUUUUCAAACGUUUCUUUGAGGUCUUCCAGCAAGGUGCCGCGCUUCUCCGUCUUCACCACAAUAUCGUCUACAUAGAUGUGGGCAUUUCCGCCGAGCUGCUUGAGGAGGCGCUUCUGCAUGCAACGCUGAAAAGUGGCACCGGCAUUUCUCAAGCCGAAUGUCAUAGUCAGGUAGCAGAAGGCUCCGAAUGGCGUGAUGAAGGCGGUCUUUAGGGGGUCAGCUGGAUCCAACUUUAUCUGGUGGUAGCCUGAGUAAGCGUCUAAGAAACACAACGGCUCGCAUCCGGCUGUGGAGUCUAUCACUUGAUCAAUCCUUGGCAGGGCGAAGGGAUCUUUGGGGCAGGCUUUGUUGAGGCUGGUGUAGUGUAUACACAUGCGCCACUUGUUAUUCUUCUUCAGCACGAGGAUCGGGUUGGCAAGCCACUCUAGAAAGAAAACUUCCAUAAUGAAGCCGGCUGCCAGAAGCCGCGCUAUCUCUUCUCCUACAAUCCUUCUCUUUUCUUCCGACAGUCGGCAGAGGGGCUGCUUGACUGGUCUUGCACCUUCUCGGACGUGUAGCUUGUGCUCGGCAAAUUCCUUCGGAACACCUGGCAUGUCCUUGGGGGACCAUGCGAAGAUGUCCCGAUUCUCACAAAGGAAAUCGGCAAGCUCGCCUUCCUAUUUGCUGUCCAGGUUUGCCCCAAUGGUGGCAAACCUUUCUGGGUGCUCCGGGUCCAGAGGUAUCUUCUUCGUUUCUUUGGCCGGCUGGAAAGAACCUUGGGCAUCAAACUCCUUGGGGUCAGGGGACAGGGCCGGCUGCUUGCCGGCCAUGGCCAUGAUUCGAUCCAGUAUCUUCUUCUCUUCGGCAAUCACGAGGGACUCGACUAGCCGGCUGCUAGCUGCCGCACACUCGGUGGAUUUCUUGUAGUCGCCGGCUAUGGUGAUAAUGCCCUUGGAACUCGGUAUCUUCAUCUUGAGGUAGGCGUAGUGGGGUACAGCCAUGAAUUUGGCGAAAGCAGGUCGGCCAAGUAAUGCAUGGUAAGGGCUCUCUAGAUCCACUACCUCAAACCAUACUGCCUCUCGGCGGAAAUGAUCCUUGUCCCCAAAGAGGACAUCUAUCUUGAUCUUGCCGAUUGGAGAGCAGGACAUGCCGGGUACGAUGCCAUGGAACACAGUCCGACUAGGCAUGAGCUGCUUUGUCUUGAUGCUCAGCUUCUCCAUGGUGUCACGGUACAGUAUGUUGAUACUGCUCCCGCCGUCUAUCAGUACGCGGGAGAAACGGGCAGCUCGCCUUUCUGUUGCGAGGGUGGCGUCCAAGACCAAUGCGUAAGAGCCGGGAGACGGCAUCACCUCUGGGUGAUCGGCCCGGCUCCAGCUGAUAGGCCUUUUUGACCAAUGCAUGAACUCGGGGUUGUUGGAGGCAACUUCGUUGACUUCUUGGUGUUGUCGGCGCCAGCUACGCCGGUCUUUGGGUUGGCUUGUGAAGACGACGUAGGCGGCAUGCUCGUCGGGGAACUCAUCUUGAACAGCUCCGACUGCUGGUCGAGCGGCCGGCUGCGGAGGGGCGGGUGGCGGCUGACCAGCAGGCGGAGGCGGCACUAGCCCUUCGCCCUUGGAGAUUCUUAUGAGCCAGUGGCAUUUCUGGGUCGUGUGGUUGGAGGGCUUCGCACCGCUGUGGAACUUGCAGGGGCAUCAAGUGCUUGCUCGUAGGAGAAAGCCGGCUGCCAAGCCGGCCUGUCGCCCUUCUGUUUCUUGGGCGCGGGUCGUCCUUCGGGUUGUUCUUCUUCGACUGUGGCCACCCGCGGAUUGGCGGAAGGCGGCCCAGGGGCCUGGCGCUUGUGGUCGUUCUGGUACGGGCGUCGGCUGGAGUCUCCAGCCGGUGUCUUGGGAUUUGGAGUGAGCACCUUCCCGGAGGCGUCUACUCGGAGCUCGGUCUUCAUUGAAGAAUCGGCCGUGGCGUACUUGUCGGCUAUGACUAGUAGCUCGUCGAGGGUAGUCGGCUCGUCGCAGAGGAGUUUGUGCUUGAGGAGGGUGCCUUCUCGGCACCCGGUGGUGAAGUACUCUAUGGCUUGAACCUCGUGCACCCCUUUGCAGGAAUUGCGGAGCUCGGCCCAACGCGUGAGGUAGUCGCGUGUUGAUUCAUUGGGCCCUUGGACACACAAGGAGAGCUAUCGGGGCUUGGGAGCCCGUUUGUAGGUACUGGUGAAGUUGCAGAUGAAGGCUUCUGUGAAGUCUAGCCAGCUGUUGAUGCUGUAGGGCUUGAGGCUGUUGAGCCAGGUGCGCGCUGUGCCUUGGAGCAUGAGGGGGACAUACUUCACGGCAACACGCCUGUUGCCGUUUGCUAUGCUGACUGCAGUGGAGUAGUCGAUCAACCAAUCCUCCGGCUUCACGGAGCUGUUGUACUUGGGCGUGUCUCUUGGGAGCGAGAACCCUUUGGGGAAGGGCUCGUCGUGGAUGCGGGGGCCAAAGCAAGGCGGGCCGACAUCAUCUUCUUCUUCCAGGGCCAGGGAUCGCGCUAGGCGGUCGAUCCGGUGGCGAGCGUCAUUCUCGCCGACUCCUUCGCGGCGACCCAGUCGGCCGCUAAGAGUCGGAUGCGUGACAGGCGGCGGGGUAGGGUAUCUCUCCCCACAAGGCGGAGGUGGAGGCGGAUCGCCUUGCCGCUCCACAGCUCGAGGGCGGCCUUCCGCGUCACGCUCGAUGGAGAUUCGAGUCCGGCUGCGGCUGGUAGCCUGCUCCUUUUCUUUCCUUGCGCGGGUGUUGCCCGCAGUCGGCGUUCGUGACGUCGCACCGUUCUCUCGGCGCGGGGGAGGACUCUCAGCGCGGACGCCGGCUUCAUGCCACUCCGUGGCCGCGUCGAUAUGCUGCUGGAUGCGUCUGGUCAUGUAAGGGAGCUCGUCGGCCCCCAGUCCAUUCAGCUCGUCUACGGCCGCCUGGGCGGCGCGUAGGUUCUUGAGAGGCGUGGCAUAGACUGGGCGGUCUGCUUCCAGCAUGUUGGCGAUGGCCGCGCCGCGUUUCUUGAUGAUGCCGAUGCGACUCAGCCCAUCGGGAGGCGGCGUGCCGAAGGCGGCGCGGUCAACUUCGUGCUGGUGAGCCUUGGUGAGGCGUCUCAUGGAGGCUAGCUUCUGGCCCUCCGUAAUGAGGGCGAGGCGGCGUGCCUCCAGCGUCUCGGCAUCGGCGUCUGCCGGGAUGGGGGCGGACAGAUCAUGCAGCACCGCUUGCAGGGCGUUGUGCGCGUUCUCACCAGAGGCGACACCAUGGCUAAUGACCAGCACCUUUGUGAUGGCGCUGCCGCAGCUGUCGGCUCGAGGAAGAGGGUCGUUGAUGAUCACUACGUUGGUGGGGAAGGCGUCAAGCGAUGUCGUGUCGGAAUCGACAAGCAUCGGGUCGGUGGAGCCAACCGACUCCAAGUCCGCGGCAGGCUCGCUGGCGACGUGGAGUUGGUCGAGGAGGCUGACGAGGUGUCUCUCGGGGCAGCCUGUGCCCGCGUCGGACGCGGGCUCAUCGGAGAUGCGAGCCUCGCUAAGAAGAUCGACGAGGCAACUCGCUGCACAAGCGUCGGCGGUGCCUUGCAGCGCGUCGGGGCAAGCGCCAUCGGGCGUGCCAGGCUGGCUACGCUCGCUGGGAAGGAAGAGGGUUCCCGUCCAGAGCAGGUCUCCGGACGACGGUGCACCUGGCCCCACGGUGGGCGCCAAAUGUCGGGUGGUUGGUGCGACAUAUGCCAACGGAUGGCUUAUCAUUGUGGGAGCCAAUAAAACAUCGCCGGUGCCUAGAAGCGGGAUAAGGCGAAGACAUGCACGCCGGCGGAUCUUACCCAGCUUCGGGGCUCUCCGUGGAGAUAACACCCCUACUGCUGCUCUGCGGGGUCUCUGCAUGGUUACUAGAUCAACAAGUAGCUACAAGAGGCUCCUUGAGCUGUUUGGCCAGAGGAAGAAGAAGGGCAAGGCUAGCUCUCUUCUCCCCUCGAUGUGGUGUCUAAAACUCUAAAAGGUCUCCGCUUUGCAUGGGUGCCCUGGGGGUUUAUAUAGGCCUACCCCCCCAGGGGUACAAUGGUAAUCCGGCUGGGCGCGGGCCCUAGCCGUUAGUGUCUACGCUCGCCGGCUUCUCCACCGGCCGCUGGGGCCCGCCUACUGGUGGGCCCUGCUGGCUGCCGGCCUUCUGGUCGACAGGCCGGUCCCAACGCUUGGGGUCUUGUCGGGGGCUGGUUACUGUUUCCUCGCCUCUGGUGACGAGGGCUUGGUCGAGGUAAGCAUGGCCACAGUGCCGCCGCCUAGCGGCUUGUUACUGUAGCCUUACCUCGUCUUGUCUCCUUAAUGGCGCGCCCUCCUCGAGGGAGAGAGCCAGCCGGCUAUUGGGAGUCGGCCAUACCCCAGGCCGACUGGGGGAGGCCUGGCCGACUGCCCCCCCUGGUUGAUGGGGCCCGCCGCCCACGGGUCGUACUGACGGCUCGUCGUGGGUGACGUCAUGGGCAACAUGGCAACAGUGCCGCGCCGGACGGGUGAUGGCCGCCCCGUACGGCGCAUUGUGUCCACGCGCGUGCCGGGAUUCGGGGGUGGCAGGCUUCACUGUAGCCACGCCCCCGUCUCGUCGACGUUAUGUGGUUGUAGAUUCUGAGGGCACGGCCUUGGCCGCCUGCCGGGGGCCGGUCUUCUUGGAGUCAGCCUUUUCGUGGCCGGCUUCUUGGAGCCGGCCCUCUUGUGGCCGGCUUCUUGGAGCCGACCCUCUCGUGGGUUUCUUCAUGAGGGUUUUUUAGGGCCGGGCCGCCUUCUUGCAGCCGGCCUGAGAGGCAGCCAGCUAGGGGAAGGCGGCCCCAAGUCUUGGACGCUUGAGGGCUCGAUCGGCCUAUAAUUUUUCCGAAGAGCCAGGGGGAGCCGGCUGGGCUACCCGUGGUCAUUUACUCAUUAUCACCGGUGGUAGAUAAAAUUUGUCCUAAAAAACACUCUUCAAAUGCACAUUUGAAAAAUAUUGAGGAAGUAUUCGAAAAAAUGUUGAACAAGUAUUUUAAGAUGUUGAAAAAAAGUAUUAAGAAAAUGUUGAAAAAAAUAUUUUAAAAUAUUAAAAAAGUAUUAAAAAUGUUGAACAUGUAUUUAAAAAAUAUUGGAUAUGUAUUAAAAAUAUUGAAUGAGUAUUUAGAAAAUAUUAAACAAGUAUUUAAAAAUACAGUCUUGCUAGUUGAACGAGGUUGGACAUGCCAGUUGGGGCGCGCUUGGCCCCCACAUUUCAAGGGGGCGCCCAACUAGCAUGUCCACCCUUGACACUGCACCAAGUUAGCUUGAAAAACGUUUUUAUAUUAUUGGGACGGAGGGAGUAAAUAGGAACCAACCUCAUGUGAUGCCUAACAAGAAACAACACGAAAAGGGGCUGAAAAUUACAAAUCUUGGUGCCUGAAUCAUACGGUUGAGACCUAACAAAUUCUCGUCUGGGAGAGAAUUAGUAAACCUGUUUUUUUUUAUCCCCUCUCCCUAGAGCAUUAUAAGAAAAGUACUAUUACCUUUGUCCCAAAAAGUUUGUAUUAAAUUUAUUUAGAUACGGAUGUAUCUAACACUAAAACGUCUCUAGAUACAUCCGUAUCAAGACAAAUCUUACAAGACAAGCAUUUUGAGAUGAAGGGAGUAAAAGAUUGGAACAUCUGGAACCUCUCUAGAGCAUUAAGAAAAAGAAAGUAAGAAGAUGGCAAAAUUUAGAACAAACUUGCCAGCGUUCUCAUUUGGUAGAUGGCUCACAGUGAUCAUUUAUUUAUUUGAAUGAUGACGGGAAAUGUUGCGCCUUCUAAAGUUGCACUUGUUUCCCCAUGUUUUUGAACAGGUUUGUAAGAGUGCGCUAAAACAAGCCCGCCACUUGGUGACAGGAAAAAAGGACAGGGCAGUCAUGAAGUGAAAGGAUCUGUACACGAGUAGCCUGCCCCCCUGGUGGAGGGAAAAACACAAGGCAGUCAUGAAAGUGAGCACUUCUGAGUAGAUUGCAAUCACUUCGAUCCAGAAGCACUAAACAGGAGCCCAACAAUGCACGUCAGUGACCUUGCAAGCAUGUUCACUUCAAGCUACAGUUUCAUGCAGAAUCUACUCGAAUAGAUAGAUAGGUAGAGAUAUAAUAACAUGAUACCAUGUCACACAAUAUCACAGCGUACGAUAGCAUAGUGCUAGCUAGCCAAACUGCAGGGGUCAUAAUUAAACAUAAAACAAGCUGGGCGGCCAUCUUUGGUUCUCAUUUUUCCACCUCGUCUUCACACGUUUUCCUUGGUAACGGCCUGGGCUACGCUUCUAGCCCACUGCCAGAGAAAGCAGUAGCAGCAGCCACAUACACAACUGUCACCUUGAAAGAUCCAUAGACCAAACUCUUCAACGCACGGUCGAUGGAUAUCAUGCGC
rnacentral:lncRNA from 1 species